ACAAGUAUAAGUCACCACCACCUCCUUCCCCAAUUUACAAGUCACCAUCACCACCUUCUCCAGUAUACAAAUUACCUCCACCACCUCCUCCAGUUUACAAAUCUCCACCACCAUCAAUUUAUAAAUACAAGUCUCCUCCACUACCUCCUCCAGUGUACAAGUCAUCACCACCACCUGCUUACAAGUCUCCACCUCUUCCAGUUUACAGUUCCCCACCACCACCAAUCUACAAGUCUCCACCUCCACCCUACCAUUACUACUACAAUUCUCCUCCUCCUCCUCCUCGUCACUACUAAGCAAUUGUAUGCAAGUUUUUGAGGUAAUAACGCUUAACCAAUAAACUAACUUUCGCAUGAUAAAACUUAUCUCUAUCAAGACAAACUGCCAUGUGUAUCAUGCCAAAUACGUACACCUAGAUCCAUGAAAAUGAAUGGUAGAAAAUUUUCUUAAGAACUAAGGAACAGCAUUAGUAUUCCCUCUGCUUCCAAAAACUUGUGUAUUAAAUAGAUUAAUGAAUUGUUUAACAUGCUCAUUUACUUGAAAAUACACAAUACCCAUAACCUACUGAAUUUUUUGCAGGAAAAGGGAAAGACAAUCUGUGUUUGAGAGCUUCAUGAAGAUGUUGAAGAAUAAGAAUAAAAGCCCAAUGCGAGGAUGUUUCAAGUUUUUCUAUGUUUCCACUUUAAUUUGUAAAUUGAAUUUUGUGACUCAAUUAAUUCCCUGUUUGUGGGGUACGUGUUGUUUUACGUACCAUGCCGUACAGGUUUGUAAGGAUUUCUAUCCUAUUGGCAAAAGUCGGUUCCAUACAAUUAAUCAAUUCAUUUCACUUCUAUUGGCUCUACUAUUUAUGCAUGUUACGACAUUUUUUCUCUCUUUCCCUUAUAUUUUGCCUUUAAUAUUAUUGAAUCAAUAUUAAUAAUGGGCCUUUUUCUUAAAAUUAUACUAUUAUACAUAGGUUGUUUGGUCUAACGCUAAAUUCAUGUUUGUCUUUCUUUUAUUCCCUUUACAUCUCAAAGUAUACUAUAGUUUGUAAUCAUUGUGGUGAUGAUAUUGCCAGCUGGUACUUAUAGUUUAAGGCAGAGACAUGAUAUUAACAACUAUCUCAUUGAAACAUAAAGAAAAAUCAUGACAAGUGUGAGUCUUGGUUAAUGCACAAUUUGUUAGUGGAAUUUAUAUUUAUAAAACUCAAAAAAAAAUUUUGACAAUGCUAUUACUAAUUAAUUAAGGACUUUAUUGCUAUAAUUUAUCGCUUACUAGUUUAAACUAUAAAUGAUCUCAAUACUUUUCUCCAUGAUGUCGAUUUCUUUAGAUUACGAAAGGGAAAAAUUAGUGACAUAUCCCUUACUGAUUACAACAUCAGCAAAAAUUAGUUAUAAAUUUUUCCGGUGGUUUUAAAUCCCUCGGGCACUAAGAUUUUUUGCACAUCGAGUGAAUUGAGGAACAUAGGCAAUUCGUUCUGCAUACCAAGUCCUUGUUUAAGAUGCAAGUACUAAAAUGCAUCCACUUCAUUAAUUUGGGAAAUUGCCAUAGUUUUUUUUAAGCAUUUUGAUUUUUUACAUGAUUCAAAAUUUUCUUAUUGGAUACAAUCACUUUGUAUCAAGAACAUUUUCAAUCAUCCUUUUUAUCUUCUCAAUAAGAAAAUAAAAAUUUAUUCAUGCUUUUCUAACAUAUCCAAUCAUUGAUCUGAAAAAUAAAGAAUUUAAAAAAAAAGACAUUUUCAAUCAUUGCUUACAGGGCAACUUCCCCAUGUGAACCUCUUCAAACAAAGCCAAUAAUAUGAAGGAACAUCUAAAUACACUUUUGCCCUAAAGGCUGGUUGCCUUGGGGUCAAAAUUUAACCUUCGGGAGUAUAAUUACCCUGCCAAAUUUAUUAUUUUUUAUGGGUAUAUAGUUCCAAUUUUUCCUCCUGUUAAGCUUAUAAAUAUAUUAUCACCCAGAAAAUAAAGGAAUCUUGAAUACUAACAUGUCCAUUUACUUGAGUUGUCAUCAAUUUGGCUACUUCGAUUCCAUGAGGGCAAUCCAAUUCACACUUGCUAGAGAAAAUGGUGAUAAAGGCACAAAGAAAAUUAUAUGUAAUAUUGAUUGGUAGUAACCACCUUGUAUUGAUCCCACUAUUGUGGAUACUCGUGCUCUUAUGAAAAAAAAUUAUAAAAAAUUAGCAAAAUUUAAAAGAACAAAGUAAAUUUAUUCGUACAAAUCAGUCAAAGAAGUAGCAUUUUAAAGACCAUGAUGAAAUUAAUACUUUCAAGGUCUCUAUUAGGAAGACUUCCUUUGUUGGUGAAACUACACUAGGUACGGUUACAUGCAGAUGUUUACUGUUUUGGUACCUAAUUUCCUUGCCUUGAGUUGGGUGCAGAUGUUUAUAUUACAAAUAGAUGGUAUCAUAAAUUUGUUGUAUUAACGUCUGUUCUUUUUUUUCUUCCUUAAGUUUUUUUCUUUAUUCUCGUGACUUCAAAAAUACGAACUCAAGAAAUUAACUGCUUCGACAUUAAGGUAUAACUUCACAACUAGAGCCAAUAGAAAUCGUCAAAUGAUUUUUUGACAUCCAAAUUAAGCAAUAAAUUUUGUUUUCAUUUCACGGGAGAUUUUAUAGUUUCUUUUGGGUAUCAUACCUACAAGUGAUAAUUGUCAUUGGAUAGUGAAAGAAGUGUUAAUGAUUGUAAGAUUAAAUAUUGAAAAUUUAAACUAUUUAUCUUUAUUGAGAGAUACAACUUAAAGAAUCGUAUCCAAAAGAGACUAUAGAAUUUUCUCUGUUUUUCAUCAUCUGUAGACAUAAACUUUCUACGGUUGAUGUACUAUAAGGAAAUUUUGCCUAUACAAUGUGAUACCAUUUUUUCAAAAAGACAAGAUGGCAAAUUGCCCCCUUGAACGGAAAAAAUCAUGAUCUUUCCUCAAACUAGUCUACUUGUCAAUUCUUUGAAAAAGAAUACACUGCCCCGCAGAAUUCUAGAAAGUUAGGCAAAACUAGACAAGUUGACAGCUAUAAUCAUACCCAAGAUCAGGAACAAGCAGUUACACAUUUCAAAAUUCGCUGCUGCAACAACUAAUUUGAUGACUUACAACACUAAAUGGUCAAACUUUGAAUGGCAAUGAAUCUUUUGUUGUACAUCAUGAUGUAAUUUUCAUGUUACAUAAUAGAUUGAUAUCUAUGUUCUUUAAAUUAUCAUAAUAAUUAAAUUUAACUGAUAAAAAGAACACAUAUCAAUACACAAAAGUGUGUAACGUGAAUGUUAUAUUAGUGUAUUGCAGAAGACCUAUAGUCUCUUCACAUCUCUUCCUGCAUCUUUUAUGUUUUAUUACCUCCAAAAGCCUUUACAGGGUCUUUACCCUAAAAAUCAAUUCACCGACUCGCAUUUGAUGUCAGAAAUUCUUAAGACGAAUUCUACUUUACUCAAAGAUUGACUGUUAAUAAUGAGACAACGACCAUUUUGUAUUAUUACACCGUCCUUCUUGAUAGGCAAAAGAAAUAGAGAGGAAAGCGGGUCCGUAUAUGGUCUUUUAUUCAUAGAUAAUACAACAUUACGCCAUCGAGCAUUCACACAAUAUUUCAAAGUCAUUGCAUGCCUAAAGCCCCGCUUGAUAAUCCAAUUUCAUACUUAAAUUUAAUGGAUUCAAAUUUUAACACAUUCAAAUUGUUUGAUAACAAAAAAUUGAACGUCUAAAUUAAUUAAGUAACACUAAAUUUUUUAGACAAAACUUGCUCCCAAAAUUAAGUGAUAAGCUAUAUCACUUAUCACUGAAUGUGAUAUGCAUUCAAAUGUAUUAUAUUUAAUACUUAAUAAUUUAAUAAUUUAAUGGAUUCAAAAUUCAGAUUUUAGAUUUCAGUUUUAUCAAACAUACCCUAAGUUGCAAAAUAAUACCAAAACUUGUUAUUAUAUAGCUUGAGAUUCAAAAAUUUAGAGCAUAAUUCUCAACCUAACACAAUUGAAUAAUGAAUAUUCACGAUUGUCAAAUCUAUCAAAGUACAAUUUGAGGACAACCCAUUCCAACGCGUACACAAUUUCUCACUUUUCUAAAGUUGUUGAGAGCUGUUAAAAGAGAUUUACCAUGUUUACAUCUUCCAAGUCUUGGGAGUAAAAAAUGAAGCCACCGAGUGCUAUAAAAAGGGGGCUAGAGGCUGCCUAGAAGCAUAUCAGCCUAAAACAAGAAUUUGUAGUAACAAUGGGGAGCAAAGCAAAAGCAACGGGGUCUAGGCUGACUCCUCUUCUUACCACUGUUUUAGUGGUAUUUGUCGCCCUUGGCUUGCCCUUGGAAACUGCAGCUGAUUAUUACAAGUAUUCAUCUCCUCCUCCUCCUCCUUACCACUAUUCUUCACCACCACCUCCAGUGUAUUCACCUCCACCAACCCCUGCUUAUAAGUUACCCCCACCAUCUCCUCCAGUUUACAAGUCCUCACCACCACCUUACCACUACUCACCACCUCCGGUGUAUUUACCUCCACCAUCUCCAGUUUACAAGUCACCACCACUACCCCCUCCGGUAUACAACUCCCCGCCUCCACCAGUGUACAAAUACAAGUCCCCACCACCACCUCCUCCAGUUUACAAAUCUCCACCGCCACCAGUUUACAAAUACAAGUCACUCCCACCACCUCCUCCGGUAUACAAGUCUCCUCCGCCACCUGUUUACGAGUACAAGUCUCCUCCACCACCUCCUCCAGUGUACAAGUCCCCACCACCUCCAGUUUACAAGUACAACUCACCUCCACCUCCUCCCCCAGUUUACCUGUCUCCACCUCCACCCUAUCAUCACUACUACGGUUCUCCUUCUCCUCACCACUACUAAGCAAGUGCAUAAGUUUUGAGGUAAUAAUACCUAUCCAAAACUUUAUCAACACAAACUGCCAUGUAUAUCAUGCUAAGGACGUACACUUGAUCCAUGAAAAUGACUAGUAGAAGAUUUUUUUUAAGAACCAAAGAAAUACAUUAUUUUUUCGGUCUGUUUUCAAGAAUUUGAGCAGUAUACAGAUUAAAGAGUGUUUUUUUUUUUGUAAACUUGCUUGUCAACUUAAAAAUGCACAUAGCUGAAAGCCAACUGAAUAUUUGCAGGCAAAGGAGAAGGCAAUCGGUGUUUGAGACCUUCAAGAAGAUGUAGAAGAAUAAGAAUAAAAGCCCAAUGCGAGGAUGAUUCCAAGUUUCUACGUUACCAUUUCUACAUCUAAAUUGACUUUAGCUCCUGAGUUCCAUGUUUAUGGGGUUUGUACCGUUUUACGUACCAUGCAGUACAUGCUUGCAAGGUUUUCUGUCCUGUUGGCAAACUGCAGGUCCAUAUAAUAAAUGAAUACUAUUUACAUUACGACACUUUUCUCUUUUUCUCUUAUAUUUUGUCUUUAAUAUUGUUGAUCAUUUUUUUUUUAUCAAAAGCAUCAAAUGCUUAGGUAAUUUGGUCUAAUGCUAAUUGUUUUACUUUUAUUUUUCACCUACACCCCUUUUCAACUCAAAGGAUGCUAUAGUUUGUGAUAAUUGUUUAAGACCGAAGCAUGAUACUAAUAAAUAUCUCAUUGAAAGUCAAGGAAACUAACAUUAGGAAAAGUUUAAAUCUUGAUUUGAUGAAACUAUUUAUUCGUGGAAUUUAGAGAUACAAAACUCAAAUUGUGACGGUGUUGUUGCUAAAUUAUUAAGGACAUUAUCACCAUUAUUUUUCCCUGAUCACUAGUUUCAACUGCAAUGAUCUCAAUCUUUUUGUGACUAAUUCUUUCCUUAAUAAUUUAUAAAGACAAAACUCACAAAGAAUAUGUGACUAAUUCUUUCCUUUCGUCUUCUAAAGAAAAUGCCAACUGUUAGUUUAUCAAGGGGAAAAAGGAUCGACAUCAGUUAUUAUUGAAACUAGUAAGGAAUAAAUAAUGGUGAUAAUGUCCUUAAUAAUUUAACAACAGCACCAUCAGAAUUUGACUUUGAGCUUCGGUCUUAAACAAUGAUCACAAACUACAGCAUCCUUUGAGUUGAAAAAGGAAGUAGGUGAAAAGAAAAGUAAAAAAUACAAUUAGCAUUCCCUCAAAUUGUAGAAAGUUAGGUAGCAUUAUAGACAAGUUGAUAGCGGCAAUUUUACAUUUCAAACUUCACCUAUUCAAUAACUAAUUCGAUGGCUUGCUACAUGGUCAAUCUUUGGACCCCUUCCUGCCUCCAGAUAUCCCUUUCCUCAAUCAGGGGCUUCUACAAUUACCAGUUUCAAUUGUAUGGUAUAGUGUAAAUAUCAACAAAUUAGAUGUAGAUGCUAACAUAAUAAAUGUGAAUGCUAAGACAGCAACAUACAAUCGAACCUGCAAUUGUAUGAACCCCAAUCUCGCUUCCUAGUCCACCAUCUUUCUCUAGGUAAUAAUCUCCCUUCUAAUUUAUUCACAAAAUGCACCUUUCAUCACCUCCAAUAGCGUCGACAUGAUCUUUACCCUAGAAGACUAUUCACCGACUCUCAAUUGACGUCAGAAAAUCUAAGAGUAAUUCUACUUUACCCUAAGAUUGAUAUCAACAAGACAAGGACAAUUUAGAAUUAUUACACGCCUCUUCUUAAUAGGAAAAAGAAAUAGAGAAGAAAGUCAGGCCAGGUCUAAUUUCUUUUCAAAGGCAAUACAACAUUACGAAAUCAAGCAUUCAUUCAUACAAAUAUUUCAUAGUCACCGGUUUGCUGAGUAGAAAAAUUUAGACAAAAACUUAAUAUUAUAUUGUUUAAGAGUUAACAAUUUAGAGCUUAAUCUCCUUGUACUUUGGAGUUAACAAUUUAGAGCUUAAUCUCCUUGUACUUUGGACUAAACUUGAACGUGAAAGGAAAUCCCAAAACCAUAUUGGGCAUGAAUUCACACUUAAUAUACCCAAUAAAAGAUGGCGACUGGUGAAAGGCAGUGGAGACUGGUGGAGAGAUUUGAGGAAUAGAAGCAGACGGAAAAGCAACAAAUUUUUGCCGAAAAACGGUCACUUUCAUGGUUAAUUUUGCUACUCUCCAAUUGUACUUGACCAAUUACAACAAUUUCAUGGAGUUUGAUACGUGAAAAGAAUUUUUUAUAAAUUUUAUUUUGAUCCAUAAUGUUAUCUUUACAUAUAUAAAACAUUUUACAAUUUUGAUUUUGGCGCAGCUAACUUUUGGUUAACAAAAAUGCUCAUGUUUAAAAAACCAGAAAUAAAACAAAACAAGAAACAAAAGAAAUAAGAGGGUAGCAUAGACAUUUUGGAUUUUUCCGUUAAUUUGGAUGAUUUCCACCCACGUUCUAAUUUAAUCCAAAACACAAAGGAAUUACGUAGAGGUUUUAAAUAAUCAGGGAGCUUCAUGAUCGAACCCCAAACCACGUGAUAGCAUACAAGAGUUCUAUUUCACUAUCGGUAGACAAAGACUUUCUAUGGUUGAUGUACCGUAGGAAAAAAUCUGCCUAUACAACGUGAUAGCAUUUUUUCAAAAACACAAGAUGGAAAAUUGCCCCCUUAAACGUGGAAAUUCAUGAUCUUUCCUCGAACAAAGAAUACUCACGCCUAUUCAAGAUGGAAAAUUGCCCCCUUAAACGUCUAUUUGUCAAUUCUUGAAAAAAGAAUACUCACGCCUAAAACACGGCCUCUUCAUCUGCAGAAUUCUAAAAAGUUACGUAAACUCUAUAAACAAGUUGAUAGGUACAAUCGUACCCAAGAUCAAGUACAGAUAGUUGUACAUUCACUGCUGCAAUAACUAAUCUGAUGACUUACAAACAUAUCAUGGUCAAUCGUUGAAUGGUAAUGAGUCUUUUGUUAUGCAUUAGUAUUAGUGUGUACACUCUAAUAGAUUGAUACUUAUACUCUUUAAAUUAUCAUAAUAAUACCCUUAAUUAACUUUAACUCUUAAAAAGAAUACGUGUUAAUACACGAGAGUGUGUAACCUGAAUUGUUACUUAUACAUUAGUGUGUAAUAGAUAGGGAUGGCAGUGAGGGCGAGUGCCCGCGGGGGGCUCUCGGGGCGGGGGCGGGGGAGAAUUUUUUCCCCCCGUUUAGAAACGGGGCAGGGGACGGGGGAGUAUACCCCCGCCCCAUCCCCCGCCCCGCCACCCGCAAAAAAAAUUAUAUAUAUAUAAUUAUAUAUAAUAUGUAAUUUAAUUAGUUAUAAACUUAUGAUAAUGAUAUUAUUAGUUAGAUGUAUUAUAUAAUGUAUAUUAGUGUAUGUAAUAUAAUUAAUAUUAUCAAUUAUACGAAUAAUUAGACAUGUCCACUAAUAGAGUUUAUUAAUUAGUUAUACUAAAUUUACUAAUACAUUUGUACUAAAUUUCUAAUUACACUUAAUAGAAUAACACUUUUUUCUAAAAAAAAAAGCACAAACACAAUAAUGAAUUAGUGAUUGUAUUUGUACCAAAAGUGAAAACUUAACUAUUUUAGUUGUAUUUAUUUCAUCAUGUUGGAUUGUAUUCAAAUAAUUUUUGUUUGAUUGUUUUUAUGAGUUUCAAUUGUAAAAUUAAAAUGAAUAAUAACUUGAUGAUGUGUUGAUAUUUUAGUACUUGAUUAUUUAUUGAUUUAACUAUAAUAAAAUUUUAUUUUAUUAAAAUUUAACUAUAAUAAAAUUUUAUUAACCAAACGAGUUAUUAAUCCCGCGGGGGCACCCACGGGGGAAGCGGGGCGGGGCGGGGGAGUGGGAGGCGGGGGACGGGGCGGGGGUGGGGGGAGUUGUAGGUAGCGGGGCGGGGGAUGGGGGAGGGGUCCCCCGCCCCAACCCCGCCAUCCCCCGCCCCGUUGCCAUCCCUAGUAAUAGACUGGCAAGCAUUGUGGUGGUCAUUGAGAACUUACUGGAGAAAUAGUCCUAUAAGCUGUUCAAUGAGCAAUCACAACUUGCUAAUUGGAUGACUAAUAUAGCUCUAGCUGUAAUGUUUUAAUUAAAUUACAUCACUAACGUUGGGAUGACUUUUUAACCAAAAAAAAAUGCCUUAGUUCAAGCUUUUCCCUUUAUUGUGCAUUUUUUAAAGCAUUUGAUAGGCACUGCAAAUCUGUCAUUUUGGACAUUUUAUUAUUGACUAACAAUGAAAGCCGUGACGUCUACCCAUAACCAACACAAGAUUAAAUUAAUAUUAGAAAAAAUAAUUGAGUAAUUGGAAAAAAAAAAAGAGACUCAUUUUCAUUGAAACCCACCGACAAACUAAACGUGUCCAUGGCUUUUGAAUAGUGCAUUCAACGUUUAAUUGUAUAGUCCAGUUCAUUGCAGAUUACAUGGAGUAAAGAUUGUGCUCUUUCCUUUUUCACCCCUUUUGGAAUCGAUACUGUGGAGAAUUGGGUUUUUCCCUUCUUUUUUUCUUUUCUUUCCUUCUGUGCUUUGCAAAACAUAGGUAAAAAUAUGAAAUCCGAAGCAUUCUUUAAUUGGGAUUAAGUAUUGUUGUUGAAAUUAAAAAGAAAAAAGAAAGAACAACAAAAUUCCCAAUCUGGGUUGAUUGUUGAGCUCUAGAUUGGUUGCAUCGUGCUUCCAUAGAAGCUCUCUUAGUGUGAUACACUGCUUUCAAUCAGUUUAACACGGGAAAAAAAAAAAAAGAGAUGAAAAGCAAAUUUGGUGGGGAUAAUUUCAGAAACCUCCCCUGAAGAUUUUGACUAUUCUACUGGUCUCCCUUCAGAUUUUAAAAAUUACACUAAUCUUCCUUGAAGUUAAUUAUCUUGUAACAUUUAAAUUCAAUCAAUAAUUUAAAAAAUGAUAUUAUGAGAGAGAAAAUAAUGAUUUUAUCAUUGCCCCCCAUCUUACUACAUUAUUUAAUUAAUUUAAUAGCAACCCACACAUUAAAGAAAAAUAUUAAAAUUUGUUGUUUAUCAUUAAAGAUCAAAUCGCUUAUAACAUCAAAUAAUAGUAUAUUAUUUAUAUUUUUCACUCAAUAUAAUAUCCAAAUUACUCUUUUCAAUUACAUACCCAUUGUUAGACAAUCAACAACAAAUAACCAAAAAAUUUGCAACCAAAAUAUUACAAAAAAAUAAACUUUAACAUAUAAAUAUUCUUAUCAACAUAUUAAAGUUAGUUACUGAAAUUUUUAUGCUGUUAAACUUCACUCUUUUUGGUUACAGAUUUUUUUGAUUAUUUGUUAUUAAUUAUGUUUGAUGAUGGAUUUAUAAUUGAAAAGAACAAUUUGAAACUUACAUUAAGUAAAAUAUAUAGAGUGAUAUACUAUUUUUUAUAACAUAUGUGAUUCAAUCCUUCUUGAUAGGAUUGGUAAUAGAGGUAGAGGGGGGAGCCGGCUGCAUCCGGUCUACUUUUCAUAGAUAGUACAAUAUUGCGAAAUCGAUCGCAUUCACGCAAUAUUAUUUCCAAGUCAUUGCAUGGCUAAGCUGCAAAAAAAGUACGAACACAUGUUAUUAUAUAGCUUACGAUUCAAAACUUUAGAGCAUAACCCUCCACCUAACACAAUUGAAUAAUGAACAUUCACGUUUGUCAAAUCUGUCAAAGCACAGUUUGAGGACAACCCAUUCCAACCUGCAAAAGAUUUUUUACUUUUCUAAAGUUGUUGAGAGCUGUAAAAAGACUUACCAUGCUUGCAUCCUCCGAGCCUUGGGAGUUAAAAAUGAAGGCACUGAGUGCUAUAAAAAGGGGAAUAGAGGCUGCCUAGAAGCAUAUCAGCCUAAAACAAGAAUUUGUAGUUAAGAUGGGAAGCAAAGCAAAAGCAAUGGGGUCUGGGCUGACUCCUCUUCUUGCCACUGUUUUAGUGGUGUUUGUUGCUCUUGGCUUGCCCUCACAAACUGCAGCUGAUGAUCACUACAAGUAUUCAUCUCCUCCUCCUCCUUACCACUAUCCCUCACCACCACCACCAGUGCAUAUACCUCCACCUCAUCCUGUUUACAAGUACAAAUCUCCACCACACCCCCAGUACAAGUAUAAGUCACCACCACCACCUCCUCAUCCGGUAUACAGUCUCCUCCGCCACCACACACCCAGUUUACAAGUACAAGUCACCACCACCACCUCCUCAUCCGGUACCACACCCAGUUUACAAGUAUAAGUCUCCUCCGCCACCAGUUUACAAAUACAAGUCUCCUCCACCACCACCUCCAGUGUACAAAUACAAGUCUCCACCACCACCAGUUUACCACUACAAGUCUCCACCACAGUUUACAAAUACAAGUCUCCACCACCACCCCCAGUUUACAAAUACAAGUCUCCACCACCACCAGUUUACCACUACAAGUCACCACCACCUCCUCCCCCAGUUUACAAAUACAAGUCUCCACCACCUCCUCACCACUACUAAGCAAUUGCUUCUGAGGUAAUAACACUUGUUCAAUAUACCCACUUCUGCAUGAUAAAGCAUAUCUCUAUCAACACAAACUGUCAUGUCUAUCAUGCUAAGUGCCUUCACUUCAUCCACCAAAAUGACUGCUAGAAAAUUUUUUUUAUGUUACCAAAGAAAGGCAUCAUUUUUUCCCUCUGUUAUCAAGAACUUGUACAGUAUAUAGAUUAAAGAGUAUUUUUUUAACUAGCUUAUCAACUGAGAAAUGCAUAUAGCUGAUAGCCAGCUGAAUAUUUGCAGGCAAAGGAGAAGGAAACCAGUGUUUGAGACCUUCUUGAAGAUGUAGAAGCAUAAGAAUUAAAGCCCAAUGUGAAGAUGAUGAUUUCAAGUUUUUCUACGUUACCAUUUCUUUAUCUAAAUUGGUUGUAGCGCCUUAGUUCCUUUGUUUAUGGGAUUUGUAUCGUUUUACGUACCAUGCAGUACAUGUCAUGUUUGUAAGGUUUUCUAUCCUGCCGGCAAACCGCAGGUUCCAUGUAAUAAAUCAAUACUAUUUAUAUUACGACACUUUUCUCUGUUUCUCUUAUAUUUUGUCGUCUUUAAUAUUCUUAAUCAUAUUUUUAACAAAAAUAUUCAAACACUUAGGCAAUCUGGUCUAAUGCUAAUUGUAUGUUUUACUUUUCUUUUUCACCUGCUCCCCUUUUCAACUCAAAAGGAUGCAAUAGUUUGUGAUCACUGUUUAAGACGGAAGCAUGAUACUAAUGAAUAUCUCAUUGAAACUCAAGGAAACUAACAUUGCGAAAAGUGUAAAUCUUGAUUUGAUGCAACUAUUUAUUCGUGGAAUCUAUAGUUACAAAACUCAAAUUCUGACUGCGCCAUUGAUAAAUUAUUAAUGACGCUAUCAUCAUUAUUUAUCCCUAACUAGUUUCGACUACAACUGAACCCAAUAUUUUCCCCAUGAUAAAAGUUUUUGACUAUUUUACUGGCCUCUCUUCAAAUUUUAAAAAUUACACUAAUCUUCAUUGAGAUUAAUUAUCUUGUAACAUUUAAGUCCAAUUAAUAAUUAAAAAAUGAUAUUAUGAGAGAGAAAAUAAUAUAAUUUUAUCAUUGCCCCCCAUCUUGCUAUAUUAUUUAAUUAAUUUAAUAGCAACCCACACAUUAAAGAAAAAUACUAAAAUUUGCUGCUUUUCAUUAAAGAUCAAAUUGCAUAUGCCAUAAAACAUAGUAUAUCAUUCUAUAUGUUUCACUUAAUGUAAGAUCCCAAUUGUUCUUUUCAAUUACAAACCCAUUGUCAAUAACAAAUAACCAAAAAAUUUGCAACCAAAAUAUUACAAAAAAAAACUUCAACAUCAUAAAUAUUCUUACCACCUCUAGUGCAUUCACCCUCAUAAAAUAAUUCAAGACCCUACUGUCAUAAAAUGACUGAUCAACUCCCGUAAACCUAAUUUGACAACAUUUAAAUGGAGAACUUUAGCUAAAAGAAUUAUGGUCAAGCUAAAGAAAAAACCAGUUAUUUUCCAACAUAUGCAAUCAUUGAUCAGGGAAAAAAAAAAGAGCAAAAAGACAUCUUCAAUCAUUUAAUAGCUUACAGGGCAAAUUAACCCCUAAGCGAAAACUGGUUGCUCUAGAAUCAAAAUUUUACUUUAGUUACCCAGGCAACUUUUUUGUUGCUUUUUUUUUUUUUUUCCUUUAGUUUUGCCCCCUCUGUCAAGCUUAUAAAAUUAUUAAGAUAAUAAAAGUGCCUUGAAUAGUAUUAAUAUAUCCAUUGACUUGAGCUGUCGUCAGUUUGCGAUUCCAUGAGGCCUUUUCAAAGUACUCAGAAAAUGGGGAGUCAUGAAAUCCAUUUGUUCUAUUCAUUGCUAAGAUGCUUUUCUCUAUAAAGAGACUUCCUAACGAAAAUACUUUGUAGAUUUCUUUACUCCAAGUGGUGCAUGGAAAAUUAAUAUUUUCAAUUAUCAAAUAAAAUUCCCUUUUUUCGGCGUAGAUUUCAUCCAUCCAGCUGUUAACACAUUCUAUAAAUCCGAAUUGACUAAUCUUUUCGUUUCCAUUUUCCAACUUGCGAAUACGGCAUAUAGUGUCUGCUAAACACUAUAUAUUCUCUGCCAAAUAUGAAUACAUAUCACUUUUCUGAGCAAGUGCAGAGUCAUUAUCAUUUUUAUUCCCACCUAACAAAUUAGGGAUAAAAAAGUUAAUAAUCUUUACAUGCUAUCAGGUCACAAGUUAAUAAUCUUUUAAAGAACAUGUUAAAUUAAUUUAUUGGUAUGAAUAGUAGUCAAAGAAGUAUGUUAAAGUUAGUAAUCUUUAAAAUAAUAUGUUAAAAUCAUUCGUACAAAUUAGUCAGAGAAGUAGCAUAAACACCGCGAUGCAAUUAAUACUUUCAAUCUCAAGGUCUCUAUUAUGGAAAUUUGCAUCGGUCAAUAUACACUUGGCAUAAUAUAAUCUCCCAACUCAUUUCUUUACAAAUGCACCUUUAAUCACCACCAAAAGGUGUGGACAUGAUCUUUACCCUAGAAAACUAUUCACCGACAGGCAAAUUGACGUCAGAAAUACUGAGGAAUUCUAGUUUCCUUCGGGUUCAUGCCAUGUUGUAUCCUUCAACUGUAACUCGAUUUCUAAGCUGUAAUUUGUGACAUAAUAGUCCUUAAACUAUGAAACCCUUCUUACUUAAUUACAAUGGUUAAUACAAUGCCCGUGACUAGACAAGUAUGAAGCAACCAUAACAGAAAAAAAAUCCAAAAUUAGAGAAAAGAAAGAAGUUUCGCGACCACCACCAGUUUACAAGUCACCUCCACCACCUCCUCCAGUUUACAAGUCACCUCCACCACCUUACCAUUAUUCCUCACCACCACCUCCAGUGCAUUCACCCCCACCACCACCAGUUUACAAGUCUCCGCCACCACCUUACCAUUAUUCCUCACCACCACCUCCUGUGCAUGCACCUCCACCACCAAUUUACAAGUCACCUCCUCCAGUUUACAAGUCUCCACCACCACCUUACGAUUAUUCCUCACCACCACCUCCAGUGCAUUCACCCCCACCACCACCAAUUUAUAAGUCUCCCCCACCGCCUCCCCCAGUAUAUAAGUCACCACCACCACCUCCUCCAGUAUACAAAUCACCUCCACCACCUCCUCCAGUUGACAAAUCUCCACCACCACCAAUUUAUAAAUACAAGUCUCCUCCACUACCUCCUCCAGUGUACAAGUCAUCACCACCACCUGCUUACAAGUCUCCACCUCCUCCAGUUUACAGUUCCCCACCACCACCAAUCUACAAGUCUCCACCUCCACCCUACCAUUACUACUACAAUUCUCCUCCUCCUCCUCGUCACUACUAAGCAAUUGUAUCCAAGUUUUUGAGGUAAUAACGCUUAACCAAUAAAUUAACUUUCGCAUGAUAAACCUUAUCUCUAUCAAGACAAACUGCCAUGUGUAUCAUGCCAAAUACGUACACCUAGAUCCAUGAAAAUGAAUGGUGAGGAGGGCCAUUUAGGCUCGGAGCGCCCUAGGCCUAGUUCCCCACCAUUUCCUGAAGUGCCGCCUCGGGUAUUAUCCUGGAAGGCGAUCGCGGCCCAUUUACCACCUCGGCUACAAUGUCAGGUCGUAACACCGAGGUGGACAUUGAAUGACAACUACGAAAAGGGGAGAUGUGAUCUCUGACACCUGAGCAAAGGCUGCUCUGACCCGCCGCCUGAAUCUGACAGAAUGUCCCAUCACGUCUCUUCAUGGAGACCGGUCAAGUCCACCUGAUCCACUGACUAUCUCAGAUCUUUUGGGACCCGUGCAAACAUCUCCUCUCUCCUAUCAGUCCCCUAUAAAUACACGAUACUUCUACUGAAAAAGGAGAUGACCAAUUUCUGGUAAAACACACUCCACUCAUUAUUUACUUCUCUAUAUCCGAACUGACUUAAGCUUCGGAGUUAUACCGGGGGAUCCAGCCCCUUUCUUAUCCAAGCAGGUGACUUCGUCCAAGAGAGUUGCCCAAGGUAAAGAUAUUCUUCCAAUUGAGGUGACUCACUCCUGCGGGUCGAAAAUCACCUCUUCAAUUGGCGCCGUCUGUGGGAACCGCAAAGAUAUUAGAAGAUGAAGCCUGCGCGUUCUAGAAGCAGAAAAGCUCUCACUAUCGAGGCUGGGCAAAGCAAUGCAGCUCAACAAGAAAAUAUUUCUGAAGGGCAGGAGUCCCCAAGGACUCAGCCCGCAAACGAAAAAGCCAUAACCCGUAUGGCCGAGUUUGUGACCGAGAACCCCAACAUCUUUGAAGAGUUGGGAAGAUACCUGAAGAGGCAAGGCAAACAAAAGGCCGAGUCCUCUAAAAGGAUGUCAGAUGGGUCUCUUGAGGACUCAUCUGAGGAGGAGUCGGAUGGAAGGCACUUAAGCCGAAGUGCCUCAAAGCGAGCAUUUUCUAAGGCCACUUCUAAGGUAGCCUCCCUGACCAAGGCGUUUUCCCGAGGGCUCUUGGGCCGACGACCCGAGGAAGAACCUCGGCCCUUGGGAAUACCCGGGGUGGACUGCAUGAGGGCUCCACCGUUCACGGAUGAUAUAAACGAGGAAAGGCUUCCUCCCAAUUUUAAGCUCCCCGCAGUACAAUCUUACGAUGGCCGAGGUGAUCCCGAGAAUCACAUCCAUACCUUCAUCUCGGCCUUCCAAAUAUACUGCAUCCCAGACCCUGUCAUAUGUCGGGCCUUUCCAGUAUUCCUCAGAGGAACUGCUCGAAAAUGGUUCUGAGCUCUAGAACCUAGGAGCAUUUCGACCCUGGGUGAAUUAGUGGAGAAGUUUCUCCACCGAUUUGUCUCCUCCCGACCUACGACUAGGACCUCGGCUUACCUGCUCACCGUGCAGCAGAACCCGGGAGAGUCACUCCGGUCGUACGUCCGGAGGUUCCAUGAGGAAAGCGUUCAGAUACCUGACCCCAAUGAGCAGGUAACCCUCGCUGCCUUUACCCAUGGACUCGUUGCCGGGGAGUUCAAUACGGGGAUCCAUAAAAAAUACCCCCGCACACUGCAUGAAUUGUGGUUGAAGGUUGAAAAGGGCAUACAGGCCGAAGACCUCCAUCGCAUGAAGAAAGAGGUCCAAGCCACCCGUCCAAGGGCUGAGCCCAGAAAGGGAAAAGACGCUGGCCGAACUGAAGUAGGGUCGGGAAGUGGCUUCCGAAGUCCUGGCCGAGACCGCCGCAGCGUGUUCGACAGGAUAUCCAAGGGGAAGUCACCUAUUCCCGAGUCCGAGUUGACUCCUUUAAAUACUACCCGAUCUCACGUGUUGUCCGUGAUGGAACAAAACAACCUCGGCAAGGGCCCGCCGAGGAUGUUUGGAAGCAGAGACAAGAGGAACUCGAACCUCUACUGCUUGUAUCAUCGUGACAUUGGUCACGAAACUGAGGAUUGCAACGAUCUCAAGAAGGAGAUCGAGAACCUCAUUAGACGGGGACACUUGAAACAGUUCAUCCGCAGAGGUGGAGGUCACCAACGUGACGAAAACCGGCAUGACAAAUGAGGUGACCAACGCCGAGAUGAGCGGCGGAGCUCCAGAAGCAGUUGCCGACCUCCUGAGGAUCCCAGGGAGACGAAAAGGCCUCCCCCAGACGGAUCUUCGGGACAUGGGCCAACCAUUGCCCGGGUCAUUAACACCAUUGCCGGAGGUCCGACGGGAGGGGACAGUCAGAACUCCCGGAAGAGAACCUAUAAGCAGGCUAACCCGGAUCAGGCCGAGUCGAGUUCUCGCCUGUCCGAGGUGAUCACCUACGGGCUCAGUGAUCCCAUCCCAGCUGCAUCCAGCAGUCAUGAAACCUUGGUGAUUGAAGUCCUCACCAAUAACUACAUUGUGAAAAGGUCUACAUAGACCCGGGAAGUUCAGUUGACGUCAUGUACCUCCGUACCUUUGAGAGCCUUAAAAUGGCUAAGGGGUGCAUGACCCCGCUGAGAACCCCUCUUGUAGGGUUCGGGGGACACGUGGUGCACCCCGAAGGGAUGGUGACUCUGACAGUGACCAUAGGGCAUCACUCUCGCUGUAGAACCGUCCCUGUCAAUUUUGUGGUGGUUAAGGCUGACUCCCCAUACAACCUACUUUUAGGUCGGCCUACGCUCAAUGCCUUGCGGGCGGUCUACUCCACCUACCACCUGAGCUUCAAGUUUCCUACCCCAGCAGGGGUGGCCGAGGUCAGCAGCGACGUCUGUGCUGUCCGGGAGUGCUACCUCGCCACCCUACAAGCAGCCUCCCCGUCUACCUCCGGUGCGAGGUCCGAGAAGAGGUCAAAUAUCCUCUCAAUAGAUAGCAUCGAUCCUCAGUGAGCUGAGAAGGUCCCGAGGCUGGAGACUGGGGAUGAGGUGGAAGAGAUUCCCCUGGACCCCACGAAACCUGAUCAGACAGUUCGCGUUGGUACCCGAUUGCCCGGUCCUAUCCGAAGAGGUAUGAUGGACCUCCUCAGGGAAUACCGGGACGUCUUUGCUUGGGCCGCCGAAGAGGUCCAAGGAGUCCCGCACCAUCUCAUGAUGCAUGACUGAACGUCGACCCCCAAGUCCGUCCGGUCAAACAGAAGAGAAGGCACAUCGGCCCUGAGCGCAGCCAAGCUGUUGGUGAGGAAGUGGACAAGCUUUUACCCGCUAAAAUAAUCCGAAAAGUCCAAUACCCGAUCUGGUUGUCUAACUCGGUCAUGGUCAAGAAGGAUACGGGGGCUUGGAGAAUGUGCGUCGAUUUUACCGACCUCAACAAAGCCUGCUCCAAGGAUUGCUACCCCUUGCCCAAAGUCGAUACUUUGGUAGACUCAGCAAUGGGCUACGAGAUCCUCUGUUUCUGGGAUGCAUUCAAAGGCUAUCACCAAAUUGGGAUGAGUCAAGAAAACCAGGAGAAAACGGCCUUCUACACCGACCGCGGCACGUACUGUUAUACUACCAUGCCAUUCGGGUUGAAGAAUGCCGGAGCCACUUAUCAACGCUUGGUCAACCAAGCAUUCAAGUCUCAAAUCGGCCGGAAUGUUGAGGCCUAUGUAGAUGACAUCCUCCUCAAAAGCCAGACGAACUCCACCUUCCUGGCCGACUUGAAGGAGGUCCUUGACAUCCUGCGGAAGGUGAAAAUGAUGCUGAACCCCAAGAAAUGUGUUUUUGGGGUCACCUCGGGGAAAUUUCUAGGUUACCUCGUCUCAAGGCGAGGUAUCGAAGCAAAUCCGGAUAAGGUGCGAGCCAUCCAGGAGAUGUCUCCACCCCGGUGCGUCCGCGAUGUCCAAAGGCUGACAGGGCGAUUAGCCGCCCUGAAUCGGUUCUUAUCGCAGUCGGCAGCUAAAGCACUGCCCUUUUUCAAAGUGUUGAAGAAAGCUGACCAUUUCUCCUGGACGGAAGAGUGUCAACAGGCGUUUGAGCAGUUGAAGGAUUACCUUCACUACCUUCCAACGCUCACCUCACCUCGUCCGGGGGACAAAUUAAUCUUAUACCUUUCUGCUGCGGCCGAAGCGGUGAGUGCCGUGCUGAUAAGGAAGGAAGGGGUCCAAAUGCCCGUCUACUACGUUAGCCGAGUCCUCCGAGGUCCAGAGACCAGGUACACACAAGCAGAGAAACUUGUGCUAGCCCUGAUCCACGCCGCCCGCAGACUCAAGCCCUACUUCCUAGCUCACCACGUCUGCUUGAGGACUGAUCAACCACUUCGGCAGAUUUUGACACGACCAGAGGUUUCGGGACGUCUUACCAAAUGGGCCAUUGAGCUGGGGGAGUACGACCUAACUUAUGAGCCUCGCACAGCGAUCAAGGCCCAGGCUCUCGCAGACUUCGUAGCCGAGCUCACCUUUGACGAGGUGCAAGGAUCCGUCCCGGCUGCCACAUCGGCCACAGUUGAUGUGGCCACCACUGGGCUCCAGCGGUGGAUCCUACACGUGGACGGUUCGUCAACAGUGAGGGUAGUGGAGCAGGCUUGCUCCUCGAAGACCCCCAAGGAGAAAUAUGCUAAUAUGCCUUAAGAUUUGACUUCGCUGCUUCAAACAAUGAAGCUGAAUACGAAGCCGUCAUUGCUGGACUGCAGCUAGCUCGCAAGCUCGGGGCCGCACACAUCUUGGUUUAUAGUGAUUCCCAACUCGUCGUGUGCCAGAUAUUAGGUGAGUACGAAGCCAGGGACGAGGUGAUGCAUCGUUACCUCUCCAAGGUCCUCCAGUUGGCGACUCACUUCGAGUCUUUUGAAAUUCAAAGAAUACCGCUAUCGAAAAACAGAAGGGCUGACGCCCUCUCCCGGCUUGCCUCAACCUCUUUCUCUGACCUGAACAAGACGGUUCUCGUUGAAGUUCUAGCCGAACCAGGAUAUGUAGCCGAGGUAGUAUACCCCGUCUACCCUGGGGACACCUGGAUGGGUCCCCUGACUCGAUUUUUCAGCCAGGGUGAGCUCCCCGAAGACCGAGCUGAGUCACGGAAGCUCCAACGAAAAGCAGCACGGUACAUUCUCCGACAAGGCCUUUUAUACAAAAGGUCUUACCUCGGCCCUUAGUUGCGAUGUAUCACGCCCGAGGAAGGCCAGAGAAUCCUCCAAGACAUACAUGAGGGGCUCUGUGGUGCUCACGUCGGCUACAGAAUGCUGGUAAAAAAGGCUUUGUUACUUGGGUAUUUUUGGCCCACUAUGAGGAUAGAUGCCCAGGUCAUGGUCCUUUGCUGCCCCUCCUGCCAGCAUCACGCUCCUGAGCACCACCAGCCGACCAAUUUAAUGAUCCCUAUCACCUCGUCAUGGCCAUUUGAGCAAUGGGGAACGGACAUAAUUGGCCCCUUUCCCAGAGCUCCAGGCAAUUAUACCUACGUGGUGGUAGCAGUGGACUACUUCACCAAAUGGGUCGAAGCUGAACCCCUAAAAAAUAUCACUGGUGCGGCAGUCCAGAAAUUCUUCUGGAAGAAUGUGGUUUGCCGCUUCGGCCUACCCCGGGUGAUCAUCUCGGAUAAUGGCCGACAGUUCGCCGAUAAUCCUUUCAAGGCCUGGUGUGAGAACCUCGGGGUCAAACAGCAUUUCACUUCGGUGGGACACCCCCAAGCCAACGGACAAGCCGAAAACUUCAAUCGCACGCUCCUCCAUGGCCUCAAGACCAGGCUCCACCAGGCUGGAUCGUUUUGGAUGGAAGAGCUCCCCAGUGUGCUGUGGUCCUACCGAACUACGCCGAGAUCAGCAACCCAGGAAACCCCGUUUUCCUUAACCUACGGGUCAGAAGCUGUUGUUCCAGCCGAAUUCAUCACCCCGAGUCCACGAAUGGCCGCAUAUGCUGCCGAAGUCAAUGAAGAAGAACGGCGAGUUGACCUCGACCUCGUCGAAGAGAAGCGUGAUAUGGCCGCGGCCAAAGUUGCUGUUUACAAAAAUAUCGUAGCUGGCUACUACAACGCUCGGGUUAAACAUUUGCGGUUCAGUCCGGGAGACCUGGUGCUCAGGAAGAACUCAGUCAGCCGGGCUGAACCUCAGGGUAAACUAACCCCCAAGUGGGAGGGACCAUACCGUGUUGUUGAGUCCAGCCAAAAUGGAUAUUGUAAAUUGGCAUACCGAGAUGGGUCUCUGAGUGCCCCGAACUUGGCAUGCUGAAAAUCUUAAGUUGUACUACCCUUGAGGGUAUGUGCUUUUAAUCUUGAGUUAUUUCACACUUAUUUUCAUUUCAUUAUAAGUGAAAAAUAAGGGGACAAAGUAGCAGUAAAGAGGAAAACCGAAUUUAAUUAAAAAGAAAGCAAGAAUAUGAACUCAAUUCCAUUGAAUUACAUAAAAGUAGAAAGCCGAGGUCACCUUUAAUUAGGAAGAAAGCAAGAAUAUAAACUCAAUUCCAUUGAAUUACAUAAAAGUAGAAAGCCGAGGUCACCUUUGACCUCGGCCUACAAUGACAAAAAAAAAAACAAGUGCCUCUAGGCACUCCCUACCCUGACAUCCUGGCCCCCCGUGGUCGCGCCACCCGUUUCGGCACCCUGUCCACCCUCAGCUCCUCCACCGGCCUGGUCGUCUUCAGUACCAUCUAGUUCAAACUCCUGGAGCCAUUUGUUGAAUUCGGCUCGGACUUCGGUUAGGUCUUUCUCAGUCCGGAUGCCCUCAGCCAUGCUGUCGCAUAGCUCCUUGGCAUCCUCGUUAUAGUGCGAAGUGCUCUGAAGGGACUCCAGUUGUUCAGAGGGAAGAAAGGAUGCCGCGUCAUUAAUAGCCGACGUGUACCCGAACAUGAAGCUUGGCCGGGUGAGCUCGCCGAGGUCACGGAUGAAGGACUCUGACGUCCGGAAGGCUUCCACAGCAGUGACCCCGGCCUUGUCCAUGGCCUCCCUGUUUGACUGUUCUUCUUGGGCCCUCCUUUUUUUCUCCUCAUCAAGAGCAGUCACCAGGGAAUUGUUCGCGACCUCGGCCCUUUUGUUAGCCGCCUUGGCCUUGUCACGCUCCAACUCGGUUGCCUUCAGUUUUUCUUCCAACUCGGCAAUUCUCUUCUGGAGCUCGGCAGGAGGCUCAUAGUUUUCCAUGAACUUUCCAUACCGUUGAAUCAUCUCGACAAAAAAAGCCGUGGUAGAGGCCCAUGACACCGAGGCGCUCUGCAUCAACUCCCCUGCGGAGAGCUUCCUAGCAUAAGUGCUAUCUCGUGGCAGCACUGAAUGCACCAAGAGCUCCUGAGCGACCAAAGGGUUCUUGCAGCGAUCGUUGAAAUUAAUCUCCCACUCUGGACACCAGUGUGAUCCGGGGUGUCUCUUGUCCUCCUCAGCUGCCUUGAAAGGCACAUGAUGGAGUUUGAACAAAGAUGACCCCGUGACGGGGUUCUCCGGAAAUAUGGUCACACCCUGACCCCGGGGGGGAGUGGCAAUCGUGACCCAGCGAGAAGGGAUUCCCACCGGAAUUGCCGAGGCUCGGGAACCUCCCGGAGUGGCCGAGGUGUGCGAGCCCUCGCCCACGAUCACCACGGCAGGCUCGCGGUCGCCCGACGCCGCGGUGGUUUUCUUAGCCGGCCUGGAAGAGGACCCUGCAGUGUCCUUGCGCUUUUUGGGAGCUCUUUUGACCACCUCGACAUCUCCCGAGGUUAUCAGGUCGAAAAUCUUCGUCACUGCAAAGUAGGAGACGAAGUCAGUUAGAAUUCAAGAGGGAUAAACUAAAAGGGAAGAAAUGGAAAAAUACAAAGUCUGUGAAGCCUAGUCGAGAGUAAGACAGGCUGGUCAGAGCUCGUCAAGGCUCAACUGAUCCCGCCUUCCACGAGCACCACUUCGGGAAAAUCCCAGCAGUUUAUCCUGAGGCCCGACCCCGUUAACUUCUGGAAGUUACGCUCUUCUAACUUCCCUGGAGAUAUCUCCUUGAUCGAGGUGGGAGGCCUCCACCAGAAUCCGCGAGGGAAGUCAUCGGCCGAGACGAAGAAGAAGUUUUGCUUCCACUCCUUUAUUGAGUUCGGAGCAUCAACCACCAACUUCGGAACUUUGUUUCCGAAGUAGAACCAUCCUUUUUCACUUCUGCUGUUCUUGAGUGAGUAACAGCGGCGAAAGAGGUUGACCUAAGGUUGUAUCUCCUGAUGUCGGCAAAGUAGCUGGAAGCCAACGAGAAUGCGAAUAGCGUUAGGGGUGAGUUGAGUGAUUCUCACCCCCCAGUACCUCAGGCAGUCCCGAAGAAACCUCGUCGUGGGCACUCUGAGUCCGGCCUCCAGCUGUUCCUGAUAGAUAGUCACCUUGCCCUUUGGUGGCAGUGCGGCUGACUGAUGCGGUUGGGGUAUGUAAAUACUAUAAUCCCUUCUCCAGGGAUACCUGCGGACCACCUCGGCUAUUGAGGCUUGUCCCAUACCACUACUGAAGAACGGCAUCUGGCCGUAGUCGAGAGUUGCCACGUUUGGAGGAGUGGAAGGUUCUUGUACUCCCUCGUCUCUAGGGAUCUCAAUCCCGAGGUCAUCGUUGUAUAGGACCUCGGGCUGGACCUCGAUCUCCUCGGGCUGCACCUCAACCGCCUCAGCUCGGCGUGAUGCCUCGGCACCUCCACCCUCAGCUUGGUGAGAUGCCUCAGCACCUCCGCCCUCGGACGCGGUCCUUUCCUGGGAGGGGUCAGGCCUCUCUGCCUCAGUGAGGUCAGGUCUCACUGUCUCUUUGUGCGUACGAGCUGUUCUAGCCAUUGUAUCAGAAGGGGAAGAAGUGAACUUACUUAGAAUCUGCGACUGGAAGAAGAUGCCGAAGUAGACGUGGUUUAGAAAGGUUGCCGAAGUGAAAAGAGAAAGAAACAGAGUUCUGGGGUGAUUCUUGAUUUUUGGUGAAGAGUAAAACGGUGAAAAAAGACCACUAUUUAUAGGCCACCAGGGUGAAACCCAAGAGACGGCACCCUCUCUCUUCAUUAAUGGGAGGACUGUUCGUCUGCCAACACAGCUGACAGCCGUCCCUUCAGUUAUCACUCAGUCCCAUCUAUGCGGUCAUGACGUGUCCGUGUUCCGUGUUUUAUACGCUUCUCAGCUUCGGGAAGUAACGACCACGGCGGAUGCCCAUCUCGCCCUUCUCAAAGCUUGGGGGGCUUAGUGAGGAGGGCCAUUUAGGCUCGGAGCGCCCGAGGCCUAGUUCCCCAUCAUUUCCUGAAGUGCCGCCUCGGGUAUUAUCCUGGAAGGCGAUCGCGGCCCAUUUACCACCUCGGCUACAAUGUCAAGUCGUAACACCGAGGUGGACAUUGAAUGACAACUACGAAAAGGGGAGAUGUGAUCUCUGACACCUGAGCAAAGGCUGCUCUGACCCGCCGCCUGAAUCUGACAGAAUGUCCCAUCACGUCUCUUCAUGGAGACCGGUCAAGUCCACCUGAUCCACUGACUAUCUCAGAUCUUUUGGGACCCGUGCAAACAUCUCCUCUCUCCUAUCGGUCCCCUAUAAAUACACAAUAUUUCUACUGAAAAAGGGGAUGACCAAUUUCUGGUAAAACACACUCCACUCAUUACUUACUUCUCUAUAUCCGAACUGACUUAAGUUUCGGAGUUAUACCGGGGGAUCCAGCCCCUUUUCUUAUUCAAGCAGGUGACUUCGUCCAAGAGAGUUGCCCAAGGUAAAGAUAUUCUUCGAAUUGAGGUGACUCACUCCUGCGGGUCGAAAAUCACCUCUUCAAAUGGUAGAAAGUUUUCUUAAGAACCAAGAACAGCAUUAGUAUUCCCUCUGCUUCCAAAAACUUGUGUAUUAAAUAGAUUAAUGAAUUGUUUAACAUGCUCAUCUACUUGAAAAUGCACAAUACCCAUAACCCACUGAAAUUUUUGCAGGAAAAGGGAAAGAGAAUCUGUGUUUGAGAGCUUCAUGAAGAUGUUGAAGAAUAAGAAUAAAAGCCCAAUGCGAGGAUGUUUUCAAGUUUUUCUAUGUCCACUUUAAUUUGUAAAUUGAAUUUUACAACUCAAUUAAUUCCUUGUUUGUGAGGUACGUAUUGUUUUACGUACCAUGCCGUACAUGUUUGUAAGGAUUUCUAUCCUAUUGGCAAAAGUCGGUUCCAUACAAUUAAUCAAUUCAUUUCACUUCUAUUGGCUCUACUAUUUAUGCAUGUUACGACACUCUUUCCCUUAUAUUUUGCCUUUAAUAUUAUGAGUCAAUAGUAAUAAUGGGCCUUUUUCUUAAAAUUAUACUAUUAUACAUAGGUAGUUUGGUCUAACGCUAAAUUCAUGUUUGUCUUUCUUUUAUUCCCUUUACAUCUCAAAGUAUACUAUAGUUUGUAAUCAUUGUGGUGAUGAUAUUACCAGCUGGUACUUAUAGUUUAAGGCAGAGACAUGAUAUUAACAACUAUCUCAUUGAAACAUAAGUCAAAAUCAUGACAAGUGUGAGUCUUGGUUAAUGCACAAUUUGUUAGUGGAAUUUAUAUUUAUAAAACUCAAAAAAAAUUUUUGACAAUGCUAUUACUAAUUAAUUAAGGACUUCAUUGCUAUAAUUUAUCGCUUACUAGUUUAAACUAUAAAUGAUCUCAAUACUUUUCUCCAUGAUGUCGAUUUCUUUAGACUACGAAAGGGAAAAAUUAGUGACAUAUCCCUUACUGAUUACAACAUCAGCAAAAAUUAGUUAUAAACUUUUCCGGUGGUUUUAAAUCCCUCGGGCACUAAGGUUUUUUGCACAUCGAGUGAAUUAAGGAACAUAGGCAAUUCGUUCUGCAUACCAAGUCCUUGUUUAAGAUGCACGUACUAAAAUGCAUCCACUUCAUUAAUUUGGAAAAUUGCCAUAGUUUUUUUUAAGCAUUUUGAUUUUUUACAUGAUUCAAAAUUUUCUUAUUGGAUACAAUCACUUUGUGUCAAGAACACAUUUUCAAUCAUCUUUUUUAUCUUCUCAAUAAGAAAAUAAAAAUUUAUUCAUGCUUUUCUAACAUAUCCAAUCAUUGAUCUGAAAAAUAAAGAAUUAAAAAAAAAAGACAUUUUCAAUCAUUGCUUACAGGGCAACUUCCCCAUGUGAACCUCUUCAAACAAAGCCAAUAAUAUGAAGGAACAUCUAAAUACACUUUUGCCCUAAAGGCUGGUUGCCUUGGGGUCAAAAUUUAACCUUCGGGAGUAUAAUUACCCGCCAAAUUUAUUAUUUUUUAUGGGUAUAUAGUUCCAAUUUUGCCUCCUGUUAAGCUUAUAAAUAUAUUACGACCCAGAAAAUAAAGGAAUCUUGAAUAGUAACAUGUCCAUUGACUUGAGUUGUCAUCAAUUUGGCUACUUCGAUUCCAUGAGGCCAAUCCAAUUCACACUAGCUAGAGAAAAUGGUGAUAAAGGCACUUAGAAAUUUAUAUGUAAUAUUGAUUGGUAGUAACUGAUAAGUAUAUAUUUUACGUGUUUUAAAUAUGUUUUAUUAGUUAGUUUUGGUGUGUUUUAACUACUUUUAUAACUAAUUAACUAGGAAUCUAGUGAAAAUAUGCAUUUUGUGGUUUGAAGUGUGAAAAUUGUAUUUCUAUGGAUUUUAAUGGUGAAAACUUCAUGUUUUUGUAGGUUUAAUGAUUCAAUCAUCAAAUGACAUGAUUUGAGAAGAUAAUUAGAUGAUUGAUGAUGUUUUGAAGUGAUAAAAAGAGAAUACAAAGUGCAAGAGAGGAAAUGCAAUCAAGAAUAAAAGAAGAAAAUUUUUGUAGCUUUGACAUAUUGUGGUAUUUUGGCAAUAUAUUGAGCUACAAUGAUUGGAUUAAGGUGAUUCUUAAACCAUUUGAAGCUAAGAUAUAGAUCUACAUUUGGUAUGAAGGCAUCGAAACCCAUGUCAGUCAUUUUCCUUGUCAAAAUGUUGAAAUACAGAAGUGCAACUCUGUUCUCGAAAGCUAAAACAGAGCUCUGGCUAGUCGAGGGUAUUUUCAUCAUUUCUUAGUCCACAGAGCUCCAAAUGAGAUGAUUCUUAAGGCAUUAGAACCCUAACUCAAAGAGCUACAACUUUCAUAUUUUGUACAAGAGUUAGUUCGGCCUCCAUCAUUCAGAAAAUAGUAGUUGAAGUGGUGCCAAAUGCAUAGAAGUGAAAACGCGAGCUAUCAAUACUCGACCUGAAGUCGCGUAUUCCUGAGGUCAUGCAUUCUCUUCUAUUUUCUGCAACUUGCCCUGCUUUCACAUAAUUUUUUCAUCUCAAUUCCAACUAUCAAUUUCGGCUAUAUCUGAUCAAGAAAAGUGUGGAAAGUUUGAAAGACAACUCAUAGGAGUUUCAAGAGUCAAAAAUUACAAUUAGAAACAACUCAUUUGGCUCUUGAAUCCUCUAUAAAUAGAGGCCUUUGAAGAACAUUUUCACAACUUUGGAAGGUUAGAGAAACUCCACAAAAACAUAGUCUUCACUAGAAUUUCCUUAGUUCAUUAGUUAGGGUAGUAUAGUAUAGUUAGUGUAGCUUUUCCUUCUUGUAUUUAUAGUUAGGUUUGAAUGAAGAUUCAGGAGCAAAGAUAGAGAGGUUGAUCUCAUGUGACAAGGGUGAUAUCUCUUCUACUACUUUCUCUUUUGUAUUUGAUUUCAUAUUUAACUAUACUACAAAUUUGGCUUUGUUUUUUUUUUUUAUCAUGUUUAGUUAAAGUUUAUGCCUAGAGUAUGGAUGACCUUUCUAUAUCUUGUUUGUGAUAUUUAACUGGUUAUUUGAUGAUGUUAUUUUUGAGCAAGUUAUUUAUCACUUUUGCUUUUCUAAUCGUGAUUAACUGGCCAUUAGUUGUGAUUAUCUAAAAGUGUUAAGUUUGUAAUGAGAAUUGGAGUUUAACACUAGUUCAAGGAAGUGAUAAAUUUAGGGAGUUCACUCAUGAGAGUAGAGGAACACCUUUGUGACCUAAGUGACUUGUUUCAUAUAAUUUCAUAGAAAAAAUGAACUUGUAAUUAAUUUCAUAACCACGAGAGUAAGUAUGGUUUAGCUAUAUGUAUAGUUGAUUCACUACGAGAGUAGGUUUCACAUACAUUAGAAAAUUACAUCAUAACUAGUCAAGAUAAUAUCAUUCAUUUAAUCAGUAAUCUCAUUUGCAUGAGUAGUAAGGCAUUCCAUAUCUCUAGGAGGUUUUUAGUAUUAUUUUCAUUACUUUUAUGUUUAUGGUAGUCUAGAUAAUAAUGGAGUUCAAAAACUACUAGUAAUUGAAAAUUUUCCCUGUGGGAUCGACCUUUAAUACCCUAUACUCGCUCUCGACUCGUAUACUUGCGAAAAAUCACGUGUGCGGUAUUUAGAAUUUAUAAAUGUAAAACUUGACUGUAGAUGAACUAAUUGAUAUAUGUAUACCCCGCACUCGUCAGUAACCAGCUUGUAUUGAUCCCAUUAUUGUGGAUAAUUGUGCUCUUAUGAAAAAAAAUUAUAAAAAAAUUAGCAAAAUUUAUGAUAACAAAUUAAAUUUAUUCAUACAAAUCAGUGAAAGAAGUAGAAUUUUAAAGACCAUGAUGAAAUUAAUACUUUCAAGGGCUCUAUUAGGAAGACUUCACUUGUUGGUGAAACUACACUAGCACAGUUAUAUGCACAUUUACUGUUUUGGUAUCUAAUUUCCUUGCCUUAAGUUGGGUGCAGAUGUUUAUAUUACAAAUAGAUGGUAUCAUAAAAUUGUUGUAUUCACGUUUGUUCUUUUUUUUUCUUCCUUAAGUUUUUUUCUUUAUUCUCGUGACUUCAAAAAUACGAACUCAAGAAAUUGGCUGCUUAAUCAAUAUGUCAUACAGGCUUCGCUAGUGAGGUAUAACUUCACAACUAGAGUCAAUAGAAAUUAUCAAAUGAUUUUUUAACAUCCAAAUUAAGCAAUAAAUUUUGUUUUCAUUUUAUGACAUAUAAUAGUACUACUUCAUGAGAGAUUUUAUAGUUUCUUUUAGGUAUCAUACCUACAAGUGAUAUUUGUCAUUGGAUAGUGACAGAAGUGUUAAUGAUUGUAAGAUUAAAUAUUGUUAAAUAUUGAAAUUUAAACUAUUUAUCUUUAUUGAAAGAUACAAGUUAAAGAAUCGUUCAAGGGGGCAAUUUUCCAUCUUGUCUUUUUGAAAAAACGCUAUCACAUUGUAUAGGCAUGAUAGGUUCAAAUUUGUCAUUAAAUUUAUGAUUGAUUUCCCUUUUAUUCAAGCCAAAUAUUGUUUUAAUUAUCAAAUUCUACUUAUAUUUGGUUAAUUGUACUAAUUGUAGGGCGGUAGAGCAAAAGUUGCUAAAAAUAGGUGAUUUUCUGCAAAUUGGUUGUCAAGGCUGAAGGAUUUGGGAUUCGCAUGUUCAAGGCCUGUUUCCAAGUUUGAUUCAAACUCUGGACAGUUUUAGAGGAAGAUUUGGAAGAUUUGAAAUUUCAUUAUUAGUUUUAUGGUUGAAUUAGGAAUCUUGGAAUAAUUUCUUUUGUGAUUUAUUUUUCUAUUUAGGAGACUAGUUGUUAUUUAGUAGUAGACUUCAAUUAGAAAACAAAGAGAAAAAGAAGGCCGGAAUCCCGCUUGAUUAAUACCUUGGCCAGGGAACAAUCUCGGUGGGGAGGACGGCCACUUAGCCUCUCAAUUCAUCUUGCUUUUCGUUAGUUUGAGAGGAAAACCAAUUGCAACUAGAUUCAAUGGAGUCUGGCAGAAUUUCUUCUAGGAUGCGUAGCUAAAUCCUCAAUUUUUAGUCGAAGGUCAAUUUGAAAAUUCGGUUCCAAAUAUCUGUGAAAUCGAAUUAUUUUACUUAUUUCUUUUAUUUAUUGGUAUUCGCACGUUUUCUGAUUUAACUUUUUAUGAUUGUUUUGUUAUUUGAAUGUCAAGGGUCCGAUAUUCGAAUUAACUUAAUAAUCUACUGCCAAAUUAACCGGUUAAAUCCGUAAUUGUUUGAUUGAUUAAUAUCAGUGGCGACUAGCGUGAUUGGUCCCAUGUUAGGAAAACGUCUGAUCUAAUUUAAACAAACCGUCGUAGCGUGUUUGUUGAUUAGGGUUGGACUUUUCUAAUUCUUAAUUCAAUUGAGAAAUUAAAUCUCCCGGUCGUACCUAAGAUUAUUUUUUUGUUAGCGAAAUAGUUAAUGGUCGUACCUUGACUAUCGAAAAAGUAAGGAAGAGUUGAUUGUUUAUCGCGUGUACGACAACUAUAAUCAAUCUAUUAAUGAGUAAUUGAAUUAUCUUUGCAUCAGUAAUCAGUUGAAUGGACCGUGUCUGAAAAGUUGUACCUUUGGCUAGAGUCUUAUCUGUUGUUGAUUCAUUCAUAUCUAUCUUCAUGCGUUGUUUUAAUUUAGUUAAUUAGUUAUUUUUAUAAAAACCCCUCAUCUCUGGACUCUAAAAGAAAUAAAUUAUUUCUAGUUCCUGUGGAUUCGAUCCUACUCACCGCUAUAUACAAAAUUUGUAUUUUUUUGAAUAAAUAAUUAUUAUUACACAGGCUUGACACCUGUCAAGGCAAAAUUUCCUUAACUUCAUCAUCUGUAGACGUAAACUUUCUACGGGUGAUAUAAUAUAAGGAAAUUUUGCCUAUACGAUGUGAUAGCAUUUUUUCAAAAAAGACAAGAUGGAAAAUUGCUCCCUUGAACGGAAAAAAUCAUGAUCUUUCCUCAAACUAGUCUACUAGUCAAUUCUUUACAAAAGAAUACUCGCUCCUAAACAUAGCCUGUUCAUCUACACUGUCCCGCAGAAUUCUAGAAAGUUAGGCAAAACUAGACAAGUUGACAGGUAUAAUCAUACCCAAGAUCAGGAACAAGCAGUUGCACAUUUCAAAAUUCGCUGCUGCAACAGCUAAUUUGAUGACUUACAACACUACACGGUCAAACUUUGAAUGGCAAUGGAUCUUUUGUUGUACGUCAUGAUGUAAUUUUCAUGUUACAUACAUUAAUAGGUUGAUAUCUAUAUUCUUUAAAUUAUCAUGAUAAUACCCUUAAUUAGAUUUAACUGAUAAAAAGAACACGUGUUAAUAUACAAAAGUGUGUAACGUGAAUGUUACAUUACUGUAUUGCAGAAGACCUAUAGUCUCUUCAUAUCUCUUCCUGCACGUAUCAAUUCGUUUCCUCUAGAUAAUAAUCUCCCAACUCGUUUCUUUACAAAUGCACCUUUUAUGUUUUAUUACCUCCAAAAGCCUUUACAGGGUCUUUACCCUAAAAAUCAAUUCACCGACUCGCAUUUGAUGUCAGAAAUUCUUAAGACGAAUUCUACUUUACUCAAAGAUUGACUGUUAAUAAUGAGACAGCGACCAUUUUGUAUUAUUAGACCGUCCUUCUUGAUAGGUAAAAGAAAUAGAGAGGAAAGUGGGUCCGUAUAUGGUCUUUUAUUCAUAGAUAAUACAACAUUACGCCAUCGAGCAUUCACACAAUAUUUCAAAGUCAUAGCAUGCCUAAGGCCCUGUUUGAUAGCUCAAUUUCGUAAUUAAAUUUAAUAGAUUCAAAUUUUAACACAUUUAAAUCAUUUGAUAACAAAAAAUUGAAUAUUUAAAUUAAUUAAGUAACACUGAACUUUCUAAACAAAACUUGCUUUCAAAAUUAAGUGAUAAGUUAUUCACUUAUCUUUGAAUGUGAUAUGCACUCAAAUAUAUUAAAUUUAAUAAUUUAAUGGAUUCAGAUUUCAGAUUUCAGUUUUAUUACACACCCUAAGUUGCAAAAUAAUACCAAAACUUGUUAUUAUAUAGCUUGAGAUUCAAAAAUUUAGAGCAUAAUUCUCAACCUAACACAAUCGAAUAAUGAAUAUUCACGAUUGUUUCAAAGUACAAUUUGAGGACAACCCAUUCCAACGCGUACACGAUUUUUAACUUUUCUAAAGUUGUUGAGAGCUGUUAAAAGAGAUUUACCAUGUUUACAUCUUCCAAGUCUUGGAAGUGAAAAAUGAAGCCACUGAGUGCUAUAAAAAGGGGGCUAGAGGCUGCCUAGAAGCAUAUCAGCCUAAAACAAGAAUUUGUAGUAACAAUGGGGAGCAAAGCAAAAGCAACGGGGUCUAGGCUGACUCCUCUUCUUACCACUGUUUUAGUGGUAUUUGUCGCCCUUGGCUUGCCCUUGGAAACUGCAGCUGAUUAUUACAAGUAUUCAUCUCCUCCUCCUCCUCCUUACCACUAUUCUUCACCACCACCUCCAGUGUAUUCACCUCCACCAACCCCUGCUUAUAAGUUACCCCCACCAUCUCCUCCAGUUUACAAGUCCUCACCACCACCUUACCACUACUCACCACCUCCGGUGUAUUUACCUCCACCAUCUCCAGUUUACAAGUCACCACCACUACCCCCUCCGGUAUACAACUCCCCGCCUCCACCAGUGUACAAAUACAAGUCCCCACCACCACCUCCUCCAGUUUACAAAUCUCCAUCGCCACCAGUUUACAAAUACAAGUCACUCCCACCACCUCCUCCGGUAUACAAGUCUCCUCCGCCACCUGUUUACGAGUACAAGUCUCCUCCACCACCUCCUCCAGUGUACAAGUCCCCACCACCUCCAGUUUACAAGUACAACUCACCUCCACCUCCUCCCCCAGUUUACCUGUCUCCACCUCCACCCUAUCAUCACUACUACGGUUCUCCUUCUCCUCACCACUACUAAGCAAGUGCAUAAGUUUUGAGGUAAUAAUACCUAUCCAAAACUUUAUCAACACAAACUGCCAUGUAUAUUAUCAUGCUAAGGACGUACACUUGAUCCAUGAAAAUGACUAGUAGAAGAUUUUUUUUAAGAACCAAAGAAAUACAUUAUUUUUUCGGUCUGUUUUCAAGAAUUUGAGCAGUAUACAGAUUAAAGAGUGUUUUUUUUUUUGUAAACUUGCUUGUCAACUUAAAAAUGCACAUAGCUGAAAGCCAACUGAAUAUUUGCAGGCAAAGGAGAAGGCAAUCGGUGUUUGAGACCUUCAAGAAGAUGUAGAAGAAUAAGAAUAAAAGCCCAAUGCGAGGAUGAUUCCAAGUUUCUACGUUACCAUUUCUACAUCUAAAUUGACUUUAGCUCCUGAGUUCCAUGUUUAUGGGGUUUGUACCGUUUUACGUACCAUGCAGUACAUGCUUGCAAGGUUUUCUGUCCUGUUGGCAAACUGCAGGUCCAUAUAAUAAAUGAAUACUAUUUACAUUACGACACUUUUCUCUUUUUCUCUUAUAUUUUGUCUUUAAUAUUGUUGAUCAUUUUUUUUUUAUCAAAAGCAUCAAAUGCUUAGGUAAUUUGGUCUAAUGCUAAUUGUUUUACUUUUAUUUUUCACCUACACCCCUUUUCAACUCAAAGGAUGCUAUAGUUUGUGAUAAUUGUUUAAGACCGAAGCAUGAUACUAAUAAAUAUCUCAUUGAAAGUCAAGGAAACUAACAUUAGGAAAAGUUUAAAUCUUGAUUUGAUGAAACUAUUUAUUCGUGGAAUUUAGAGAUACAAAACUCAAAUUGUGACGGUGUUGUUGCUAAAUUAUUAAGGACAUUAUCACCAUUAUUUUUCCCUGAUCACUAGUUUCAACUGCAAUGAUCUCAAUCUUUUUGUGACUAAUUCUUUCCUUAAUAAUUUAUAAAGACAAAACUCACAAAGAAUAUGUGACUAAUUCUUUCCUUUCGUCUUCUAAAGAAAAUGCCAACUGUUAGUUUAUCAAGGGGAAAAAGGAUCGACAUCAGUUAUUAUUGAAACUAGUAAGGAAUAAAUAAUGGUGAUAAUGUCCUUAAUAAUUUAACAACAGCACCAUCAGAAUUUGACUUUGAGCUUCGGUCUUAAACAAUGAUCACAAACUACAGCAUCCUUUGAGUUGAAAAAGGAAGUAGGUGAAAAGAAAAGUAAAAAAUACAAUUAGCAUUCCCUCAAAUUGUAGAAAGUUAGGUAGCAUUAUAGACAAGUUGAUAGCGGCAAUUUUACAUUUCAAACUUCACCUAUUCAAUAACUAAUUCGAUGGCUUGCUACAUGGUCAAUCUUUGGACCCCUUCCUGCCUCCAGAUAUCCCUUUCCUCAAUCAGGGGCUUCUACAAUUACCAGUUUCAAUUGUAUGGUAUAGUGUAAAUAUCAACAAAUUAGAUGUAGAUGCUAACAUAAUAAAUGUGAAUGCUAAGACAGCAACAUACAAUCGAACCUGCAAUUGUAUGAACCCCAAUCUCGCUUCCUAGUCCACCAUCUUUCUCUAGGUAAUAAUCUCCCUUCUAAUUUAUUCACAAAAUGCACCUUUCAUCACCUCCAAUAGCGUCGACAUGAUCUUUACCCUAGAAGACUAUUCACCGACUCUCAAUUGACGUCAGAAAAUCUAAGAGUAAUUCUACUUUACCCUAAGAUUGAUAUCAACAAGACAAGGACAAUUUAGAAUUAUUACACGCCUCUUCUUAAUAGGAAAAAGAAAUAGAGAAGAAAGUCAGGCCAGGUCUAAUUUCUUUUCAAAGGCAAUACAACAUUACGAAAUCAAGCAUUCAUUCAUACAAAUAUUUCAUAGUCACCGGUUUGCUGAGUAGAAAAAUUUAGACAAAAACUUAAUAUUAUAUUGUUUAAGAGUUAACAAUUUAGAGCUUAAUCUCCUUGUACUUUGGAGUUAACAAUUUAGAGCUUAAUCUCCUUGUACUUUGGACUAAACUUGAACGUGAAAGGAAAUCCCAAAACCAUAUUGGGCAUGAAUUCACACUUAAUAUACCCAAUAAAAGAUGGCGACUGGUGAAAGGCAGUGGAGACUGGUGGAGAGAUUUGAGGAAUAGAAGCAGACGGAAAAGCAACAAAUUUUUGCCGAAAAACGGUCACUUUCAUGGUUAAUUUUGCUACUCUCCAAUUGUACUUGACCAAUUACAACAAUUUCAUGGAGUUUGAUACGUGAAAAGAAUUUUUUAUAAAUUUUAUUUUGAUCCAUAAUGUUAUCUUUACAUAUAUAAAACAUUUUACAAUUUUGAUUUUGGCGCAGCUAACUUUUGGUUAACAAAAAUGCUCAUGUUUAAAAAACCAGAAAUAAAACAAAACAAGAAACAAAAGAAAUAAGAGGGUAGCAUAGACAUUUUGGAUUUUUCCGUUAAUUUGGAUGAUUUCCACCCACGUUCUAAUUUAAUCCAAAACACAAAGGAAUUACGUAGAGGUUUUAAAUAAUGAGGGAGCUUCAUGAUCGAACCCCAAACCACAAGGCGAUUUACUAUAUUUUACUCUUAAAUUUUGGUUUCAUCUCAUAGCAUACAAGAGUUCUAUUUCACUAUCUGUAGACAAAGACUUUCUAUGGUUGAUGUACCAUAGGAAAAAAUCUGCCUAUACAACGUGAUAGCAUUUUUUCAAAAACACAAGAUGGAAAAUUGCCCCUUAAACGGGGAAAUUCAUGAUCUUUCGUCGAACAAAGAAUACUCACGCCUAUUCAAGAUGGAAAAUUGCCCCCUUAAACGUCUAUUUGUCAAUUCUUGAAAAAAGAAUACUCACGCCUAAAACACGGCCUCUUCAUCUGCAGAAUUCUAAAAAGUUAGGUAAACUCUAUAAACAAGUUGAUAGGUACAAUCGUACCCAAGAUCAAGUACAGAUAGUUGUACAUUAACUGCUGCAAUAACUAAUCUGAUGACUUAUAAACAUAUCAUGGUCAAUCGUUGAAUGGUAAUGAGUCUUUUGUUAUGCAUUAGUAUUAGUGUGUACACUCUAAUAGAUUGAUACUUAUACUCUUUAAAUUAUCAUAAUAAUACCCUUAAUUAACUUUAACUCUUAAAAAGAAUACAUGUUAAUACACGAGUGUGUGUAACCUGAAUUGUUACUUAUAAAUUAGUGUGUAAUAGAUAGGGAUGGCAAUGGGGGCGGGUGCCCGCGGGGGGCUCUCGGGGCGGGGGUUGGGGCGGGGGGGAAUUUUUUCCCCCCGUUUAGAAAUGGGGCAGGGGACGGGGGAGUAUACCCCCGCCCCAUCCCCCGCAAAAAAAAAAUUAUAUAUAAUAUGUAAUUUAAUUAGUUAUAAACUUAUGAUAAUGAUAUUAUUAGUUAGAUGUAUUAUAUAAUGUAUAUUAGUGUAUGUAAUAUAAUUAAUAUUAUCAAUUAUAUGAAUAAUUAGACAUGUCUACUAAUAGAAUUUAUGAAUUAGUUAUACUAAAUUUACUAAUACAUUUAUACUAAAUUUCUAAUUACACUUAAUAGAAUAACACUUUUUUCUAAAACAAAAAAGCACAAACACAAUAAUGAAUUAGUGAUUGUAUGAUAGGGUGUAAUUUUACUAUUUAUUUUAUUAUUAAUUUCCCCUAUCACCUGACCUGAUGUGGAUUAAUUGCUGGAUUCUGCUCACUUUUAGUACUUUGUAUUUAUUUCAGGGAGUAGAACGGAAAUUUGAUAACAGGUGCUAAUUUGGCAGAAAAAGAGUCCAGAUGAUAGAGCUUGCCCCAAGGGCAUUUUUGGAAAGGAGAACUUGUGCCCAUCUUGGUAAUUUGGGAGAAAAGGGAAACAGACAAAAUGGGUCUAACAUGGAUUGGAAGCGGCCGCACAGUAGCAGGGAAGAGGGCAGACGUAAAAGCAAUUGCAGGGGGGAAAAGGAGUUUUUUUAGUUUUUAGCUUAGCAUCUGAUUUUCCCUGGGAGACUUUUGUUAAAGAUUUCCUUUUGGCUGAUAUUACGCAUGGCAGAUGGCUUUUAACUUAUUCCUCCAUCUUUGACUUUUCUUCUUUAGCUUGUGGCAGUGGAUUGCUACUUACGAAUGUCAGCACUUAGCCAUUCGUGGCUUUUGAUCUUUUCUUCCUUAGAAAUUCUGAGUAACCUCUUUUCCUUUGUGCGCCAGACGAAGUGAAAACUAUAAACUUUUGUAGUUUUUCUAUUCAUUCAAUAUAUUGAGACGAGUUGGAUUCUACCAAAUUUCAACGGACAUGGCCGCUGGUUUCUCUUCAAUUUUAUAUGGGCUUUGUUCAUCCAACAUGAACUAAUUUCACCACUCUAGUCAAGGAGCAACGAAGGCUCUGAUUUGCCUAAAAAUUGUGAGAUCGUUUUAAUUUAAUCUUUUCCUUUUAUUUAUUGGUAUCCGCACAUUUCUUGAUUGCUAUGCUUAUGGUUAUUUAAUUAAUUGAUUGUCUUGGAUCCAGAUAAUUAAUUGAUCUGAUAGCCUAUUGUCAAUUAGGGCAUUUAAAUCCGUAAUUGUUUAAUUGUCCUGAAAUAGUGACAACUGGCACGAUUAGAUUCGUGCCAGGGGGGAUAUGCGGGCUAAUCUAAAAUAACCCUGGUAGUGUGUUAUUUGGUUAGAAUAGGGCUCCUCUAAUACUAAGGCAAUUGGGGAAUUAAAUUCUACGGGCGUACCUAGGAUUAUUUCUUAAUUAGAGCAGUGAUUAACGGGCGUACCUUGAUCACCGACACAGUAAGGAGGGGUUGACCGUCAUCGCUUGUUUGGCAGUUAUAACCUAUUUAUCAGUAAAUAAUUGGGAUUGCCUUGCAUCAAUGAUCAAUUAGGUGAACCAUUGUUGAAGUUACUUCUUGGUUAGAUCUUUAGUUAAUAUUACCUUGAUUUUGGUGAAUUGCCAUUUGAUUUUUAGUUGCCUACUUUAUUUUAUUUUUAAUUGUUUCCUUGCUUUAAUUGAGUUAGGCCUUUAAUUAUUGUUAUUCUAAGUUUAGUGAAUUGUGGUUUAAUUCCUAAUUAGUUAUUUAUUUUUACUUUCUUAUUUGAAUUUAUUUGCUUGUUAUCAUUCCUACGAAAUCACCCCCCUGUGUUACUUUGGAUUUCUUAAGAAACAAAUAUACCCAAUCCCUGUGGAUACGACCCUACUUGCUCUGUUCACGAAUUCAUAAUUAUUUGUGAAAAGAAAUAACCAUUCCACUCGGGUAUAUCGGAUCAAGCAAAUUCUUCGGGAACAGGGUGAAUCAAGUAACCCAAUGCACACCUAGAGUCCCUGCUCCAGUACUUGGAAUUGGGUUUUGGUCAUUUUAACUGGCAAUUAGGUUUAAUUUUAUUAUUGCACAGGCUGACGACCCUGUCAAUUUUUGGCGCCGUUGCCGGGGACUGGCGUUAUUAUUUGUUUCUUUUUAAAUUCAUUCUUUGUCCUAAUUUUCUGGUUUUCUUCUAGUGUAUGCCUCGAUCUUCUCGUACAGGUAAUUUGAUUUUUGACCCUGAGGUAGAGAAGACCGCAUGUAGAACGAGAAAGGAAACCAGACAGCUCAGAGAAGAGCACUCCAGUGCUACAUCUCAGAGACCCGAGUCAGAAGUUGAACUAACAGAUUCGUUUGGUAACACUUCGAGUGACUCUGACCAGGAGGAAGACACCAUGGCUAAUGCACGAACAUUAAGGGAGUUGGCUGCUCCUGAUUUAACUCAGCAGCCUUUAUGCAUUACUUUCCCCACUUUAAAUGAUAACAUUCCAUUUGAACUAAAAUCUGGUCUGAUUCAGCUUUUACCCUCUUUUCAUGGUUUACCAGGUGAAGAGCCGUAUAAGCAUCUGCAGGAGUUUGAUGUCGUGUGUAAUAGUAUGAAACCCUCGGGAAUCACAGAAGAGCAGAUAAAAAUGAGGGCAUUCCUCUUCUCCUUGAAAGAUUCUGCGAAGGACUGGCUGUACUACCUGUCACCAGGUAGCAUCACCACGUGGGACCAAUUGAAGAAAAAAUUUUUGGAUAAAUAUUUUCCUGCGUCCAGGGCUGCAAGUCUAAGGAAAGAAAUUUGUGGGAUCAAGCAGCAUCCAGGGAAGUCACUUUAUGAGUAUUGGGAACGGUAUAAGAACUUGUUGCGCAGGUGCCCCCAACACCAAAUAAGUGAGCAAUUGAUCAUACAGUAUUUUUAUGAGGGGCUCCUUUUUAGAGACAGGAGCAUCAUUGAUGCCAGGGGGGAGGGUUGGGAUGGGUGGUACGGGGGGAGGGAGUGUAAGCAAGAGGUCUCGGGUUCGAGUCCUCCCGCUUACACACAAAAAAAAAGAUGCUGCAAGUGGAGGGGCACUGGUAAACAAAACCCCUCAGGAAGCACGGGAGUUAAUAGAGGGGAUGGCAGAGAAUUCACAACAAUUCAGUACAAGAGAGGAUGUCCCAAUACGUAAGGUGAAUGAGGUAGAGACACCCUCUAUGCAGCAGCAGCUAACUGAGUUGACCGCGUUUGUUAGGCAACUGGCUGUGAGAAAUGCAUCACAAGCCAGGGUGUGCGGGAUUUGCACUGGUAUGGGUCAUUCUGCAGACAUGUGCCCAAUGAUUCAGGAAGAAACUGCAGAACAGGUGAACAUGGCUGACCACGCGCCCGCGCCAAGGAAGCAGUACGACCCUUACUCAAGCACCUACAACCCCGGGUGGAGAGAUCAUCCCAACCUCAGUUAUGGAGAAAAUAGGCAGCCCAACAUUACACCGAACAGGCAGUCUAACUUUGUGCCAAAUAGGCCACCAGGGUACCAGCAGCAAUAUCAACCCCGACCACCUCCGUCCCCAAGCUCUGGCCCAUCUUUGGAGGAGAUGAUGAAACAAAUGAUGACAACUAUGGCUCAAAAUCAGCAAAUGACGGAGGCAACCAUUAUGCAAAAUCAGCAAAGGACGGACUCCGAAAUGAAGGAUAUAAGGAAUCAGAUAAGUCAAAUGGUCACAACAAUCAACCGUUUGGAUUCCCAGAACCAAGGUAAAUUGCCAUUUCAGCCCGAAUUAAAUUCGAAGAACGUGAGCGCAAUGACCCUAAGGAGCGGGAAAGAAAUUCAGGGGUCUGAACCUGUGAUCCCUAAGGAUAAGGAUGAGGAAAAGAUCGAAAAUGAGCUUGAAAGGGAGGACAGCAAUGGUGCAGAUCUAAAGGUACUUCCUGACCCAAUAAUUACAGCUAAAACUAACCCGCCUCCUUUUCCUAGCAGGUUGGAAAAAUCGAAAAAAGAGGAUAAGGAGAAGGAGAUCUUGGAGGUUUUUCGCAAGGUUGAGAUAAAUAUCCCCCUCUUAGACGCAAUCAGACAAGUACCAAAAUAUGCCAAGUUCCUAAGGGACUUGUGUGUCAACCGAAGGCAGUUGAGGGAAGAUGAACGGGUUAUUGUUGGGGAGAAUGUGUCAGCAGUCCUGCAGAGAAAGCUCCCACCAAAGUGCGGGGACCCAGGUAUGUUUACUAUUCCCUGUAGGAUAGGUAAUACUGUGAUAGAAGGGCCAUGUUGGAUCUGGGAGCAUCAAUUAAUCUCAUACCUAAAUCUAUCUAUGCUUCUCUAAAAUUAGGUCCAUUAAAAGAAACUGGAAUAAUCAUUCAAUUAGUUGACCGAACUAAUGCAUAUCCUGAUGGGUUGGUUGAAGAUGUGUUGGUAAAAGUUAAUGAUUUGAUGUUUCCAGCUGAUUUUUAUGUACUUGAUAUGGAUGAUGAUCACUCCCCUGAUCCCUCACCUCUGUUAUUGGGUAGACCCUUUAUGAGCACAGCACAGACGAAAAUUGAUGUUAAUAAGGGUAUCUUGUUCAUGGAGUUUGAUGGGAAAAUUGUGCAUUUCAAUAUCUUUGAUACUAUGAAAUAUCCCUCAAACUCCAACUUUAGCACAGUUUUCUCUGUGAGUGCUAUUGACCCUGUAGUGCAGGAAGUGUUUGAAACUGAUGGCAGGGAUGAGUUGGAGGUGGCUUUGACCAAGCACCUCGAGUUGGAGACAACUCCUGAGGUGGAAUGGAGCGAGGACCUAAAAUGCACAAUAGGUGCAUUACACUCAUUGCAGUCCACCACGAAAAGGUAUGAAGUCUUACCUAUUUUUACUCCCGAACCUCACCAGAGGGUGUUGCCAUCUGUGGUGCAGGCACCUGUACUAGAAUUUAAACCUCUAUCAGAGCACCUGAAAUAUGCAUAUCUGGGUGAUAAUGAGACACUCCCGGUGAUUAUCUCAUCGACACUGUCAAAAAUCCAGGAGGAGAAACUGAUCCGGGUCCUUAGAGAGCAUAAAGAGGCGAUAGGUUGGACAAUCGCAGAUAUUAAGGGGAUCAGCUCGGCCAUCUGUAUGCACCGGAUUAGACUAGAAGAGGAUGCCAAACCUGUUAGGCAGGCUCAAAGGAGGCUCAACCCCCUAAUGAUGGAAGUUGUAAAGAAAGAAAUUUUAAAAUUGCUAGAUGUGGGGAUUAUUUUUGCAAUAUCAGAUAGCCCUUGGGUAAGCCCGAUCCAGGUAGUCCCAAAGAAGGCAGGGGUGACGGUGGAGGCAAACCAAACGGGUGAGCUCGUGCCAGUGCGCAAACCCACUGGAUGGAGGCAGUGUAUAGACUACCGUAGGCUAAACGCCGUCACCAAAAAGGACCAUUUCCCUCUCCCUUUCAUUGACCAAAUGGUUGAACGUUUAGCUUGUAGAGCUUAUUAUUGCUUUUUGGAUGGAUUUUCAGGAUACUUUCAGAUAGCAAUUGCUCCAGAGGAUCAAGAGAAGACAACCUUCACGUGCCCGUUCGGGACCUUUGCUUAUAGACGAAUGCCAUUUGCGUUGUGCAAUGCACCUGCAACAUUCCAGAGGUGUAUGGUAAGUAUUUUUUCUGAAUAUGUGGAGAAAAUUAUUGAAGUUUUCAUGGACGAUUUCAGUGUGUAUGGUGAUAGUUUUGAUACGUGUUUAGAUAAUCUGAAAUUGAUCCUGAUAAGGUGUAUAGAGACUAAUCUUGUGCUUAAUUGGGAAAAAUGUCAUUUUAUGGUUGAGCACGGGAUAGUCCUGGGUCAUAUUGUAUCGUCUAAGGGCAUAGAAGUUGACAAGGCUAAAAUAGAUAUUAUUUUUGCAUUACCUUACCUCGCGAGUGUGCGGAAGGUGCGUUCUUUUCUUGGACAUGCAGGUUUUUAUCGAAUGUUCAUCAAGGAUUUUUCAAAAAUUGGAGCCCCGUUAUUCCAACUCCUACAAAAGGAUGUGACCUUCGAAUUCGAUGAUAAGUGUGAGGAAGCCUUCAACAAGUUGAAAGAAUUGUUGACCUCACCCCCAAUUAUCCAGCCCCCUGAUUGGAGUCUACCAUUUGAGAUCAUGUGCGAUGCCAGUGAUCAUGCCGUAGGGGCUGUAUUGGGGCAAAGAGUAGGGAAGGCAGCUCACGUCAUCUACUAUGCAUCCCGAGCAUUGAAUGGAGCCCAAUUGAAUUACUCCACUACUGAAAAGAAGCUUCUUGCAGUUAUUUUUGCUUUAGAAAAAUUCAGGUCAUAUUUGCUAGGUGCUAAAGUAAUUGUAUUUUCUGACCAUGCAGCAUUAAGGUACCUAAUGACCAAGAAAGAUGCCAAACUGAGGCUCAUUAGGUGGAUAUUGCUACUGCAGGAAUUUGACCUGGAGAUACGGGAUAAAAGGGGCUCAGAGAAUUUAGUAGCUGACCAUCUGAGUCGUAUACCCGUUGGAGAGGAUAAUGAACCAUUGAGGGAUGCGUUCCCUGAAGAGCACUUAUUUUCUUUAAAUUCUCAGUUGCCUUUGUAUGCCGAUCUGGUCAAUUAUUUGGUAACUGGUAAUUUUCCUGCAGGUUGACCAAAAUCGAAGAGGGAUAAAUUGAAGAGCGACGCCAAGUAUUUUAUUUGGGACGACCCGUACCUAUGGAAGAGGUGUGCAGAUCAAGUGAUGCGGAGAUGUGUAAGUGAAAUGGAAUUUCAAUCGAUUUUAGCUUUUUGUCAUACUUUUGCCUGUGGAGGUCAUUUGGACCCAAGAGAACUGCUCAUAAGGUUUUAGAAAGUGGAUUUUAUUGGCCUUCAUUGUUUAAGGAUGCCUAUGUGUUUUGUAAGUCAUGUGAUCGCUGUCAAAGGGUAGGUAAUAUACCCCGUAGAGAUCAAAUGCCCCAAGUCCCGUUGAUUUUUAUUGAAAUUUUUGAUGUCUGGGGUAUAGAUUUCAUGGGGUCUUUUCCUACUUCAUUUGGUUUUUUAUAUAUUUUGCUGGCAGUUGAUUAUGUGUCUAAAUGGGUGGAGGCUAAGGCCACUCGAACUAAUGACUCGAAAGUAGUUGCAAAUUUUGUCAGGUCUAAUAUUUUUGUGCGAUUUGGAAUGCCUAGUGCUAUUGUCAGUGAUAGGGGAACGCACUUUUGCAACAAAAUCAUAGCUGCGUUGUUUCGCAAGUAUGGUGUACUCCAAUGGGUCUCAACGUCGUACCACCCUCAGACCAAUGGUCAAGCGGAGGUGUCGAAUCGAGAGAUCAAGUCUAUCUUGGAGAAAAUGGUGCGCCCCGAUAGGAAAGACUCGAGUCAAAGGCUGGAGGACGCACUUUGGGCCUAUCGGACGGCGUACAAGACUCCUAUAGGGAUGUCACCGUACAGGUUGGUAUUUGGGAAGCCGUGUCACCUUCCAGUGGAGUUUGAGCACAAAGCUUUUUGGGCGAUAAAGUAAUGCAACAUGAAUUUAGAGGAAGCCGGUGCCCAACGAAAGUUGGAUUUGCAAGAAUUAGAAGAGAUCCGGAACGAGGCUUACGAAAAUGCACUAAUUUAUAAGGAGAGAAGCCGGAUAUUUCAUGAUCAACAAAUUUCAAGAAAAUCCUUUGAAGUUGGUCAGAAGGUCCUACUAUACCAAUCCAGGCUCAAGCUAUUCCCAGGUAAACUACGUUCCCGUUGGAUUGGACCUUUUCUUGUUACUCAUGUUUUUCCAUAUGGUGCAGUUGAAAUCCGGAGCGCUAAAACAGACAACAAAUUUGUGGUGAAUGGACACCGUCUCAAGCAUUACUACGAAGGAUUUUCAGGUGAAAAGGUGGAGACAAUAAGUCUAGACGCGCCACCGUGUCCUAAUCAGUGACAUUUUACUAUGUCUAGCCAAAGACAUUAAAGACAGGCGCUCAUUGGGAGGCAACCCAAUUGUCCCUUUUAAUUAUUUGUUUGAUUUCGUGUGAUAGUUUAAAUAUGUUUUCCUUGAAUUCGACUGAUUUUGGGUUUCAGUUUUCGUUUUUGCUGAAUUGUAGGUGACCUUCAGUCUUGACGCGCCCGCGUGAUGACAUGCAGGAAGCUCACGAUCAGAAUCGUCUGAAAGCUCUCUUGCCCUUUUGACGCACCCGCGUGAUGACGUGCAGGAAGCUCACGAUCAGAAUCGUCUGAAAGCUCUCUUGCCCUCUUGACGUGCCCGCGUCACGUUCGCAGGAAAGGUACGGGUUUCAAAAAUUUAAAGAAAAAAUAAUAAUAAUAAUAAUUUAAAAUUUUGAAAUUAACUUCCGUAAAAAAAAAAAAGAAGAAAAAAAAUUUCACCGUGGCUUAAAUAGAGCCUAAAGAAGAGAAAAAAGAAACAAUUUCUUUCUUUUUUUUUUCUUUUUCUUCUUUCUUCCUUCUUUCUUUCUUUCUUCUUUCUCUUUUCCCUCUCUCUUCUCCCCUGUUUCUUCUCCCCUGUCCGUCGCCCGUGCGCCCCAUCGCUGCUCCACCUCCACACGCACGCCGACGCUGCGAGCCACCUGCGACCCCAGCGCCAGAUCUGGACCAUCGCCGAAACCCGCAGCCUCCGCCACCUCCACCUGAGCUCUGCCUCGCGCGCAACCCAGCUGCUCUGCGCCCGAAGCUCCACCGCCGCCACAGCCUCCCCACGCAGCUCCCUGCUCACGCGGCCACAAGCCCAUUGGAAACGGGACAGAGACUGCCGCCGAGCCACUUGCCCGCGUGACCGCCGCUGUUUUCCACCACCUCCCUCACGCGAGCUCUUUCCCUCUCAGCAGCAAUCCACUUCACAGCGCACCCGCUGCGCGCCGUCGCAGCCCUCGCAGCUCCAGCCCGUCUGGUCUAGUCCGCCGCGCGCACCAACCACCCACGGACGCUACCCCCAUCGCUAACCCACGCGGCCUCCACUCCAGUCUGUCCGCCGCCGCUGCUCGUGUCUCCCUUGCGCACCUCACGCCACCCGCUACUGUCCCCUUCCGUUUGGUUAGCAUCCACGGUGGAGGUAAUUGGAGGUUAUUUUCUCAAUUGUGUGACUUCCGCCUGUGAUACUGGUUGCAUUAUUUUUGCUGGGAAUUGCUACUUCUUUUGGGUUGGGUUCAACUGUGCAAUUAAUUGGCCAACUGGAGCCAUUUGUUGGGAUUUUGGGUGAGCUGAAAUACUGCAUUUGUGUGUUACAUUGGGAGGUUUAUUGGGUACAUUCUAACCGCUGUUUUCCAUUGUUACUCUCGCUGGGGUGUCUAUUAAAUUGCGAUUGAAGUAUUUUGGAUAUUGCAUGUUGAGAUUGAGGUUUCAUUGAAUUUGGCCUACGUUCUGCCCCCAGUGGUACUGGUGGGAAUAUUUUCAAUUGAAUUUGUUACCUCUAGUUGGUUGGCUACAUUAUUAUGGUCGAAUUCCUAAGUUGUCGUCAUUGCAUUUGUUGAUCUUGAUUUGGGGCAUUAACCGGCCAACUGGAGCCAUCUGUGCGUUUUUAGGCGCUAUUAUUGGUUUCUUCUCCCUUAACUUUGUCAACUAUAUUUGGUUGGGUAUUUGGUUGACUGCCACGGACUUGUAACUGUGUUUUGCUUCUAAUUGACCAGUUGCACAGCAGUUUUUUUUUAAUUGAUAGGGUGGUUAUACCUCUGGAUAUUUGUAUCCACUGGUUUGAGGACAUGGUGAGACCAAAAUCCUCCUCUAGGUCUAGGACCCCUAGAACCUCGCAAUCCCAACCCCAAGCCUCUACUCUAGUCAAUACCCCUAUAAAUCAACCUACUGCUCCCGGUGUCCGAACCUGGUUAGGUAGGGGUAGAGGUGCCCACGUGGCUUCCGCCACUCACUUGGGAGGGCAUUUGGAAUUCACUAGAGCCGCCGAUCAGCGACGCUAUGCUCAAGCUUGUGAGCGGCGUAUCAUUCCGUGCAAAUGCGCGGACCACAUUACUAUGGUUUUUCUGGGGAUCCAAGGGGAGGUUGAGCGCAUGUACACCGCCAUUGGAUGGCGCCCCUAUCUGGAUAUUUUCCAGCCAGCCUUUGUCGAGUUGACUAGAGAGUUUUACACCACUUUUAAGUUUGAAUUACCGACUAGGUAUACUGUUGCGACUCCCGAUAUCAUUCACUUCCGUCUCAUGGGCCAGGAAUUCAAUUUCUCUAUCACCCAGUUCAAUCUGGCUUUCGGUUUCAUCACUCGGGAGUAUGCAGAGACUAGGGAAUACGGUGAGAGUGCCUGCGAUUUUGUGGAACCUUUCCUUACCGCCUACCGUGAGGUGUGGGAGGACAUGUCUGUGGACAUGCAGCGUUACGAUCCCUCUCGGUCUCGGAGCUCCUUUCUAGAGGACCCGAGUGCUCGGUAUGUUCAGCGGCUUUUAGCAUAUAGCUACUCGGGCAGAAAGAACAGCUUCGGUAUUAUCUCUCGGCCGGAGCUCUUCUUCCUUUGGUGUAUGAAGAAUGGGUUCAAGGUCAAUUUGGGUUGUUGGUUGGCGGCACAGUUCAAGACCGUCAUGGCAAAGAAGAACAAGCCGUUGAUUCUUGGGUCGUAUAUCACGUACUUGGCGGUCCAGCUAGGCGUUCUGAAUCUACAGGAUCACGAUUUGCACUUGGCCUGCGACAUGGAGUAUCUCACUGCUGACCGGCUAGAGAAGAUGGGGGUUCUGGAGCUUGUCGAUGGCCACUACCGAUUUGUGCCCCCGGGACCGCCCCGCGCCCCGCCUCGCUCUUCCUCCACCCAUUCGGCCCCAGUUGGCGGUGAUCCUGGCCCGUCGACAUCCGCUCAGCUCCCUCCACCAGCAGGGGCUGAAGAUUGGCACCAAAUCAGGACGCAGAUUCAGAAUUUGGACGCCCGGAUGAUUAGCAUCGAGAGCAACGUGGCGGCUAUAUCACAGAAUCUGGCGGCAUUCCUGCAGCACUCGGGUUUCCCGCCCCCAAUCCCACCUCACCCUCCACUAUGACCCGGUUUCAGGGAAGUUUGGUUACUUUCUCCCUCACUUUUGUUGUUUUUUGACACAUUGAGGACAAUGUGUCCUAUAGGUGUGGGGGGGUCUAUAGUCUUUCUAGUUUUUAGUAGUUGUUAGUUUUUAGUUUUUUAGUAGUUUUAGUUUUAUUUCUAGUUGCGUAUUUUCUUUCUUUUCUUAGUGCUUAUUCCCCAUGUGAAAAGAAAAAGAAAACAAAAAAAAAGAGAAAAAAAUGUUGGUUUAUUGACUCUAACUCUACUUUUGCCAAGUUUUUUUUAAAUAAAAAUGUAUCGGGUUAAUGUGGUUGGAUCCAGAAUAUCUCCCUGGUGAAUAUCGGAUUGCUUGGCUCUUUUGAUUUCUGUGUUAAUUUCUCUAGGCAUAGGGAAUGACUGUUGGCAUUUUAAUGUGAACUGGUCCAAUAUUGACUCCAGUUCUCUAUGUUUGGCAAUAAUGAGGCGAGCUGUUCCUAUUUUUGGUUCUUAGUGUUGUUAUUAUGUGUUUUUGGCUUUGUUUGGCUGUGAAUAAUCUGGACUGUACUCCGCUAUGAGUUACUACUGAGUAACCGAGGAUCGGCACCUAAAAGUGUCGAUUCUCGCGUCAAAAGGUGGUACUUUAUAUGAGUACGUGGUCGUAUAGCAGUAGGAGCUGAGUAACCGGGCUCCUUCAUCUAAAAAUGUUGGAGUUCGCGUCAAAAGGCCCCGACGGCUAACGACUAAGUCUUUUUGUGUUAAUUAUUAUUGCUUUGAAAAACAAAAAAAAAAAAGAACGAAAAAAGAGAGAAUAAAUAAUAGGAAGGCUUGCCGGUUUAUGGACUUAAUAUGGAGACUUGUGUGAAUAUUUGGACCAUUAGCUAAUAAAUGUUGUGCGCCAUUCCCUUUUCUUAGAGUAGUUAACCUGGAAAUUGAAGGAAUUUGCAGUUUAGGGGCUAACCGGGGGGGAGGCUUCUUGGAUUUUAAUCACCAAUGCUCGAUAUAUGUUUUUCUCUUGAAGAUCUUGGCAAUAUAGGAGAUUGGACAAUGGCCAUCAUCGAAUUUUGGUGUUCGUUUACUAUUCUUAUGCUUGAGGACAAGCAUGGUUUAGGUGUAGGGGGAAUUGAUAGGGUGUAAUUUUACUAUUUAUUUUAUUAUUAAUUUCUCCUAUCACCUGACCUGAUGUGGAUUAAUUGCUGGAUUCUGCUCACUUUUAGUACUUUGUAUUUAUUUCAGGGAGUAGAACGGAAAUUUGAUAACAGGUGCUAAUUUGGCAGAAAAAAGUCCAGAUGAUAGAGCUUGCCCCAAGGGCAUUUUUGGAAAGGAGAACUUGUGCCCAUCUUGGUAAUUUGGGAGAAAAGGGAAACAGACAAAAUGGGUCUAACAUGGAUUGGAAGCGGCCGCACAGUAGCAGGGAAGAGGGCAGACGUAAAAGCAAUUGCAGGGGGGAAAAGGAGUUUUUUUAGUUUUUAGCUUAGCAUCUGAUUUUCCCUGGGAGACUUUUGUUAAAGAUUUCCUUUUGGCUGAUAUUACGCAUGGCAGAUGGCUUUUAACUUAUUCCUCCAUCUUUGACUUUUCUUCUUUAGCUUGUAGUAGUGGAUUGCUACUUACGAAUGUCAGCACUUAGCCAUUCGUGGCUUUUGAUCUUUUCUUCCUUAGAAAUUCUGAGUAGCCUCUUUUCCUUUGUGCGCCAGACGAAGUGAAAACUAUAAACUUUUGUAGUGUUUCUAUUCAUUCAAUAUAUUGAGACGAGUUGGAUUCUACCAAAUUUCAAUGGACAUGGCCGCUGGUUUCUCUUCAAUUUUAUAUGGGCUUUGUUCAUCGAACAUGAACUAAUUUCACCACUCUAGUCAAGGAACAACGAAGACUCUGGUUCGCCUAAAAAUUGUGAGAUCGUUUUAAUUUAAUCUUUUCCUUUUAUUUAUUGGUAUCCGCACAUUUCUUGAUUGCUAUGCUUAUGGUUAUUUAAUUAAUUGAUUGUCUUGGAUCCAGAUAAUUAAUUGAUCUGAUAGCCUAUUGUCAAUUAGGGCAUUUAAAUCCGUAAUUGUUUAAUUGUCCUGAAAUAGUGACAACUGGCACGAUUAGAUUCGUGCCAGGGGGGAUAUGCGGGCUAAUCUAAAAUAACCCUGGUAGUGUGUUAUUUGGUUAGAAUAGGGCUCCUCUAAUAUGUAAGGCAAUUGGGGAAUUAAAUUCUACGGGCGUACCUAGAAUUAUUUCUUAAUUAGAGUAGUGAUUAACGGGCGUACCUUGAUCACCGACACAGUAAGGAGGGGUUGACUGCCAUCGCUUGUUUGGCAGUUAUAACAUAUUUAUCAGUAAAUAAUUGGGAUUGCCUUGCAUCAAUGAUCAAUUAGAUGAACUAUUGCUGAAGUUACUUCUUGGCUAGAUCUUUAGUUAAUAUUACCUUGAUUUUGGUGAAUUGCCAUUUGAUUUUUAGUUGCCUACUUUAUUUUAUUUUUAAUUGUUUCCUUGCUUUAAUUGAGUUAGGCCUUUAAUUAUUGUUAUUCUAAGUUUAGUGAAUUGUGGUUUAAUUCCUAAUUAGUUAUUUAUUUUUACUUUCUUAUUUGAAUUUAUUUGCUUGUUAUCAUUCCUACGAAAUCACCCCCCUGUGUUACUUUGGAUUUCUUAAGAAACAAAUAUACCCAGUCCCUGUGGAUACGACCCUACUUGCCCUGUCCACGAAUUCAUAAUUAUUUGUGAAAAGAAAUAACCAUUCCACUCGGGUAUAUCGGAUCAAGCAAACUCUUCGGGAACAGGGUGAAUCAAGUAACCCAUUGCACACCUAAAAUCCCUGCUCCAGUACUUGGAAUUGGGUUUUGGUCAUUUUAACUGGCAAUUAAGUUUAAUUUUAUUAUUGCACAGGCUGACGACCCUGUCAUUGUAUUUGUACCAAAAGUGAAAACUUAACUAUUUUAGUUGUAUUUAUUUCAUCAUGUUGGAUUGUAUUCAAAUAAUUUUUGUUUGAUUGUUUUUAUAAGUUUCAAUUGUAAAAUUAAAAUGAAUAAUAACUUGAUGAUGUGUUGAUAUUUUAGUACUUGAUUAUUUAUUAAAAUUUAAUUAUAAUAAAAUUUUAUUAACUCAACGAGAAAAAUUUUAUUAAUCCCGUGGGGGCACCCGCGGGGAAAGCGGGGCGGGGCGAGGGGAGUGGGAGGCGGAGGACGGGGCGGGGGCGGGGGAUGGGGGAGGGGUCCCCCGCCCCAACCCCGCCAUCCCCCGUCCCGUUGUCAUCCCUAGUAAUAGACUGGCAAGCAUUGUGGUGGUCAUUGAGCAACUUAUAGGAGAAAUAGUCCUAUAAGCUGUUCAAUGACCAAUCACAACUUGCUAAUUGGAUGACUAAUAUAGCUCUAGCUGUAAUGUUUUAAUUAAAUUACAUCACUAACGUUGGGAUGACUUUUUAACCAAAAAAAAAAAGCCUUAGUUCAAGCUUUUCCCUUUAUUGUGCAUUUUUUAAAGCAUUUGAAAGGCACUGCAAAUCUGUCAUUUUGGACAUUUUAUUAUUGACUAACAAUGAAAGCCGUGGACGUCUACCCAUAACCAACACAAGAUUAAAUUAAUAUUAGAAAAAAUAAUUGAGUAAUUGGAAAAAAAAAAAAAAGAAGAGUCUAAUUUUCAUUGAAACCCACCGACAAACUAUACGUGUCCAUGGCUUUUGAAUAGUGCAUUCAACGUUUAAUUGUAUGGUCCAGUUCAUUGCAGAUUACAUGGAGUAAAGAUUGCGCUCUUUCCUUUUCACCCCUUUUGGAAUCGAUACUGUGGAGAAUUGGGUUUUUCCCUCCUUUUUUUCUUUUCUUUCCUUCUGUGGUUUGCAAAACAUACGUAAAAAUAUGAAAUCCGAAGCAUUCUUUAAUUGGUAUUAAGUAUUGUUGUUGAAAUUAAAAAGAAAAAAGAAAGAACAACAAAAUUCCCAAUCUGGGUUGAUUGUUGAGCUCUAGAUUGGUUGCAUCGUGCUUCCAUAGAAGCAAGAUUUGUAAAAUCGGAAUCCUACAUAGGAUCGAUUUUAGUUUCACAGGAUCGGAUUGUAAAAUCGUAAGAUCCUACCAAAAGCUCUCAAUUGCAAUUAAAGGUUGCAAUUCUUUAAUAAAUUACAAAUAUACCACAAAUAUUUUCAUUUACUUGCAAAAUGGAGCUUCGUAUUUCACAAAUUUACAAAAAAAUUGUAGGAUCGUACGAUCCUACCGAUCCUACGAUCCUACACGAUCCUACCGAUCCUGCUACGAUUCUAUGCGAUCCUACAAAGAUUAAUAUGAUUUGCGACUCUGCAUACGAUCCGGAUCGAUUUUGGUUAUCCGGAUCGUAGGAUCGUAUGAUCCUACGAUCCGGAUCGCGAUUUUGACAACUAUGCAUAGAAGCUCUCUUAGUGUGAUACACUGCUUUCAAUCAGUUUAACACGGGAAAAAAAAAAAGAGAUGAAAAGCAAAUUUGGUGGAGAUAAUUUCAGAAACCUCCCCUGAAGAUUUUGACUAUUCUACUGGUUUCCCUUCAGAUUUUAAAAAUUACACUAAUCUUCCUUGAAGUUAAUUAUCUUGUAACAUUUAAAUUCAAUCAAUAAUUUAAAAAAUGAUAUUAUGAGAGAGAAAAUAAUAUGAUUUUAUCAUUGCCCCCCAUCUUACUACAUUAUUUAAUUAAUUUAAUAGCAACCCACACAUUAAAGAAAAAUAUUAAAAUUUGUUGUUUAUCAUUAAAGAUCAAAUCGCUUAUAACAUCAAAUAAUAGUAUAUUAUUUAUAUUUUUCACUUAAUAUAAUAUCCAAAUUACUCUUUUCAAUUACAUACCCAUUGUUAGAGAAUCAACAACAAAUAACCAAAAAAUUUGCAACCAAAAUAUUACAAAAAAAAUAAACUUUAACAUCAUAAAUAUUCUUAUCAACAUAUUAAAGUUAGUUACUGAAAUUUUUAUGCUGUUAAACUUCACUCUUUUUGAAUACAGAUUUUUUUGAUUAUUUGUUAUUAAUUAUGUUUGAUGAUGGGUUUAUAAUUGAAAAGAACAAUUUGAAACUUACAUUAAGUAAAAUAUAUAGAGUGAUAUACUAUUUUUUAUAACAUAUGUGAUUCAAUCCUUCUUGAUAGGAUUGGUAAUAGAGGUAGAGGGGGGAGUCGGCUGCAUCCGGUCUUCUUUUCAUAGAUAGUACAAUAUUGCGAAAUCAAUCGCAUUCACACAAUAAUAUUUCGAAGUCAAUGCAUGGCUAAGUUGCAUAAAAGUACGAACACUUGUUAUUAUAUAGCUUAAGAUUCAAAACUUUCGAGCAUAACCCUCCACCCAACACAAUUGAAUAAUGAAUAUUCACGAUUGUCAAAUCUGUCAAAGCACAGUUUGAGGACAACCCAUUCCAACCUGCAAAAGAUUUUUUACUUUUCUAAAGUUGUUGAGAGCUGUAAAAAGACUUACCAUGCUUGCAUCCUCCGAGCCUUGGGAGUUAAAAAUGAAGGCACUGAGUGCUAUAAAAAGGGGAAUAGAGGCUGCCUAGAAGCAUAUCAGCCUAAAACAAGAAUUUGUAGUUAAGAUGGGAAGCAAAGCAAAAGCAAUGGGGUCUGGGCUGACUCCUCUUCUUGCCACUGUUUUAGUGGUGUUUGUUGCUCUUGGCUUGCCCUCACAAACUGCAGCUGAUGAUCACUACAAGUAUUCAUCUCCUCCUCCUCCUUACCACUAUCCCUCACCACCACCACCAGUGCAUAUACCUCCACCUCAUCCUGUUUACAAGUACAAAUCUCCACCACCCCCACCACCACACCCAGUUUACAAGUAUAAGUCACCACCACCACCUCCUCAUCCGGUAUACAAGUAUAAGUCUCCUCCGCCACCACCACACCCAGUUUACAAGUACAAGUCACCACCACCACCUCCUCAUCCGGUACCACACCCAGUUUACAAGUAUAAGUCACCUCCACCACCUCCUCAUCCGGUACCCACAGUUUACAAGUAUAAGUCACCACCACCACCUCCUCAUCCGGUAUACAAGUAUAAGUCUCCUCCGCCACCACCACACCCAGUUUACAAGUAUAAGUCACCACCACCACCUCCUCAUCCGGUGCCACACCCAGUUUACCACUACAAGUCACCACCACCACCUCCUCAUCCGGUACCACACCCAGUUUACCACUACAAGUCACCACCACCUCCUCACCCAGUUUACAAAUACGAGUCUCCACCACCACCAGUUUAUAAGUACAAGUCACCACCACCUCCUCCACCAGUUUACAAGUAUAAAUCUCCUCCACCACCACCACCAGUUUACCACUACAAGUCUCCACCACCUCCUCCCCCAGUUUACAAAUACAAGUCUCCACCACCUCCUCACCACUACUAAGCAAUUGCUUCUGAGGUAAUAACACUUGUUCAAUAUACCCACUUCUGCAUGAUAAAGCAUAUCUCUAUCAACACAAACUGUCAUGUCUAUCAUGCUAAGUGCCUUCACUUCAUCCACCAAAAUGACUGCUAGAAAAUUUUUUUUAUGUUACCAAAGAAAGGCAUCAUUUUUUCCCUCUGUUAUCAAGAACUUGUACAGUAUAUAGAUUAAAGAGUAUUUUUUUAACUAGCUUAUCAACUGAGAAAUGCAUAUAGCUGAUAGCCAGCUGAAUAUUUGCAGGCAAAGGAGAAGGAAACCAUGUUUGAGACCUUCUUGAAGAUGUAGAAGCAUAAGAAUAAAAGCCCAAUGUGAAGAUGAUGAUUUCAAGUUUUUCUACGUUACCAUUUCUUUAUCUAAAUUGGUUGUAGCGCCCAAGUUCCUUUGUUUAUGGGAUUUGUAUCGUUUUACGUACCAUGCAGUACAUGUCAUGUUUGUAAGGUUUUCUAUCCUGCCGGCAAACCGCAGGUUCCAUGUGAUAAAUGAAUACUAUUUAUGUUACGACACUUUUCUCUGUUUCUCUUAUAUUUUGUCUUUAAUAUUCUUAAUCAUAUUUUUAACAAAAAUAUUCAAACACUUAGGCAAUCUGGUCUAAUGCUAAUUGUAUGUUUUACUUUUCUUUUUCACCUGCUCCCCUUUUCAACUCAAAAGGAUGCAAUAGUUUGUGAUCACUGUUUAAGACGGAAGCAUGAUACUAAUGAAUAUCUCAUUGAAACUCAAGGAAACUAACAUUGCGAAAAGUGUAAAUCUUGAUUUGAUGCAACUAUUUAUUCGUGGAAUCUAUAGUUACAAAACUCAAAUUCUGACUGCGCCAUUGAUAAAUUAUUAAUGACGCUAUCAUCAUUAUUUAUCCCUAACUAGUUUCGACUACAACUGAACCCAAUAUUUUCCCCAUGAUAAAAGUUUUUGACUAUUUUACUGGCCUCUCUUCAAAUUUUAAAAAUUACACUAAUCUUCAUUGAGAUUAAUUAUCUUGUAACAUUUAAGUCCAAUUAAUAAUUAAAAAAUGAUAUUAUGAGAGAGAAAAUAAUAUAAUUUUAUCAUUGCCCCCCAUCUUGCUAUAUUAUUUAAUUAAUUUAAUAGCAACCCACACAUUAAAGAAAAAUACUAAAAUUUGCUGCUUUUCAUUAAAGAUCAAAUUGCAUAUGCCAUAAAACAUAGUAUAUCAUUCUAUAUGUUUCACUUAAUGUAAGAUCCCAAUUGUUCUUUUCAAUUACAAACCCAUUGUCAAACAUGAUCAAUAACAAAUAAUCAAAAAAUUUGCAACCAAAAUAUUACAAAAAAAAACUUUAACAUCAUAAAUAUUCUUACCACCUCUAGUGCAUUCACCCUCAUAAAAUAAUUCAAGACCCUACUGUCAUAAAAUGACUGAUCAACUCCUGUAAACCUAAUUUGACAACAUUUAAAUGGAGAACUUUAGCUAAAAGAAUUAUGGUCAAGCUAAAGAAAAAACCAGUUAUUUUCCAACAUAUGCAACCAUUGAUCAGGGGAAAAAAAAAAGCAAAAAGACAUCUUCAAUCAUUUAAUAGCUUACAGGGCAAAUUAACCCUUGAGUGAAAACUGGUUGCUCUAGAAUUAAAAUUUUACCUUAGUUACCCAGGCAACUUUUUUGUUGCCUUUUCUUUUUCUUUUUUGGGUAUAUAGCUCCAGUUUUGCCCCCUCUGUCAAGCUUAUAUAAUUAUUAAGAUAAUAAAAGUGCCUUUAAUAGUAUUAAUAUAUCCAUUGACUUGAGCUGUCAUCGAUCGGUUUGGGCUACUUCGAUUCCAUGAGAACAAAUGGUAAUAAAAGUACUCAGAAAAUGGGGAGUCAUGAAACCCUUUUGUUCUAUUCAUUGCUAAGAUGCUUUUCUCUAUAAAGAGACUUCCUAACGAAAAUACUUUGUAGAUUUCUUUACUCCAAGUGGUGCAUGGAAAAUUAAUAUUUUCAAUUAUCAAAUAAAAUUCCCUUUUUUCGGCGUAGAUUUCAUCCAUCCAGCUGUUAACACAUUCUAUAAAUCCGAAUUGACUAAUCUUUUCGUUUCCAUUUUCCAACUUGCGAAUACGGCAUAUAGUGUCUGCUAAACACUAUAUAUUCUCUGCCAAAUAUGAAUACAUAUCACUUUUCUGAGCAAGUGCAGAGUCAUUAUCAUUUUUAUUCCCACCUAACAAAUUAGGGAUAAAAAAGUUAAUAAUCUUUACAUGCUAUCAGGUCACAAGUUAAUAAUCUUUUAAAGAACAUGUUAAAUUAAUUUAUUGGUAUGAAUAGUAGUCAAAGAAGUAUGUUAAAGUUAGUAAUCUUUAAAAUAAUAUGUUAAAAUCAUUCGUACAAAUUAGUCAGAGAAGUAGCAUAAACACCGCGAUGCAAUUAAUACUUUCAAUCUCAAGGUCUCUAUUAUGGAAAUUUGCAUCGGUCAAUAUACACUUGGCAUAAUAUAAUCUCCCAACUCAUUUCUUUACAAAUGCACCUUUAAUCACCACCAAAAGGUGUGGACAUGAUCUUUACCCUAGAAAACUAUUCACCGACAGGCAAAUUGACGUCAGAAAUACUGAGGAAUUCUAGUUUCCUUCGGGUUCAUGCCAUGUUGUAUCCUUCAACUGUAACUCGAUUUCUAAGCUGUAAUUUGUGACAUAAUAGUCCUUAAACUAUGAAACCCUUCUUACUUAAUUACAAUGGUUAAUACAAUGCCCGUGACUAGACAAGUAUGAAGCAACCAUAACAGAAAAAAAAUCCAAAAUUAGAGAAAAGAAAGAAGUUUCGCGACCACCACCAGUUUACAAGUCACCUCCACCACCUCCUCCAGUUUACAAGUCACCUCCACCACCUUACCAUUAUUCCUCACCACCACCUCCAGUGCAUUCACCCCCACCACCACCAGUUUACAAGUCUCCGCCACCACCUUACCAUUAUUCCUCACCACCACCUCCUGUGCAUGCACCUCCACCACCAAUUUACAAGUCACCUCCUCCAGUUUACAAGUCUCCACCACCACCUUACGAUUAUUCCUCACCACCACCUCCAGUGCAUUCACCCCCACCACCACCAAUUUAUAAGUCUCCCCCACCGCCUCCCCCAGUAUAUAAGUCACCACCACCACCUCCUCCAGUAUACAAAUCACCUCCACCACCUCCUCCAGUUGACAAAUCUCCACCACCACCAAUUUAUAAAUACAAGUCUCCUCCACUACCUCCUCCAGUGUACAAGUCAUCACCACCACCUGCUUACAAGUCUCCACCUCCUCCAGUUUACAGUUCCCCACCACCACCAAUCUACAAGUCUCCACCUCCACCCUACCAUUACUACUACAAUUCUCCUCCUCCUCCUCGUCACUACUAAGCAAUUGUAUCCAAGUUUUUGAGGUAAUAACGCUUAACCAAUAAAUUAACUUUCGCAUGAUAAACCUUAUCUCUAUCAAGACAAACUGCCAUGUGUAUCAUGCCAAAUACGUACACCUAGAUCCAUGAAAAUGAAUGGUAGAAAGUUUUCUUAAGAACCAAGAACAGCAUUAGUAUUCCCUCUGCUUCCAAAAACUUGUGUAUUAAAUAGAUUAAUGAAUUGUUUAACAUGCUCAUCUACUUGAAAAUGCACAAUACCCAUAACCCACUGAAAUUUUUGCAGGAAAAGGGAAAGAGAAUCUGUGUUUGAGAGCUUCAUGAAGAUGUUGAAGAAUAAGAAUAAAAGCCCAAUGCAAGGAUGUUUUCAAGUUUUUCUAUGUUUCCACUUUAAUUUGUAAAUUGAAUUUUGCGACUCAAUUAAUUCCCUGUUUGUGAGGUACGUAUUGUUUUACGUACCAUGCCGUACAUUUUUUUUUUCCAACAAACGGUAUCAUGUUAUAGAUAUUAACACUUGACCUUACAAGGAUUAGUUACAAAAAGGGGAUACUACCCUCAACUCUGUCCUAGCUAAAUCAGUCAGCCAUAUUGGGAAAUUAGUUUCCCAUUCAAUAUCAUGUACAAGCUUCACAGCAUAUUGUGCUAAUUGAUGGCUGAUGUGAUUUUCAGUUCUAGGUAUAAACACAAAAGAACAUUUUUCAAAAGCUAGACUAAGUUCCUGCACAUCUUCUAAGAUAGUUGCAGUCGUGUAGUCAUACUCCUUGCGUUUAGUAAUCUGCUCUACCACUGAUUUGCAGUCUGUAUGGACUAUAAUUUGUGUCCAACCUGCUUGGGUAGCCAUCAGCAGAGCAUUUCUCACAGCCCGAGCUUCCACUUCACUUGCCGAUCCCUUUCCCUGUGUGACAAUUCCUUUUGCUUUCAAAAGCUGUCCUUUCCAAUUUCUUGCUAUAAUCCCUUGUCCGGUCCUGACUCGUUUAGCUGAUAUCGCUGCAUCGGUAUACAGCCUUAUCUCUUCCUUCCUUGGCCGCACUCUCCUGGUAGGUAAGGCAUCAUUCAGCUUCCCUGCGAUCUCCUUCUGGUCUGUACUCCCUACCUGUUCAAACUCAAGCCAUUCCUCCUGUGCUUUCCUUACUAUUUUUACUGGAUCCUGGUUGGCUUGUUCAAAAAAUUUUUUGUUCCUGGCUUUCCAAAUUUGCCAAAGGAUAUUGAUAGUAAGACUAACUCUCUCCUGACCUUGGUUCAGUGCCAGCGAUUGUGUGACUUGUUCCCACCAUAACCAAAAGUUAUAUUGCAUACCCAGUAAUCCAUCCCACCUGACCGGUGCUAGCUUCCACGUUUCCACAGCCUUUUCACAGAAGAAAAACAAAUGCUCAAUAGUUUCCAUAUCUUCACCACAGCAACCACAUCUGCCUUCCCCUCUAUGUAGCCUUUUCGACAUCUGUUCAUUGACUGGCAGACAAUUUUGUAAGCACUUCCACAUGAAGUGUUUUAGUUUGGCCUUCACCUUCAAAUGCCAUAGCUGCUUCCACACAUUUCGUUUUCGUAUCUCCCAACUUGUUUCUGCCUCUUGGCCUGUCCUUGUACCUGCUUUUCCUUCCCGUUGCCUUGCUAAAGCAUAACCAGAUUUCACGCUAUAAAUUCCAGCUUUGGAAUGCCCCCAUACCAACCUAUCCUUUCUUCUUCCUAUACUUGUUGGAAUUCCCUUUAUGUGCUCUGCAUCUUUUGCACAAAACCACUUGAGAAGCAAAUCAUUUUUCCAUUUCCCUUCCUCUAUCAGCUCACUUACCCAUUCCAACUUGCAUCCCACAGGUUGUGUGGUUGAUGCAAAGCCGGUAUCUGAACCAACUAUCCAUCUGUCCCGCCACAUGUUGACUGACUUGCCAUCUCCAAUUCUUUUCCAAAGACCAUCAUACAGAAAGGAGGCUGCACUAUGAAUACUCUUCCAACACCAUGAGGCUGAAGAGACUGGCUUCUUGUCCAUCCAUUUUUCAUCACUCAUAUACUUCGCCUUCAUUACCUUACUUACUAACAAAUUUGGAGCCAUUAAGAAUCUCCAAAUUUGUUUUGCCAGUAAUGCUGUGUUGAAGGCCUCCAAAUCUCUAAAGCCUAAACCUCCUCUUCCCUUAACUUCUAAGAGCUUCUUCCAGCUUGCCCAAUGUACACAGGUACCCUUUUCUCCCUUCCCCCACCAGAAACUCGCUAUUUUACCUGUGAUUUGUCUACACAAACCCCUUGGAAGUCUAAAGCAAGCCAUCACAUAUGUUGGCAUAGCCAUAAUCACUGAUUUGACCAGAAUUUCUUUCCCUCCUUGGCUCAACAGUUUUUGUUUCCAACCUUGCAACUUGUUACUAAUUUUGUUCUGGACAAAUGCAAAGACCUGUGUCUUUGAUCUUCCAAUUGCCAUUGGGAGUCCUAGGUAGGUUCCAUUCCUUGCCUCUUUAAUGUUAUCUAAUACCUCCCUCACUCCAUUCUUCCUUUGAUCAGUGGUAUUUUUGCUAUAGAAGAUAGCUGACUUUUCAAAAUUCACCACCUGUCCGGAUGCUUGACCAUAUCUUUCCAAUAUGCUUUUGACCUUCCUCGCCUCCUGCUUGGUUGCUUGGCAGCAUAGUAGAGAAUCAUCUGCAAAAAAUAGGUGAGAAACCAUCGGACUGUCCUUGCAUAUUUUGAUCCCUGUAAUUUCCUUGUUCAUCAUAGCUUUAUGGAUCAAACAUGAAAGACCUUCAGCGCAUAUAAUAAACAAGUACGGGGAUAGGGGGUCUCCUUGUCUAAGCCCUCUACUCGGUUGAACACAGCCUACCUUUUGCCCAUUUAAGUUGAAGGAGUAAGUCACAGUAGAUAGGCAAGACAUGAUCCAUUUAACAAAAAUUGGACAAAACCCCAUUUUCAUCAUAACUCUCCCCACAUAUUUCCAUUCGACUCUAUCGUAAGCUUUGGACAUGUCCAGUUUAAGAGCCAUAAAUCCUACCCUUCCCUUUCUCCUAUUUUUCAAAAAAUGCAGGAUUUCAUGUGCAACUACUACAUUAUCAAGAAUUUGACGGCCUGGGAUAAAAGCGGAUUGAGAGGGACUAAUACAAUGAUGCAAGACACCUUUCAAUCUAUUAGCUAUGAUUUUAGAAAUGAUUUUAUACAGGACAUUGCACAAGCUAAUAGGUCUAAAAUGCACCACAGAUUCAGGAGUAUCAACUUUAGGAAUCAACGAAAUAAUAGUAUCAUUCACAGCUUUGAGCAAAUGCCCAGUAUGAAAGAAACUCUUAAUAGCUGCUACCACAUCAUCCUUGAUAAUAUCCCAAUAGUGUUGAAAAAAUAGAGGAGACAUACCAUCCGUUCCUGGUGCUUUAUUAGGGUGCAUCGAGAACAAAGCUUUCCUGAUCUCACUUUCCUCCACUUGUCGUAUCAGUUGUCCAUUCAUAUGACUCGAAAUAGUGCUUGGAAUUUCAGCUAGAAUGUCCUCAAAGCAGUCCGGGUUAGUAGUGGUAAAAAGGUCUUUAUAGUACUCACAAAGUUCCUCCUCAAUCUCAUGUUCCUCCUUGCACCAUGUCCCAUCUUUUUUCUGCAAUAUAGUGAUCUUAUUUCUCCUCCUCUUUGCCAUGACCGAAGAAUGGAAAAAAGCUGUAUUCUUGUCCCCUUCUUUGAGCCACUUGUUCCUGGAUUUUUGACUCCAAAACAUCUCUUCCUCUGCAUAAGCUUUAUUCAAUUGUGCUUUUAGUUCAGCCACUUGUACUCUUUUCCCUUCAUCCUUUCUUGCUUUCACUUCAGCCAAUUUCUCCUUUAACACUUUAAUUCUAACCUUUGAGUUUCCCUGCACCUUUUUCCUCCAAUCCAGAAUAGCCAUGCGACAUUCCUUUAUUUUUGUAGCCACUCUAAACAUCCUGGACCCUGACUUCACCUUUGUCCAUGCUCCUUGAAUCACCCUUUUUGCUUCUGGAUUUAGCGUCCAUCGUUGAUCAAAGUAAAAUCUCCGUUUUCUCCUUGUGUUUUCCGGGUUUGUAUCCACAAGAAGCAUUAGAUGAUCAGAGGCUUCAGUAUCUAAAUGAGUACACUGUGCCUUUUCAAAUCUUUGCAGCCAUUCGGUGCUGCAUAAACAUCUAUCCAACCUCUCUUUCACUUCCCCAUCCCCCUCCCAACUAUUGCACCAAAUCCACGGGACCCCUUGAUAACCUAAGUCAACCAGGUUAUUGUCUUUGAUAAACCUGUUGAACUCCCUAAAACAUCUUUCAGCUCUAUCCCUUCCUCCCCACUUCUCCUCACUAGACCUCAAAUCAUUAAAAUCUCCUACAAUGAUCCAGCCAUCCCCCCAGUCCCUCAUCCUGUCCUCUAAAUAUUUCCAUUGUGCUUUUCUAAUGUUACUAUCUGUGCUUGCAUAAACACACACUAGCCCCCAGUAUCCUUUAGUAUCCUUGUCCUCAACUCUAGCACUAAUACACCAAUCAGUACUUACAAUCUGGUCUAAAAUCACCUCAUUGUUCCAGAAUAAUGCUAGACCGCCUGCUUUACCUAUUGAAUUCACAAAAAAGCUAUUGUCAUACUGAAUCUUCCUUUGAACCUUGCCCAUAAACCCUUCCUGAUUCUUAGUUUCACAAAGGAACACCACCUUAGGAGAGUGGAAGUUAGUCACUUCCUUUAGUUGGGGACUUGUCAAGGGGCCUCCUACACCUCGACAAUUCCACACCACAACCUUCAUUUACACUUUGGAGGCUUUCCGGGGCUAGCCUCCAUUUCCCCUAUUGUACUAACAUUUAUUAGAUCCAGUUUCAUAACCUUUACCUUCGGUACAUUAUCAUCAUCCUCCUCUAUCGGUUGUGUUCCCUGAAACAUACCAUCAGCCUUCCUUUUAGCACACGAAACCUGCGUUACUUGUCCAUUUGUAUCUGCCUUUAAGGAUGUUUUAGCCGGCCUCCCUCUUCUUUUAAAACUGCUUCUUUUUUCAGCUUUGUUAUCUUCUUCCCCUGGAGUAGCCUCCUUUCUUGGCAUUCUUGCAUUUGUCUCCUCCUGCUUUAUUGACCCUACCCGCAAACUUUCACAUUCCUGUUUUGAGCUGUCCGUUUCCAUAUCCUCAUAAUCUACUGGUGGGAUUACGCUGCUCCCUCCUUUACUCCCUUCCUGUACCCUACCCUCCUUUUCACCAUUUCCCUCCAUUAAGACCACAGCCAAACUUUCCACCCGUUGGUUUGCCUUUCCAUACUGCCUGCUGUCUUUUAGAAUCUCAUCCCACCUCUCUUCAUAUUGUCUCGUCAUCAUUUUCUCCUUAUCCCCCCUUUCCUUUCCCCCCAAGACUCUACCAUUUUUUCCCCCAAGAGUUAAUGUAUCUCCAGCCAUUUGUACUCCAGUUUGAACUUCACUACUAGGAGACCCUGCCCCCACCCUCCUUGCAUCAAUUUCACUUACUCCUUCCAGCCGUCCCUUUAAGGGAGAUACCAUUAUAUUUCCAGCUCUCAUCCAGGCACCAUAUUGUUCCUCUCGCUUCUCCCCCCCACCCUUCCUACCACAGUACAAGUCCUAUCACUAUGCCCAAUGAUACCACACCUAUAACAGAAAUCAGGGCAGCGUUCAUACCUGAACUCAACCCACACUGCCUGGUUCUUACAGUUGAUCUUUGUCCCUCUAACCAGUGGUUUCGUUAUAUCUACCUCAGCCAUAAUCUUCAUGUGGCGACCCUCUUUCCCACCACUUCCUGGGAGAAUCACUCCCCUCACUGAUUUAAAGAUCCCUCCUAUUUUCAAACCCACUGCUCUGCUCAACCAGUGCACCGGUAGGUUCCAUAGUUGAAUCCAAAGAAAGGAAUGCUGGAAAAAGCUGCUGUUUGUAUCAUACCCCUCUACCCACUCCUUCACUAUCAGCAACUGGUUGUCCAUGACCCAAGGCCCUCCAGAUAAGAUCUUUUUCUUUUCCCCUUCAUCUCCCAGAUGGAAAUGGAAUAAGUUAGGACCUAACUCAGUCACUUUCAUCUUUGAGGGGUAUCCCCAUGCAUGAUUUGUAAAGUUCUUUAACCCCGUAAAGUUGGCAAUUUUUUCACCAAUCAGCUUUCCUACCAGGCUUCCUUGACACUCAGAGACGCCUUCUUCCAGGUCCUCACCACUCAGAUCGACACCUCCUAACUCUGUUUCAGACAAGUCAAAAUUUUGAAAGGCUCUUUCUAAAGCAUCCGCCAUUGCUGUGACGAGAGCUCCUUGAGAAACCAAGCACUAUUUCUGAGCUAUGAGUGACCCACUGACAGACCUGUGAAGAAUUGCAAAGACAGACAAAGCUGUGUUAUCCGUACACACUAAAAACCAACCAGAAAAACAGAGAGGAACUCGACAGAAAAAGCACAGGCACAAGAAGAAACGAAAGAAAAAAGAAAAACCAACAAACCACUAUCCCACUCCCGACCACAUAACAGCAUUAAAGAAAGGGACACAAAUACGACACUCCAACUUCCGAUCACAUGCUCUGACUCAAUGGAUCAUAUCUUGCCCAAAGCGUUUACUCCUCCAACCGAUUCCAAACCACUACAGACAUUGUCUCCCAUUUUGAAGCCGGAAGAAAGGUGGCUUCUGGACAGGGAACAUGAAAGCAAAGGUUGAACUAAAGAUUUGAUUUUAGAUCUGAAAAUUACGCUGUAGGAAAAAGUGCUAUGUGUUUGUACCUCACCCACUCUCCCACACCGAGGAGGGGAACCUCUAAAGUUAGAGAGAGAAGCUCUCAAGUUAGAGAGAAGCUUUGGAAGUUAAUUACCAACGUACCAUGCCGUACAUGUUUGUAAGGAUUUCUAUCCUAUUGGCAAAAGUCGGUUCCAUACAAUUAAUCAAUUCAUUUCACUUCUAUUGGCUCUACUAUUUAUGCAUGUUACGACACUCUUUCCCUUAUAUUUUGCCUUUAAUAUUAUGAGUCAAUAGUAAUAAUGGGCCUUUUUCUUAAAAUUAUACUAUUAUACAUAGGUAGUUUGGUCUAACGCUAAAUUCAUGUUUGUCUUUCUUUUAUUCCCUUUACAUCUCAAAGUAUACUAUAGUUUGUAAUCAUUGUGGUGAUGAUAUUACCAGCUGGUACUUAUAGUUUAAGGCAGAGACAUGAUAUUAACAACUAUCUCAUUGAAACAUAAGUCAAAAUCAUGACAAGUGUGAGUCUUGGUUAAUGCACAAUUUGUUAGUGGAAUUUAUAUUUAUAAAACUCAAAAAAAAUUUUUGACAAUGCUAUUACUAAUUAAUUAAGGACUUCAUUGCUAUAAUUUAUCGCUUACUAAUUUAAACUAUAAAUGAUCUCAAUACUUUUCUCCAUGAUGUCGAUUUCUUUAGACUACGAAAGGGAAAAAUUAGUGACAUAUCCCUUACUGAUUACAACAUCAGCAAAAAUUAGUUAUAAACUUUUCCGGUGGUUUUAAAUCCCUCGGGCACUAAGGUUUUUUGCACAUCGAGUGAAUUAAGGAACAUAGGCAAUUCGUUCUGCAUACCAAGUCCUUGUUUAAGAUGCACGUACUAAAAUGCAUCCACUUCAUUAAUUUGGAAAAUUGCCAUAGUUUUUUUUAAGCAUUUUGAUUUUUUACAUGAUUCAAAAUUUUCUUAUUGGAUACAAUCACUUUGUGUCAAGAACACAUUUUCAAUCAUCUUUUUUAUCUUCUCAAUAAGAAAAUAAAAAUUUAUUCAUGCUUUUCUAACAUAUCCAAUCAUUGAUCUGAAAAAUAAAGAAUUAAAAAAAAAAGACAUUUUCAAUCAUUGCUUACGGGGCAACUUCCCCAUGUGAACCUCAUCAAACAAAGCCAAUAAUAUGAAGGAACAUCUAAAUACACUUUUGCCCUAAAGGCUGGUUGCCUUGGGGUCAAAAUUUAACCUUCGGGAGUAUAAUUACCCGCCAAAUUUAUUAUUUUUUUUAUGGGUAUAUAGUUCCAAUUUUGCCUCCUGUUAAGCUUAUAAAUAUAUUACGACCCAGAAAAUAAAGGAAUCUUGAAUAGUAACAUGUCCAUUGACUUGAGUUGUUAUCAAUUUGGCUACUUCGAUUCCAUGAGGCCAAUCCAAUUCACACUAGCUAGAGAAAAUGGUGAUAAAGGCACUUAGAAAUUUAUAUGUAAUAUUGAUUGGUAGUAACUGAUAAGUAUAUAUUUUACGUGUUUUAAAUAUGUUUUAUUAGUUAGUUUUGGUGUGUUUUAACUACUUUUAUAACUAAUUAACUAGGAAUCUAGUGAAAAUAUGCAUUUUGUGGUUUGAAGUGUAAAAAUUGUAUUUCUAUGGAUUUUAAUGGUGAAAACUUCAUGUUUUUGUAGGUUUAAUGAUUCAAUCAUCAAAUGACAUGAUUUGAGAAGAUAAUUAGAUGAUUGAUGAUGUUUUGAAGUGAUAAAAAGAGAAUACAAAGUGCAAGAGAGGAAAUGCAAUCAAGAAUAAAAGAAGAAAAUUUUUGUAGCUUUGACAUAUUGUCGUAUUUCGGCAAUAUAUUGAGCUACAAUGAUCGGAUUAAGGUGAUUCUUAAACCAUUUGAAGCUAAAAUAUAGAUCUACAUUUGGCAUGAAGGCAUCGAAACCCAUGUCAGUCAUUUUCCUUGUCAAAAUGUUGAAAUACAGAAGUGCAACUCUGUUCUCGAAAGCUAAAACAGAGCUCUGGCUAGUCGAGGGUAUUUUCAUCAUUUCUUAGUCCACAGAGCUCCAAAUGAGAUGAUUCUUAAGGCAUUAGAACCCUAACUCAAAGAGCUACAACUUUCAUAUUUUGUACAAGAGUUAGUUCGGCCUCUAUCAUUAAGAAAAUAGUAGUUGAAGUGGUGCCAAAUGCAUAGAAGUGAAAACGCGAGCUAUCAAUACUCGACCUGAAGUCGCGUAUUCCUGAGGUCAUGCAUUCUCUUCUAUUUUCUGCAACUUGCCCUGCUUUCACAUAACUUUUUCAUCUCAAUUCCAACUAUCAAUUUCGGCUAUAUCUGAUCAAGAAAAGUGUGGAAAGUUUGAAAGACAACUCAUAGGAGUUUCAAGAGUCAAAAAUUACAAUUAGAAACAACUCAUUUGGCUCUUGAAUCCUCUAUAAAUAGAGGCCUUUGAAGAACAUUUUCACAACUUUGGAAGGUUAGAGAAACUCCACAAAAACAUAGUCUUCACUAGAAUUUCCUUAGUUCAUUAGUUAGGGUAGUAUAGUAUAGUUAGUGUAGCUUUUCCUUCUUGUAUUUAUAGUUAGGUUUGAAUGAAGAUUCAGGAGCAAAGAUAGAGAGGUUGAUCUCAUGUGACAAGGGUGAUAUCUCUUCUACUACUUUCUCUUUUGUAUUUGAUUUCAUAUUUAACUAUACUACAAAUUUGGCUUUGUUUUUUUUUUUUUAUCAUGUUUAGUUAAAGUUUAUGCCUAGAGUAUGGAUGACCUUUUUAUAUCUUGUUUGUGAUAUUUAACUGGUUAUUUGAUGAUGUUAUUUUUGAGCAAGUUAUUUAUCACUUUUGCUUUUCUAAUCAUGAUUAACUGGCCAUUAGUUGUGAUUAUCUAAAAGUGUUAAGUUUGUAAUGAGAAUUGGAGUUUAACACUAGUUCAAGGAAGUGAUAAAUUUAGGGAGUUCACUCAUGAGAGUAGAGGAACACCUUUGUGACCUAAGUGACUUGUUUCAUAUAAUUUCAUAGAAAAAAUGAACUUGUAAUUAAUUUCAUAACCACGAGAGUAAGUAUGGUUUAGCUAUAUGUAUAGUUGAUUCACUACGAGAGUAGGUUUCACAUACAUUAGAAAAUUACAUCAUAACUAGUCAAGAUAAUAUCAUUCAUUUAAUCAGUAAUCUCAUUUGCAUGAGUAGUAAGGCAUUCCAUAUCUCUAGGAGGUUUUUAGUAUUAUUUUCAUUACUUUUAUGUUUAUGGUAGUCUAGAUAAUAAUGGAGUUCGAAAACUACUAGUAAUUGAAAAUUUUCCCUGUGGGAUCGACCUUUAAUACCCUAUACUCGCUCUCGACUCGUAUACUUGAGAAAAAUCACGUGUGCGGUAUUUAGAAUUUAUAAAUGUAAAACUUGACUGUAGAUGAACUAAUUGAUAUAUGUAUACCCCGCACUCGUCAGUAACCAGCUUGUAUUGAUCCCACUAUUGUGGAUAAUUGUGCUCUUAUGAAAAAAAAUUAUAAAAAAAUUAGCAAAAUUUAUGAUAACAAAUUAAAUUUAUUCAUACAAAUCAGUGAAAGAAGUAGAAUUUUAAAGUCCAUGAUGAAAUUAAUACUUUCAAGGGCUCUAUUAGGAAGACUUCACUUGUUGGUGAAACUACACUAGCACAGUUAUAUGCACAUUUACUGUUUUGGUAUCUAAUUUCCUUGCCUUAAGUUGGGUGCAGAUGUUUAUAUUACAAAUAGAUGGUAUCAUAAAAUUGUUGUAUUCACGUUUGUUCUUUUUUUUCUUCCUUAAGUUUUUUUCUUUAUUCUCGUGACUUCAAAAAUACGAACUCAAGAAAUUGGCUGCUUAAUCAAUAUGUCAUACAGGCUUCGCUAGUGAGGUAUAACUUCACAACUAGAGUCAAUAGAAAUUAUCAAAUGAUUUUUUAACAUCCAAAUUAAGCAAUAAAUUUUGUUUUCAUUUUAUGACAUAUAAUAGUACUACUUCAUGAGAGAUUUUAUAGUUUCUUUUAGGUAUCAUACCUACAAGUGAUAUUUGUCAUUGGAUAGUGACAGAAGUGUUAAUGAUUGUAAGAUUAAAUAUUGUUAAAUAUUGAAAUUUAAACUAUUUAUCUUUAUUGAAAGAUACAAGUUAAAGAAUCGUUCAAGGGGGCAAUUUUCCAUCUUGUCUUUUUGAAAAAACGCUAUCACAUUGUAUAGGCAUGAUAGGUUCAAAUUUGUCAUUAAAUUUAUGAUUGAUUUUCCUUUUAUUCAAGCCAAAUAUUGUUUUAAUUAUCAAAUUCUACUUAUAUUUGGUUAAUUGUACUAAUUGUAGGGCGGUAGAGCAAAAGUUGCUAAAAAUAGGCGAUUUUCUGCAAAUUGGUUGUCAAGGCUGAAGGAUUUGGGAUUCGCAUGUUCAAGGCCUGUUUCCAAGUUUGAUUCAAACUCUGGACAGUUUUAGAGGAAGAUUUGGAAGAUUUGAAAUUUCAUUAUUAGUUUUAUGGUUGAAUUAGGAAUCUUGGAAUAAUUUCUUUUGUGAUUUAUUUUUCUAUUUAGGAGACUAGUUGUUAUUUAGUAGUAGACUUCAAUUAGAAAACAAAGAGAAAAAGAAGGCCGGAAUCCCGCUUGAUUAAUACCUUGGCCAGGGAACAAUCUCGGUGGGGAGGACGGCCACUUAGCCUCUCAAUUCAUCUUGCUUUUCGUUAGUUUGAGAGGAAAACCAAUUGCAACUAGAUUCAAUGGAGUCUGGCAGAAUUUCUUCUAGGAUGCGUAGCUAAAUCCUCAAUUUUUAGUCGAAGGUCAAUUUGAAAAUUCGGUUCCAAAUAUCUGUGAAAUCGAAUUAUUUUACUUAUUUCUUUUAUUUAUUGGUAUUCGCACGUUUUCUGAUUUAACUUUUUAUGAUUGUUUUGUUAUUUGAAUGUCAAGGGUCCGAUAUUCGAAUUAACUUAAUAAUCUACUGCCAAAUUAACCGGUUAAAUCCGUAAUUGUUUGAUUGAUUAAUAUCAGUGGCGACUAGCGUGAUUGGUCCCAUGUUAGGAAAACGUCUGAUCUAAUUUAAACAAACCGUCGUAGCGUGUUUGUUGAUUAGGGUUGGGCUUUUCUAAUUCUUAAUUCAAUUGAGAAAUUAAAUCCCCCGGUCGUACCUAGGAUUAUUUUUUUGUUAGCGAAAUAGUUAAUGGUCGUACCUUGACUAUCGAAAAAGUAAGGAAGAGUUGAUUGUUUAUCGCGUGUACGACAACUAUAAUCAAUCUAUUAAUGAGUAAUUGAAUUAUCUUUGCAUCAGUAAUCAGUUGAAUGGACCGUGUCUGAAAAGUUGUACCUUUGGCUAGAGUCUUAUCUGUUGUUGAUUCAUUCAUAUCUAUCUUCAUGCGUUGUUUUAAUUUAGUUAAUUAGUUAUUUUUAUAAAAACCCCUCAUCUCUGGACUCUAAAAGAAAUAAAUUAUUUCUAGUUCCUGUGGAUUCGAUCCUACUCACCAUACAAUCCAACCUGCAAUUGUAUGAACCCCAAUCUCGCUUCCUAGUCCACCAUUUUUCUCUAGGUAAUAAUCUCCCUUCUAAUUUCUUCACAAAAUGCACCUUUCAUCACCUCCAAUAGCGUCGACAUGAUCUUUACCCCAGAAGACUAUUCACCGACUCUCAAUUGACGUUAGAAAAUCUAAGAGUAAUUCUACUUUACCCUAAGAUUGAUAUCAACAAGACAAGGACAAUUUAGAAUUAUUACACGCCUCUUCUUAAUAGGAAAAAGAAAUAGAGAAGAAAGUCAGGCCAGGUCUAAUUUCUUUUCAAAGGCAAUACAACAUUACGAAAUCAAGCAUUCAUUCAUACAAAUAUUUCAUAGUCACCGGUUUGCUGAGUAGAAAAAUUUAGACAAAAACUUAAUAUUAUAUUGUUUAAGAGUUAACAAUUUAGAGCUUAAUCUCCUUGUACUUUGGAGUUAACAAUUUAGAGCUUAAUCUCCUUGUACUUUGGACUAAACUUGAACGUGAAAGGAAAUCCCAAAACCAUAUUGGGCAUGAAUUCACACUUAAUAUACCCAAUAAAAGAUGGCGACUGGUGAAAGGCAGUGGAGACUGGUGGAGAGAUUUGAGGAAUAGAAGCAGACGGAAAAGCAACAAAUUUUUGCCGAAAAACGGUCACUUUCAUGGUUAAUUUUGCUACUCUCCAAUUGUACUUGACCAAUUACAACAAUUUCAUGGAGUUUGAUACGUGAAAAGAAUUUUUUAUAAAUUUUAUUUUGAUCCAUAAUGUUAUCUUUACAUAUAUAAAACAUUUUACAAUUUUGAUUUUGGCGCAGUUAACUUUUGGUAAACAAAAAUGCUCAUGUUUAAAAAACCGGAAAUAAAACAAAACAAGAAACAAAAGAAAUAAGAGGGUAGCAUAGACAUUUUGGAUUUUUCCGUUAAUUUGGAUGAUUUCCACCCACGUUCUAAUUUAAUCCAAAACACAAAGGAAUUACGUAGAGGUUUUAAAUAAUGAGGGAGCUUCAUGAUCGAACCCCAAACCACAAGGCGAUUUACUAUAUUUUACUCUUAAAUUUUGGUUUCAUCUCAUAGCAUACAAGAGUUCUAUUUCACUAUCUGUAGACAAAGACUUUCUAUGGUUGAUGUACCAUAGGAAAAAAUCUGCCUAUACAACGUGAUAGCAUUUUUUCAAAAACACAAGAUGGAAAAUUGCCCCCUUAAACGGGGAAAUUCAUGAUCUUUCCUCGAACAAAGAAUACUCACGCCUAUUCAAGAUGGAAAAUUGCCCCCUUAAACGUCUAUUUGUCAAUUCUUGAAAAAAGAAUACUCACGCCUAAAACACGGCCUCUUCAUCUGCAGAAUUCUAAAAAGUUAGGUAAACUCUAUAAACAAGUUGAUAGGUACAAUCGUACCCAAGAUCAAGUACAGAUAGUUGUACAUUCACUGCUGCAAUAACUAAUCUGAUGACUUACAAACAUAUCAUGGUCAAUCGUUGAAUGGUAAUGAGUCUUUUGUUAUGCAUUAGUAUUAGUGUGUACACUCUAAUAGAUUGAUACUUAUACUCUUUAAAUUAUCAUAAUAAUACCCUUAAUUAACUUUAACUCUUAAAAAGAAUACGUGUUAAUACACGAGAGUGUGUAACCUGAAUUGUUACUUAUACAUUAGUGUGUAAUAGAUAGGGAUGGCAAUGGGGGCGGGUGCCCGCAGGCAACCGCCCCGCGGGGGGCUCUCGGGGCGGGGAGGGGGGAAUUUUUUCCCCCCGUUUAGAAACGGGGCAGGGGACGGGGGAGUAUACCCCCGCCCCAUCCCCCGCAAAAAAAAUUAUAUAUAUAUAAUUAUAUAUAAUAUGUAAUUUAAUUAGUUAUAAACUUAUGAUAAUGAUAUUAUUAGUUAGAUGUAUUAUAUAAUGUAUAUUAGUGUAUGUAAUAUAAUUAAUAUUAUCAAUUAUACGAAUAAUUAGACAUGUCUACUAAUAGAAUUUAUUAAUUAGUUAUACUAAAUUUACUAAUACAUUUAUACUAAAUUUCUAAUUACAUUUAAUAGAAUAACACUUUUUUCUAAAAAAAAAAGCACAAACACAAUAAUGAAUUAGUGAUUGUAUUUUUACCAAAAAUGAAAACUUAACUAUUUUAGUUGCAUUUAUUUCAUCAUGUUGGAUUGUAUUCAAAUAAUUUUUGUUUGAUUGUUUUUAUGAGUUUCAAUUGUAAAAUUAAAAUGAAUAAUAACUUGAUGAAUAAUAAUGUCAAUCGUUGAAUGGUGUGUACACUCUAAUAUUAUGCAUUAGUAUUAGUGUGUACACUCUAAUAGAUUGAUACUUAUACUCUUUAAAUUAUCAUAAUAAUACCCUUAAUUAACUUUAACUCUUAAAAAGAAUACGUGUUAAUAACUCUUAACCUGAAUUGUUACUUAUACAUUAGUGUGAAAUAGAACGGCAAGCAUUGAGCAACUUAUAGGAGAAAUAGUCCUAUAAGCUGUUGGAUGACUAAUAUAGCUCUAGCUGUAAUGUUUUAAUUAAAUUACAUCACUAACGUUGGGAUGACUAAUGGUUUAAAAAUAAUUGAGUAAUUGGAAAAAAAAAAAGAGACUAAUUUUCAUUGAAACCCACCGACAAACUAAACGUGUCCAUGGCUUUUGAAUAGUGCAUUCAACGUUUAAUUGUAUAGUCCAGUUCAUUGCAGAUUACAUGGAGUAAAGAUUGUGCUCUUUCCUUUUUCACCCCUUUUGGAAUCGAUACUGUGGAGAAUUGGGUUUUUCCCUUCUUUUUUUCUUUUCUUUCUUUCUGUGCUUUGCAAAACAUAGGUAAAAUUAUGAAAUCCGAAGCAUUCUUUAAUUGGGAUUAAGUAUUGUUCUUGAAAUUAAAAAGAAGAAAGAAAGAACAACAAAAUUCCCUGAUUGGUUGCAUCGUGCUUCCAUAGAAGCUCUCUUAGUGUGAUACACUGCUUUCAAUCAGUUUAACAUGGAAAAAAGAAAGAGAUGAAAAGCAAAUUUGGUGGGGAUAAUUUCAGAAACCUCCCCUGAAGAUUUUGACUAUUCUACUGGUCUCCCUUCAGAUUUUAAAAAUUACACUAAUCUUCCUUGAAGUUAUAACAUUUAAAUUCAAUCAAUAAUUUAAAAAAUGAUAUUAUGAAAGAGAAAAUAAUAUGAUUUUAUCAUUGCCCCCCAUCUUACUACAUUAUUUAAUUAAUUUAAUAGCAACCCACACAUUAAAGAAAAAUAUAAAAUUUGUUAUUUAUCAUUAAAGAUCAAAUCGCUUAUAACAUCAAAUAAUAGUAUAUUAUUUAUAUUUUUCACUUAACAUAAUAUCCAAAUUACUCUUUUCAAUUACAUACUCAUUGUUAGACAAUCAACAACAAAUAACCAAAAAAUUUGCAACCAAAAUAUUACAAAAAAAAAUAAACUUUAACAUCAUAAAUAUUCUUAUCAACAUAUUAAAGUUAGUUACUGAAAUUUUUAUGGUGUUAAACUUCACUCUUUGUAAUAUUUUGGUUACAGAUUUUUUUUGAUUAUUUUUUAUUAAUUAUGUUUGAUGAUGGGUUUGUAAUUGAAAAGAAUAAUUUAAAACUUACAUUAAGUGAAAUAUAUAGAGUGAUAUACUAUUUUUUAUAACAUAUGUGAUUCAAUCCUUCUUGAUAGGAUUGGUAAUAGAGGUAGAGGGGGGAGUCGGCUGCAUCCGGUCUUCUUUUCAUAGAUAGUACAAUAUUGCGAAAUCAAUCGCAUUCACACAAUAAUAUUUCGAAGUCAAUGCAUGGCUAAGUUGCAUAAAAGUACGAACACUUGUUAUUAUAUAGCUUAAGAUUCAAAACUUUAGAGCAUAACCCUCCACCUAACACAAUUGAAUAAUGAAUAUUCACGUUUGUCAAAUCUGUCAAAGCACAGUUUGAGGACAACCCAUUCCAACCUGCAAAAGAUUUUUUACUUUUCUAAAGUUGUUGAGAGCUGUAAAAAGACCUACCAUGCUUACAUCCUCCGAGCCUUGGGAGUUAAAAAUGAAGGCACUGAGUGCUAUAAAAAGGGGGCUAGAGGCUGCCUAGAAGCAUAUCAGCCUAAAACAAGAAUUUGUUGUUAUGAUGGGAAGCAAAGCAAAAGCAAUGGGGUCUGGGCUGACUCCUCUUCUUGCCACUGUUUUAGUGGUAUUUGUUGCUCUUGGCUUGCCCUCAGAAACAGCAGCUGAUGAUCACUACAAGUAUUCAUCUCCUCCUCCUCCUUACCACUAUCCCUCACCACCGCCUCCAGUGCAUUUACCUCCACCAGUGUACAAAUACAAGUCCCCACCACCACCUCAUCAUGUUUACAAGUACAAAUCUCCACCACCCCCACCACCACACCCAGUUUACAAGUAUAAGUCACCACCACCACCUCCUCAUCCGGUACCACACCCAGUUUACAAGUAUAAGUCACCACCACCACCUCCUCAUCCGGUAUACAAGUAUAAGUCUCCUCCGCCACCACCACACCCAGUUUACAAGUAUAAGUCACCACCACCACCUCCUCAUCCGGUACCACACCCAGUUUACAAGUAUAAGUCUCCUCCGCCACCAGUUUACAAAUAUAAGUCUCCUCCACCACCACCUCCAGUGUACAAGUACAAGUCUCCACCACCACCAGUUUACAAGUACAAAUCACCACCACCUCCUCCCCCAGUUUACAAAUACAAGUCUCCACCACCACCAGUUUACCACUACAAGUCACCACCACCUCCUCACCCAGUUUACAAGUACAAAUCUCCUCCACCACCAAUUUACCACUACAAGUCACCACCACCUCCUCCCCCAGUUUACAAAUACAAGUCUCCACCUCCUCCUCACCACUACUAAGCAAUUGCUUCUGAGGUAAUAACACUUGUUCAAUAACACUUGAUAGCCAGCUGAAUAUUUGCAGGCAAAGGAGAAGGAAACCAGUGUUUGAGACCUUCUUGAAGAUGUAGAAGCAUAAGAAUUAAAGCCCAAUGUGAAGAUGAUGAUUUCAAGUUUUUCUACGUUACCAUUUCAAUAUCUAAAUUGGUUGUAGCGCCUUAGUUCCUUUGUUUAUGGGAUUUGUAUCGUUUUACGUACCAUGCAGUACAUGUCAUGUUUGUAAGGUUUUCUAUCCUGCCGGCAAACCGCAGGUUCCAUGUAAUAAAUCAAUACUAUUUAUAUUACGACACUUUUCUCUGUUUCUCUUAUAUUUUGUCUUUAAUAUUCUUAAUCAUAUUUUUAACAAAAAUAUUCAAACACUUCAGCAAUGGUUCACCUAGUUGAUCAUCGAAGCAGAGGCAAUUCCAAUUAUUUAUCAAUAAAUAGGAUAUAACUACCAAACAAGCGAUGGCAGUUAACCCCUCCUUACUGUGUCGGUGAUCAAGGUACGCCCGUUAAUCACUGCUCUAAUUGAGAAAUAAUCCUAAGUACGCCCGUAGAAUUUAAUUCCCCAAUUGCCUUACAUAUUAGAGGAGCCCUAUUCUAACCAAAUAACGCACUAUCAGGGUUAUUUUAGAUUAGCCCGCGUAUUCCCCUGACAUAAAUCUAAUCAUGCCAGUUGUCAUUAUUUUGAGGUAAUUAAACAAUUACGGAUUUAACACCUCAAUUGACAAUAGAUUAUUAAAUUAAUUAAUUAUUCGGAUCCAAGACAAUCAAUUAAUUAAACAACCAUAAGCACUACAAUCAGAGAAUAUGCAAAUACCAAUAAAUAAAUAAAAAAUAAAAUUAAAUCGAUCUCACAAUUUUUAGGCGAAUCAGAGCAUCCGUUGUCCCUUGACUAGAGCAAGGAAAUUAGUUCAUAUUUGAUGAACUAAACCCAUACAAAAGGGAAGCGAGAAAUGCAGCCAUUAUCCUUUGAAAUCUGGAAAAUUCAACUUGUCCGAAUAUCGAAUAGAUAGUAAUACUACAAAAGGUAAUUCAUAGCUUCCCUUUCGUCUGACACACAAGAAGAAAAAAAAGGGCUGCUAAUAACUAAAGGAGGAAAAGUCAAAGUCCUAAGCUAUGCUACAAGACGAAAAACUAAAGAAGACAAAAAGGCAGUGCUCAUUCCCUGCAAUCUCAAUUCCUAUUCUAUCUAAGUGCUCUCCAAUGUGCGGCGGCUCCCCUUCCGGAGAGGACGAAGUGGCACCCUUUUUUCCUGCGCAAUUUUCCUAUAUAAAGUAGUGCUCCUUGCAGCGGCUCCUGUGCGAAAAAAUGAAGACUUCGGCCCAAUUUGCCUAACAAGGGCUCACGUUUUGUUGUUCUAAAAAUGUCCCUAGGACAAACUCUAUCAUCUGAACUCUUUUCUUGCCAAAUUAGUACCUGUUAUUAUAUUUUCGUUCUACUCCCUGAAAUAAAUGCAAAAUAUCAAAAGUGAGUAGAAUCUAGCAAUUAAUCCACAUUAGGUCAGGUAAUAGGGAAAAUUAAUAAUAAAAUAAAUGAUAAAAUUGCAAUCUAUCACGGGACCACUGUGGUAAGGUGUGUUUCGCCUAUUAUAAGGAGUUCGGAGAGUUAGACGUGUUGGAGGCGGAGGCGCGGUCACUCCUGCACGCCCUCCAGCUGUGUGCAGAUCGCGAGGUACGGGCGUUGACUGUAGAAUCUGAUUCAAAGGUGCUUGUUCAACUAGUUUGCUCGGAUAUGAGGUCGAAGUGGCCGGUGUGUAUCGUAUUGCGGGAAAUAAGACAUUUGAUCCGGCGGAUGGGUGCAUCCCUUCAUCAUAUAUUCCGUGAGGCCAAUUCGGUGGCGGACGCAUUGGCUUCUCUGCAAUUGGGAGGGCAGCAGUACUACACCUCAGGCGUGGCGCUGCCUUUCAGGCCCAGAGGAGAGGCUCUGCUGGAUCGUCAAGGAGUACCUCGCAUCCGUGAGGCGCUCACUAAGGUUUGAUAGGCUAUGUCCUCCUUUCAAAAAACUUAUUUCAUCUACUCCUUGUAAUCAUUUUUCUUAUCAAUAAAUUGAGGCUUUUUAUUUAAAAAAAAACAUAUAAUUUAAGGCAAAAAUAUGAUCCUAGCGAGUAUCGCACUGAGACAUUAGGAAACAUCAUUAAAAGAGUAUUUCUUGAGUUAGUGCAACUAUUUCUUAGGGGAAUUUAUAGUUACAAAAUUCAAAAAUUUGAGAUUCUAUUACUGAUUAAUUAAGGGCGUUAUCACUAUUUUUCUUAUUAUCACCAUUAUUUACCCCACAUACUAUAAGUUUUUUUAGGGCACAGGAAAAGAGGUGGGCCGAUGUUUAGUUAUGUACAAAAGUUCAAAAUUUGUAGAUAACUUAUCAUGUGCCCUUAGAGCGUAGAAUACAGAAAAAAUAUCUUAAACUAUAACUAAUCCUAAUAUUUUUCUCUAUGAUAAACUAGCUCUUAUCCAUUUCUUUAGAUGAUGAAAGGAAAUAGUUAGUCACCUGUCCUCUAGUGAUUACAACAGCAUCAAAACAAAUUAGCACUCUUUUCCCGUAGUUUAAAAAUCCCUCAGCCACUAAGAUUUUGCAUGUCGAACGAAUUAAGGAACAUAGAAGGUUCGUGCUGCACCACAGUGUCCUUGUUGACGAUGCAAAGACAGAAAUGCAUCCGCGUAUACUUCCUUAAGCAUUUUGAUUACUUUAUGAUUCGAACUUUUCUUGUCUGACAGCUGGACUUAAUUGAAAAACACAAGUAACAAUAUUUCAAAGUUGAUUCGUCAAAGUUUACCCAAUUGGUGAAACUUUCUUCAUAGAGCUGACUUUGUAUUAGGUGACAAUGAUAUGGAAUUGAUGUCCUUCCCUUUUUCCUUUUUUUGUGUUGAAGACGCACAACGUUUUCAAUGGCAAAUUUAUAUGGGCUUUUCACGACAAAAUGUGUUCUGAAAAGUUCAUUCCAGAGGUUAAAAUUUUGUGUGUUAAAAAUUUGCUUCUCAGGACUUUGAUGGGAAAGUCUUGGUGUUUCCAAAAAGUUUAAGCAGGAUGCUUCUGGCUUUCUCUCCAUGUAUUUGUGAGUUAGAUCUAAAAUUAUCAGGGCUCCAGAGAUCUCUUGAAAUCGCAGCAUAUAUUGAAGUCUUUCCAGAAGGAGUCUUUUUUUUUUUUUUUAUGAAUUAUGAUAGAUAAUUAAUCUGACGGUGCAUAUAUAUAUAUAUGUGAUUUGCAGUAGGGUGUUUGACGAAAUGGUUAGGCUUCCUAAGUAAUGAUAGGAAUGCCAUUUGCAAAGAAGGACAGGGGGCUGGUGCUGUCAUAUUUUAUGCGAUUUGAUCCGUUGUUGUAUAAGUUUAAACUUUUGACGUGCAAUUGUGCUAUAAUAUUAUACUAAAUAUAUGUGUGAAAUAUUUUGUCUAUAUACAUCACUUUUAUCAUGAAUACAACAGCUGAGUAUAAUAAUAUAGUAUAAUGUAAUUGUACACCAAAUAAUGUAGCAAAUAUAACAAUUGAUCCGAAUUACACGGAACCAUAACAACAAGAUCACCGCCUCCCAAAUUUUACAAAAUUAGGUUUUUUUUUUUUCUCUUAGAUUAUUGAAAAUUUUCAAAAAUAAUCUACAUAAUUUAAGCUUUUGUCCUACAAAAAUUUGAAGAGAUUUUACAUUACAAGCUUAAGCUUAGAUAUAUUAAACUUUGCCCCCAAGAUUAAUUUUCCGUUUUUAUCUAUGAACCGAUCCAUAUAGCUAGUUAGACUGUAGUCCUCACAUUUGUGGGAUUUAACACCCAAGAUUCUCCUUCUUGGAAUGUAAAAUGUAGAUCUUCUAUGUUAAUAAUUCAAGACCCUACUGUCAUAAACGAAAUGACUGAUCAACUCCUGUAAACCUAAUUUGACAACAUUUAAAUGGAGAACUUUAGCUAAAAGAAUUAUGGUCAAGCUAAAGAAAAAGCCAGUUAUUUUCCAACAUAUGCAAUCAUUGAUCAGGAAAAAAAAAAAAAAGCAAAAAGACAUCUUCAAUCAUUUAAUAGCUCACAGUGCAAAUUAACCCCUAAGCGAAAACUGGUUGCUCUAGAAUCAAAAUUUUACCUUAGUUACCCAGGCAACUUUUUUGUUGCUUUUUUUUUUUUCUUUUCCUUUUUGGGUAUAUAUAUAGCUCCAGUUUUGCCCCCUCUGUCAAGCUUAUAUAAUUAUUAAGAUAAUAAAAGUGCCUUGAAUAGUAUUAAUAUAUCCAUUGACUUGAGCUGUCAUCGAUCGGUUUGGGCUACUUCGAUUCCAUGAGAACAAAUGGUAAUAAAAGUACUCAGAAAAUAGGGAGCCAUGAAACCCUUUUGUUCUAUUCAUUGCUAAGAUGCUUUUCUCUAUAAAGAGACUUCCUAACGAAAGUACUUUGUAGAUUUCUUUACUCCAAGUGGUGCAUGGAAAAUUAAAAUAUUCAAUUAUCAAAUAAAAUUCCCUUUUUUCGGUGUAGAUUUCAUCCAUCCAGCUGUUAACACAUUUUAUGUAUCCGAAUUAUAUAUUCUCUACCAAAUAUUGUAACUUUUCUGAGCAUCUUUACAUUUUUAUUCCCACCUAACAAAUUAGUUGUUGAGCAUCUUUACAUGCUAUCGGAUCACAAGUUAAUAAUCUUUUAAAGAACAUGUUAAAUUAAUUUAUUGGUAUGAAUAGUCAAAGAAGUAUAUUAAAGUUAGUAAUCUUUAAACACCACGAUGCAAUUAAUACUUUCAAGCUCAAGGUCUUUUUUUUUUUUUUUUUUGGUACUGUACUUCCUUGCUUUAUAGUAUGCACGUUUAUUUCUGUGGAUUGCUUAAGCUUAUAUUGUUAAUAAUUGGGCAUUUAACCAUAAAUUAUAAUGAUUAUGAAGUCAUAUAUAUAUAUAUAUAUAUAAGAAAAUUACCACAAUUAUUCAAUUUUUUUUGCAAAUUCAAAUUUUAUUAAUAAGAAAUAGGCAGUAAGCUUUUACAAACGGAAAAAAAAAAUCCUACAACAACUCUAGGACCUUUGAAAGAAAGAAAAAAAAAAGAAAAGAAAAGCUUAAGGACUCUACCUCAUAGAAGCUAAACAAUCCUACAAAUAAACUGCAAAAUAAAUCACAAUAACGCAAAAUUUUUGUCUUUCUUCCGUAUGAAAUGAAACUACGAAGUCAAGAAUUGACUCCUUUAACCGCUAUUGCCAGCGGGCUCCGUCAGCAAGAUACAACUUUGCAAUUUGAUUCAAUAGAAAUCCUCAAAUAGCUAUUUUGACAGGCAAAUUAAGCAUUAAUUUUGGUAUCCCUUCAUAAAAUACAAGAGUACUUUUGAUUAUAUCUAUAGAUCAACUUUCUAGGCUAUUUUGAUGUAUUAUAAGAAAAUCUGCCUCAACAAUUUUGAUAGCAUUUUUCCAAAAGCAGAAGAUGGAAAAUUGCCCAUUUGUACUGGGGAGUUCGUGAUCUUUUCCUCCUUCUAGUCUACUUACAAUUCUUGGAAAAAGGAAUACUCACAUCUCAAACAACUGCCUGUUCAUCUGCAAUGUCCUGCCGAAUUCUAGAAAGUUAGGUGGCAAUGCUAAUUACAUUUCAAAAUUGACUGCUGCGAUGACUAAUUCGAUGGCUUACUACAUGGUCAACGUUUGGAUCCCUUCCUGUCCUUUUUGGAUGCACAUUUUUUUUCUCUAGGCAAUAUAUAAUCUCCCAACUCAUUUCUUUACAAAUGCACCUUUAAUCACCACCAAAAGGUGUGGACAUGAUCUUUACCCUAGAAAACUAAUCACCGACAGGCAAAUUGACGUCAGAAAUACUAAGAGGAAUUCUAGUUUCCUUCGGGUUAAUGCCAUUUUGUACCCUUCAACUGUAACUCGAUUUCUAAACUAUAAUUUGUGACAUUAUAGUCCUUAAACUAUGAAACCCCUCUUACUUAAGUACAAUGGUUAAUACAAUACCCGUGACUAGACAAGCAACCAUAACAAAAAAAAAUCCAAAAUUAGAGAAAAGAAAGAAGUUUCGCGACCAAAGUAUGUAUCAAGGCAUAGUAUAGAAAUAAAAGUGUCCAAAUUAAGAGUUUAGGGAUAAAAGAGAUCAAGAUAUAGUUUAGGGAUUGAUUUGUCUCAAUUAGAGUUUUGAUGUCAACUAAGAAGAGAGAUAUAGUUGAAGGGUAGAAUAUAGAUAUAACAGUUCAAUGAUUGAUAUCAACGAGACAAUGACAACUUUGGAUUAUUACCAACCUCUUCUUGAUGGGAAAAGGAAAUAGAGAAGAAAGUCGGGCCUGGUCUAAGCCUGCUUCGGAGGCAAAACAACAUUAUGAAAUCACCGGCAUUCACACAAAUAUGUCAAAGUCACCGGCAUGCUAAGUUGCAUAAUUUAUACAAACACUGAAUAAUAUAUUGUUCUUAAAAUUUUUGUUUAAGAUUUAACAAUUAGAGCACGGUACACGAAUUAGCAAUAUUAAAUAAUGAAUGUUCACGAUUGAUAAAGUUAUCAAAGUACAGUUUGAGGACAACCCAUUCCAACGUGUACAAGAUGUUUAGCCUUUGAAAAGUUAAUUAGAGAAGGUGACGAGAUUUUACUAGGCUUAAAUCUUCUAGGCCUCGGAAGUAAAAAAUGAAGGCCUUUGAGUGCUAUAAAAAGGGGGCUAGAUGUUGCCUAGAAGCAUAUCAGCCUCAGACCACAUUUUGUAGCAAUGGGGAGCAAAGCAAAAGCAAUGGGGUCUAGGCUGACUCCUCUUCUUACCACCGUUUUAGUGGUAUUUGUUGCUCUUGGCUUGCCUUCAGAAACUGUGGCUGAUUACUACAAGUAUUCAUCUCCUCCUCCUCCUUACCAUUAUUCCUCACCACCACCUCCUGUGCAUUCACCUCCACCACCGCCAAUUUAUAAGUCACCCCCACCACCUUACCACUACUCCUCACCGCCACCUCCAGUGUAUUCAUCUCCACCACCACCUUCGCCAGUUUACAAGUCUCCGCCACCACCUUACCAUUAUUCGUCACCACCGCCUCCGGUGCAUUCACCUCCACCACCACCUGUUUACAAGUCACCUCCACCACCUUCGCCAGUUUACAAGUCUCCGCCACCACCUUACUAUUAUUCGUCACCACCGCCUCCGGUGCAUUCACCUCCACCACCACCGAUUUACGAGUCACCUCCACCACCUCCUCCAGUUUACAAGUCUCCGCCACCACCUUACCAUUAUUCCUCACCACCACCUCCAACGCAUUCACUCCCACCACCAGUUUACAAAUCACCGCCACCACCUCCUCCUAUGUAUAAGUCCCCUCCACCACCUUAUCAUUAUUCCUCACCACCACCUCCAGUGCAUUCACCCCCACUGCCACCAAUUUACAAGUCUCCGCCACCUCCAAUCUACAAGUAUAAGUCACCACCACCUCCUCCCCCAAUUUACAAGUCACCACCACCACCUCCUCCAGUAUAUAAGUCCCUACCCCCACCAGUGUAUAAGUACAAGUCUCCACCACCACCUCCUCCAGUAUACAAAUCACCUCCACCACCUCCUCCAGUUUACAAAUCUCUACCACCACCAAUUUAUAAAUACAAGUCUCCUCCACCACCUCCUCCGGUUUACAAUUCCCCACCACCACCAAUCUACAAGUCUCCACCUCCACCCUCCCAUUACUACUACAAUUCUCCUCCUCCUCCUCCUCAUCACUACUAAGCAAUUGUAUCCAAGUUUUUGAGGUAAUAAUGCUAAACCAAUAUAUUAACUUUCGCAUGAUAAACUUUAUCUCUAUCAAGACAAACUGCCAUGUGCAUCAAGCCAAAUACGUACACUUCGAUCCAUGAAAAUGACAAGUAGAAGGUUUUCUUAAGAACCAAGGAACAGCAUUAGUAUUCCCUCUGUUUCCAAAACUUGUGUAUUAAAUAGAUUAAUGAAUUGUUUAACAUGCUUAUCUACUUGAAAAUGCACAAUACCCAUAACCCACUGAAAUUUUUGCAGGUAAAGGGGAAGAGAAUCUGUGUUUGAGAGCUUCAUGAAGAUGUUGAAGAAUAAGAAUAAAAGCCCAAUGCGAGGAUGUUUUCAAGUUUUUCUAUGUUUCCACUUUAAUUUGUAAAUUGAAUUUUUCGACUUAAUUAAUUCCCUGUUUGUGGGGUACGUAUUGUUUUACGUACCAUGCCGUACAUGUUUGUAAGGAUUUCUAUCCUAUUGGCAAAAGUCGGUUCCAUACAAUUAAUCAAUUCAUUUCACUUCUAUUGGCUCUACUAUUUAUGCACGUUACGACAUUUUUUCUCUCUUUCCCUUAUAUUUUGUCUUUAAUAUUAUUGAGUCAAUAGUAAUACUGGGCCAUUUUUUUUAAAACUUAUACUAGUAUACAUAGGUAGUUUGGUCUAACGCCAAAUUCAUGUUUGUCUUUCUUUUAUUCCCUUUACAUUUCAAAGUAUACUAUAGUUUGUGAUCAUUGUGGUGAUGAUAUUACCAGCUGGUACUUAUAGUUUAAGGCAGAGACAUGAUAUUAACAACUAUCUCAUUGAAACAUAAGGAAAAAUCAUGACAAGUGUGAGUCUUGGUUAAUGCACAAUUUGUUAGUGGAAUUUAUAUUUAUAAAACUCAAAAAAAAAAUUUUGACAAUGCUAUUACUAAUUAAUUAAGGACUUUAUUGCUAUAAUUUAUCGCUUGCUAGUUUAAACUAUAAAUGAUCUCAAUACUUUUCUCCAUGAUGUCGAUUUCUUUAGAUACGAAAGGGAAAAAUUAGUGACAUAUCCCUUACUGAUUACAACAUCAGCAAAAAUUAGUUAUAAACUUUUCCGGUGGUUUUAAAUCCCCGGGCCCUAAGAUUUUUUGCUCAUCGAGUGAAUUAAGGAACAUAGGCAAUUCAUUUUGCAUACCAAGUCCUUGUUUAAGAUGCAAGUACUAAAAUGCAUCCACUUCAUUAAUUUGGGAAAUUGCCAUAGUUUUUUUAAGCAUUUUGAUUUUUUACAUGAUUUAAAAUUUUCUUAUUGGAUACAAUCACUUUGUAUCAAGAACACAUUUUCAAUCACCUUUUUUUAUCUUCUCAAUGAGAAAAUAAAAAUUUAUUCAUGCUUUUCUAACAUAUUCAAUCAUUGAUCUGAAAAUUAAAACAUUAAGAAAAGGACAUUUUCAAACAUUAAGAAGUAGUAUUUUAAAGACCAUGAUGAAAUUAAUACUUUCAAGGUCUCUAUUAGGAAGACUUCCUUUAUUAAUACUCUACUAGGCAGAGUUAUAUGCACGUUUACUGUUUUGGCCUUAAGUUGGGUGCAGAUGCUUAUAUUACAAAUAGAUGGUAUCAAAAAAUUGUUGUAUUCACGUCUGUUCUUUUUUUCUUCCUUAAGUUUUUUUCUUUAUUCUCGUGACUUCGCUAGUGAGGUAUAACUUCACAACUAGAGUCAAUAGAAAUCGUCAAAUGAUUUUUUGACAUCCAAAUUAAGCAAUAAAUUUUGUUUUCAUUUCAUAACAUAUAAUAGUACUACUUCAUGGGAGAUUUUAUAGUUUCUUUAGGGUAUCAUACCUACAAUUGAUAUUUAUCAUUGGAUAGUGAAAGAAGUGUUAAUGUCUCUAAGAUUAAAUAUUGUUAAAUAUUGAAAAUUUGAACUAUUUAUCUCUAUUGAGAGAUACAACUUAAAGAAUCCUACCCAAAAGAGACUAGAAUUUUCUCUGUUUUUCAUCAUCUGUAGACAUAAACUUUCCACGGUUGAUAGCAUUUUUCAUCAUCUAUAAGGAAAUUUUGCCUAUACAAUGUGAUAGCAUUUUUCAAAAAGACAAGAUGGAAAAUUGCCCCCCUUGAACGGAAAAUUGCCCCCUUGUCAAUUCUUUAAAAAAGAAUACCGUCCCGCAGAAUUCUAGAAAGUUAGGCAAAACUAGACAAGUUGACAGGUAUAAUCAGACCCAAGAUCAGGAACAAGCAGUUGCACAUUUCAAAAUUCGCUGCUGCAACAACUAAUUUGAUGACUUACAACACUAAAUGGUCAAACUUUGAAUGGCAAUGAAUCUUUUGUUGUACAUCAUGAUGUAAUUUUCAUGUUACAUAAUAGAUUGAUAUCUAUGUUCUUUAAAUUAUCAUAAUAAUUAAAUUUAACUGAAAAAAAGAACACAUAUCAAUACACAAAAGUGUGCAACGUGAAUGUUAUUUUAGUGUAUUGCAGAAGACCUAUAGUCUCUUCAUAUCUCUUCCUGCACGUAUCAAUUCGUUUCCUCUAGAUAAUAAUCUCCCAACUCAUUUAUUUACAAAUGCACCUUUUAUGUUUUAUUACCUCCAAAAGCCUAAAAAUCAAUUCACCGACUCGCAUUUGGUAUCAGAAAUUCUUAUUACGAAUUCUACUUUACUCAAAGAUUGACUGUUAAUAAUGAGACAACGACCAUUUUGUAUUAUUACACCGUCCUUCUUGAUAGGCAAAAGAAAUAGAGAGGAAAGCGGGUCCGUAUAUGGUCUUUUAUUCAUAGAUAAUACAACAUUACGCCAUCGAGCAUUCACACAAUAUUUCAAAGUCAUUGCAUGCCUAAGGCCUGCUUGAUAAUCUAAUUCCGUACUUAAAUUUAAUAAAUUCAAAUCUUAACACAUUCAAAUCGUUUGAUAACAAAAAAUUGAACAUCUAAAUUAAUUAAGUAACACUGAAUUUUCUAGGCAAAACUUGCUCCCAAAAUUAAGUGAUAAGUUAUUCACUUAUCACUGAAUAUGAUAUGUAUUCAAAUGUAUUAGAUUUAAUACUUAAUAAUUUAAUGAAUUCAAAUUUCAUAUUUCAUAUUUCAGUUUUAUCAAACACACCUUAAGUUGCAAAAUAAUACCAAAACUUGUUAUUACAUAGCUUGAGAUUCAAAAAUUUAGAGCAUAAUUCUCAACCAAACACAAUUGAAUAAUGAAUAUUCACGAGUGUCAAAUCUAUCAAAGUACAAUUUGAGGACAACCCAUUCAAACGCGUACACGAUUUUUAACUUUUCUAAAGUUGUUGAGAGCUGUUGAAAGAGAUUUACCAUGUUUACAUCUUCCAAGUCUUGGGAGUAAAAAAUGAAGCCACUGAGUGCUAUAAAAAGGGGGGUAGAGGCCACUUGAGAUCCUCGGUGACAUGUUUUCUAUGCCAAUCCAAUGCCACCAAUAGUGUUGCGCCAAGUGUCAUGUUAUUAUUUACACUUGUGUUAAACUAAGCCAAGUUGAAUUAUUAGAAAAUUAAAGUGUAAAUAAUAACAUGACACUUGGCGCAAUACUAUUGGUGACAUUGGGUUGGCAUAGAAAAUAUGUCACCGAGGAUCCCAAGUGGAUAGAUGCUGCCUAGAAGCAUAUCAGCCUAAAACAAGAAUUUGUAGUAACAAUGGGGAGCAAAGCAAAAGCAACGGGGUCUAGGCUGACUCCUCUUCUUACCACUGUUUUAGUGGUAUUUGUUGCCCUUGGCUUGCCCUUGGAAACUGCAGCUGAUUAUUACAAGUAUUCAUCUCCUCCUCCUCCUCCUUACCAGUAUUCCUCACCACCACCUCCAGUGUAUUCACCUCCACCAACCCCUGUUUAUAAGUUACCCCCACCAUCUCCUCUAGUUUACAAGUCCUCACCACCACCUUACCACUACUCACCACCUCCUGUGUAUUCACCUCCACCAUCACCAAUUUACAAGUCACUGCCACCACCCCCUCCAGUAUACAACUCCCCGCCUCCACCAGUGUACAAAUACAAGUCCCCACCACCACCUUCUCCAAUUUACAAAUCUCCACCGCCACCAGUUUACAAGUACAAGUCACCCCCACCACCUCCUCCGGUAUACAAGUCUCCUCCGCCACCUGUUUACGAGUACAAGUCUCCUCCACCACCUCCUCCAGUGUACAAGUCCCCACCACCUCCAGUUUACAAGUACAAGUCACCACCACCUCCUCCCCCGGUUUACCAAUCUCCUCCACCACCAGUUUACAAAUACAAGUCACCACCACCUCCUCCCCCAGUUUACCAGUCUCCACCUCCACCCUAUCAUCACUACUACGGUUCUCCUCCUCCUCACCACUACUAAGCAAGUGCAUCUAAGUUUUGAGGUAAUAAUACCGAUCCAAAACUUUAUCAACGCAAACUGCCAUGUAUAUCAUGCUAAGGACGUACACUUGAUCCAUGAAAAUGGCUAGUAGAAGAUUUUUUUUAAGAACCAGAGAAAUACAUUAUUUUUUCGCUCUGUUUUCAAGAAUUUGAGCAGUAUACAGAUUAAAGAGUGUUUUUUUUAAACUUGCUUAUCAACUUAGAAAUGCACAUAGCUGAAAGCCAACUGAAUAUUUGCAGGCAAAGGAGAAGGCAAUCGGUGUUUGAGACCUUCAUGAAGAUGUAGAAGAAUAAGAAUAAAAGCCCAAUGCGAGGAUGAUUUCAAGUUUCUACGUUACCAUUUCUACAUCUAAAUUGACUUUAGCUCCUGAGUUCCAUGUCUAUGGGGUUUGUACUGUUUUACGUACCAUGCAGUACAUGCUUGUAAGGUUUUCUGUCCUGUUGGCAAGCCGCAGGUCCAUAUAAUAAAUGAAUACUAUUUAUAUUACGACACUUUUCUCUCUUUCUCUUAUAUUUUGUCUUUAAUAUUGUUGAUCAUUUUUUUUUUUUAUCAAAAGUAUCAAAUGCUUAGGCAAUUUGGUCUAAUGCUAAUUGUUUUACAUUUAUUUUUCACCUACAUCCCUUUUCAACUCAAAGGAUGCUACAGUUUGUGAUCAUUGUUUAAGACCGAAGCAUGGUACUAAUAAAUAUCUCAUUGAAAGUCAAGGAAACUAACAUUAUGAAAAGUGUAAAUCUUGAUUUGUGAAACUAUUUAUUCGUGGAAUUUAGAGAUACAAAACUCAAAUUGUGACGGUGUUGUUGCUAAAUUAUUUUUUUUUUAUAAUAAAACACAGUUCAUUCAAGGAUUACUGGAAAUCGUCCAGCACAAUUGAGAUACAUUGUUGCCCAGGUGGCAGAUAAAUAUGCACUAAAAUUAUAGAUAUGCAAUUUAACAAAUACAUAAGAUUUGAGAAAUUAAGGACAAAUCUAAAAAGGACCAUAAAUUUGAAAAACAUUUCAUCCUAGAAUAAGUCGCUGCAACUCUCUUUGUGCAUGCUGUAAUCGUCAGAUCUACUAAUCAACAGUUGUAAGGUCCAGUAAAGAUGGUGAGAUCUGCCGAGAUUGAUCCAAAUCUGAAAUAUUCCCUCAGAUCUGCUAUCCAAUUGGUUCAAACUCAAUACUGAAAGUGAAAUCUGAUGAGAAGACUGAAAAAAUUGUAGAUCUAACAUAUAGAUCUAAAAAAACUCCAAGAUUUGAAAAAGUAAAGAAACAAAACUAAAUAAAACUCUCAUUAAGAUAGUUUAGGAGAGACUAAAACUCUCAAUAGGACACCCUAGGAGAGAAGAAAACUCUCACUAGGAUAACCUAUGAGAGACUUUAUUGAAUGAAAGGAAAAGCAAAGGACAAAGGAAGAAGAAGGGAGACCUUGGCUUAAGGCCAAGGUCUCCCUCCUAUGGAGGAGGAAGGGUAGAGGAGGAAGCCUAGAGAGAAGGAAGAGAAUCCCUCCGCUAGAGGGAAGGAAGAGCCUCUGAGAGGGUACCCGUGUUGUUGCUAAAUUAUUAAGGACAUUAUCACCAUUACUUUUCCCUUACUAGUUUCAACUGCAAUGAUCUCAAUCUUUUUGUGACUAAUUCUUUUCUUAAUAAUUUAUAAAUACAAAACUCACAAAGAAUAUGUGACUUAUUCUUUCCUUUCGUCUUCUAAAGAAAAUGCCAACUGUUAGUUUAUCAAGGGAAAAAGGAUCGACAUCAGUUGUUAUUGAAACUAGUAAGGAAUAAAUAAUGGUGAUAAUGUCCUUAAUAAUUUAACAACAGCACCAUCAGAAUUUGAGCUUUGUAUCUAUAAAUUCCACGAAUAAAUAGUUUCAUCAAAUCAAGAUUUACACUUUUCAUAAUGUUAAGUUUCCUUGACUUUCAAUGAGAUAUUUAUUAGUAUCAUGCUUCGGUCGUAAACAACGAUCACAAACGAUAGCAUCCUUUGAGUUGAAAAGGGUAGUGAAAAAGAGAAGUAAAAAAUACAAUUAGCAUUCCCUCAAAUUGUAGAAAGUUAGGUAGCAUUAUAGACAAGUUGAUAGCCGUAAUUAUACUAAAAAUCAGGCAAAAGCCAGCAAUUUUACAUUUCAAAAUUCACCUAUUCAAUAACUAAUUCGAUGGCUUGCUACAUGGUCAAAAUUCACCACAUAUCCCUUUCCUCAAUCAGGGGCUUCUACAAUUACCAGUUCCAAUUGUAUGGUAUAGUGUAAAUAUCAACAAAUUAGAUGUAGACACUAAUAUAAUAAAUAUGGAUGCUAAGGCAACAACAUACAAAAACAUAAUAAAUUUUGGCAUUCCUUAAAAAAUUACGUCCCCAAAUCAAUCUCAUACACCCAAUUUCUAAUUUAUUUAACUCAUUCCGUCUAUUAACUGCACCAUACAAUCCAACCUGCAAUUGCAUGAACCCCAAUCUCGCUUCCUAGUCCACCAUUUUUCUCUAGGUAAUAAUCUCCCUUCUAAUUUCUUCACAAAAUGCACCUUUCAUCACCUCCAAUAGCGUCGACAUGAUCUUUACCCUAGAAGACUAUUCACCGACUCCCAAUUGACGUCAGAAAAUCUAAGAGUAAUUCUACUUUACCCUAAGAUUGAUAUCAACUAGACAAUGACAAUUUAGAAUUAUUACACGCCUCUUCUUAAUAGGAAAAAGAAAUAGAGAAGAAAGUCAGGCCAGGUCUAAUUUCUUUUCGAAGGCAAUACAACAUUACGAAAUCAAGCAUUCAUUCAUACAAAUAUUUCAUAGUCACCGGUUUGCUGAGUAGAAAAGUUUAUACAAAAACUUAAUAUUAUAUUGUUUAAGAGUUAACAAUUUAGAGCUUAAUCUCCUUGUACUUUGGACUAAACUCGAACGUGAAAGGAAAUCCCAAAACCAUAUUGGGCAUGAAUUCACACUUAAAUAGACCCAAAAAAAGAUGGCGACUGGUGAAAGGCAGUGGAGACUGGUGGUGAGAUUUGAGGAAUAGAAGCAGACGGAAAAGCCACAAAUUUUUGCCGAAAGAGGGUCACUUUCAUGGUUAAUUUUGCUACUCUCUACUUGUACUUGACCAAUGACAGGUUGUCAGUCUGUGCAAUAAUAAAAACCUGUUCAAACUAAAAGUAAUUUCUGUAGAUAGUGGUAAGCAGGGUCGAAUCCACAGGGAUUAGGUGUAACUGUUUCUUUUCAAAUUCACAAUAACAAAGGGGGUGUUUUUAUGCAGAAUGUGACAAUCAAAGAAAUUCAAUUAAAAGUAAAAUAAUAAAAAUAAAAUAGCCAACUAGAAAUUAAAUAACAAUUUACUAAAAUCAAAUGAGUGAUAAUUAAGGAUCUAGCCAAGGAAUAACUUCAGCAGUGGUUCACCUAAUUGAUCAUUGGAACAAAGGCAAUUCCAAUUAUUUACUAAUAAAUAGGUUAUAACUGCCAAACAAGCGAUGACAGUCAAUCACUCCUUACUGUGUCGGUGAUUAAGGUACGCCCGUUAAUCACUGCCCUAAUUGAGAAAUAAUCUUAGGUACGCCCGUAAGAUUUAAUUUUCCAAUUGCCUUACAUAUUAGAGGAGUGUCAGGAACAAGGAAAUAGAAUGGGACGUCGUUUAAUGCAAAGGGUUGUGCGUUUAAGGCCUUAGAAGCAAUACUACGUCGUUCUAAUAACAUAGGCGGUGCUGGUGUGAUAGGCCAAGUUAGUUGAGGGUCAAUUACAUAAAUAGCCUUCUGUAACAGAUUUUUGGUUAUGUUUUUGAAUGAAAAGUAUCUCGCUGCUUUCUCUCUCUUGUCUGUUAUUUCCCUCCCUUUUCUUCUUUCUCUCUUCCCUCUUCUUAAUCUUGUUUCUUUCUUCUGAUUCUUCCCCCAAAUUCAAUACAAUUCCAGAAAUUAACCUGCAAGUCUGACAUUUGGUAUCAGAGCGGUCGAUUCUUGGCCGCGAAGGUAUCAGAAAUGGCUGAGAGCACGCGAUUCAGGACACUGGAGGAGCAACUCAAGAAGCAGGAGAAUCGGUUGCAAGAACUGGCGGAAUCCAUGGCUGCACUGCAGAGUACGAGUUCCGAGGAGUUGCGGCAUAAGCUACAGGCGGAAAUGGAGCAGAACAAUGCAAAAUUGGACGCGGUGGUGGGAAGUCUGGACCAGAAGUUCAAUAAAAUGGAACAGAGACUCAGUACAGUGUUGAAGCUGCUGAUGAAGGAGAAAGGUCUCCCUGAUGUCGAAGGAGGAAUUUCUGAUCCAAUCUUGCCGACUCCUCCAUCUCAUCUGAGGUUAGCAUCCUCAGUCGAAGGGAUUGGGCACCAACAAGAGUACAGAGGUAGGCAAUUCACUCCUAAUGUACCUCGAUUAGAACUGCCAAUGUUUAACUCUGGAAACCCUAGGGAAUGGACCAGGAAAUGCCAGAAAUAUUUUUUGAACUAUCAGAUAGCAGAGAGUCAAAAGGUAGAGGUAGCAGAGAUGUUUUUGGAAGGUAGAGCUGACAAUUGGUUUCAAGGAGUGAAAUUGGUGAGGCCAGGGUUGUCUUGGGGGGAAUUUAGUGAACUUUUGUGUGAAAGAUUUUCUGGAAGUAGUUCUCGUGACAUUGUGGAGGAAUUUAACAAGUUACAGCAGAAAGGAACUGUUGAGGAAUAUGAGGAGAAAUUUGAAGAACUAAAAGCUCUAAUGCUGAUGAAAACCCCCAGGUUGGAUGAACUUUACUUUGUUUCCAGUUUUAUUAGUGGCCUCAGGGAAGAAAUUAGACCUAUGGUGAAGAUGUUUAAGCCUCAAACACUGAUGAAGGCCUUUGAAGUUGCGGAGUUGCAGGAGUGUUCCCUGGAAAUCCAAUCGAAACAAAACAGAACUUCAAGGAGGACAGCAAUGGAACCCAAGUUUGGAAUGUAUAAGGGCACUACGAGUGAUUAGGGUCGCCAAAAUUCAUAUAAGUUGCCUGGAGUCACUCCUGUCUCCAGGAGGACUAAUGCAGUACACAAGGAAUUUAGUAAGAUAUCAGCGGAGGAAAUGCAGUAUAAGCGUAAGCACAGCCUGUGCUAUAGGUGUGGAGAGAAGUUUGGAAUAGGUCAUCAGUGUAAGAAAGGAAGUCUGAACUGUGUGAGCACUGAGGAAGAGGAGGACACUGAAUUUGAGGAUGCGGAAGGGGAACAGGAUGAGUUAACAGGAAGGGUCGGGGAACUUGCAGAAGUCUCUUUGAAUGCUUUAUCUGGUGCCAUAAGGAGGAAAUCCAUCCUGUUGAUAGGGAACUUAGGGGGGCUUCCAGUCAAAAUUUUGGUGGACACAGGCAGUUCUAACAGCUUCAUUCACCACAGGAUUGUCAACCUACUGCAUCUACCAUAUCAGGCAGUCAGUCCAUUUACUGUGACUCUAGCAGAUGGAACUGACAUUACCAGUGGAGCCAUCAGUCCCAGCGUGUCUUGGUUAAUUCAGGACUAUCAAUUCCAAUUUGACUUAAAAGUAAUGGAAUUAGGGGGAUGGGAUAUAAUUCUGGGGGUGGACUGGAUGUGCCAGUAUAGUCCCAUUACAUUUGAUUUCCACUCUCUUAGCAUUGCCCUUAGUGAUAGGGGUUCUUUACUACACCUCCAAGGACUUGUGAAGCAACCUACUAUGGAACUGGUGAGGGGCAGGGAUCUCAGCUCGUUUAUACAGGAGAAGCAAAGAAACUGUGCAGCCAUGCAUGCUGAUAGGGCCAGGGAAACAGGAGAGCAGCUUCCAAAAGCUAUAGAAAGGAUCCUGGAACAGCACUCUCAGGUUUUCUCCACCCCAACAGGAUUACCCCCAGAGAGGGAAUUGGACCAUCAGAUCAACCUCAAACCAGGAGCUGAACCCUUCAAGCUCAAACCUUACAGGUACCCCCACUCACAUAAAGCAGAAAUUGAAAAAAAAGUUGCUGAGAUGCUCACUAAUGGAAUUGUUAUACAUAGCACAAGCCCCUAUGCCUCCCCUGUAUUGUUAGUAAAGAAAAAGGAUAACUCCUGGAGAUUAUGCAUAGAUUACAGGAAGCUGAACGAGCUGACUAUAAAGGAUAAGUUCCCUAUUCCCAACAUAGAUGAACUAUUGGAUGAAUUACAUGGAACCAGAUACAUGUCCAAACUGGAUCUCAGAGCUGGUUACCAUCAGUUGAGGGUGAAAGCUGUUGAUACCCCUAAGACUGCCUUCCAGACACACCAUGGCCACUUUGAAUUCUUAGUGAUGCCUUUUGGACUCACAAACGCGCCAGCUACAUUUCAGUCCUUGAUGAACAGAAUAUUUCAGCCAUAUCUCAGAAAGUUUGUCCUAGUCUUCUUUGACUACAUAUUAGUGUACAGCCCCACACUAGAGAUGCAUGCACAGCAUCUACAGAUUGUGCUCAAUAUUUUAGAAGAAAAUCAGCUGUAUUACAAGAGGUCAAAGUGCUCUUUUGCCCAGUCCUCAAUUGAAUACUUGGGGCACGUGAUCUCAGAGGCAGGAGUGAGUAUGGAUGUGGCUAAGGUGGAGUGUAUCAAGUCCUGGUCUGUUCCUAGUACAGUCAAGGAGCUGAGAGGGUUUUUGGGAUUAAUUGGUUACUACAGGAGAUUCAUUAAAGGCUAUGGAGUGAUUAGCAAACCCUUGACUGUAUUGUUGAAAAAGGAAGGUUUUGCAUGGAACCAUGAAGCUCAAAUGGCCUUUGAAGAUUUGAAAAAGGUUAUGACCACAGCCCCAGUGCUGAGCAUGCCUAAUUUCGAACUUCCUUUUGUCAUAGAGACUGAUGCCUGUGGAAUAGGUAUUGGAGCAGUGUUGAUGCAGCAAGGACAUCCUAUUGCUUUCCUUAGCAAGGCAUUAUCAGUUCAGAAUUUGGGGUUAUCAGUCUAUGAAAAAGAGCUUUUUGCCUUAGUGCUAGCUGUAACUAAGUGGAGGCAUUACCUGGUGGGUCAUCACUUCAUUAUCAGGACAGAUCACCAAGCUCUCAAACAUUUGAUAGAGCAAAGGCUUACUCAUCCACUCCAGCACAAGUGGCUAACUAAGCUACUUGGUUUGGACUAUGAAAUACAGUAUAAAAAGGGUGCAGACAAUGGGGUGGCAGACGCCCUCUCCAGGAGAAGGAUUGAGGGAAACACUGUUGACUGUGGAGAGACUGGGCAUCAGACCUGCGCCAUAACCUCAGCUCAGCCUAGUUGGAUGCAGGAAAUGCUAGAAAGCUACAUUGGAGAUGCAGAGGCUCAACAGAAGUUAUCUGAGCUAUUGCUGGAUCCCAAUGCAGAUCCAGAUUAUCAGUUAAAGAAUGGGAUGCUCAAGUUUAAAGGGCGGCUGUACAUAGGAUCUGCUAACAACAUUAGGACCAAGGUGGUCAGAGCAUUGCAUGACUCAGCCCUUGGGGGGCACUCAGGUCCUGGAAUCCGUAAGGAUGUCCUUCAAUAUGUGAGAUCUUGUGAUGUGUGUCAAAGGAACAAACAUGAAAAUGUUCCUUAUCCUGGGUUGCUGCAACCAAUUCCUGUACCUCAGCAGGCUUGGUCACACCUCACCAUGGAUUUUAUUGAGCAACUACCCCCAUCCCAUGGAUUUGAUACCAUUUUGGUGGUGGUGGAUAGGUUAACCAAGUUCAGCCACUUCAUUCGACUCACUCACCCUUUUUCUGCACAGCAGGUAGCACAGCUUUUCCUUGACAACAUAUACAAGCUGCAUGGACUUCCUGAGACCAUUAUAACUGACAGGGACAUAAUCUUUCUUAGUAAGUUUUGGCAAGAGUUAUUUGGUAUGGUAGGGGUAAAGCUGCACUACAGUUCAUCGUAUCACCCUCAAUCAGAUGGUCAAAGUGAAAGGGUCAAUCAGUGUUUGGAAAACUAUCUCAGGUGUAUGUGCAGUGAGCAUCCUUCUCACUGGAGCAGUUGGCUUCCUACAGCUGAGUUAUGGUACAACACUAACUUCCAUACUAGCUUGCAGGUGACACCAUUCGAAGCACUAUACGGGUAUAAACCAAAUCACCUUCCCUUAGGACCUUUUCAUGAUAGCCUGGUACCUGCUGCUGGUAACAUGGUGCAGACUAGGCUCCAAAUUCUAUCCCUCAUCAAAGAGAAUCUAGCCACCGCCCAGAAUCGAAUGAAAAUGUUUACUGAUAAGCACAGGACUGAACGUGUCUUCCAAGUGGGGGAUUGGGUAUUUCUCAAGCUGCAACCUUACAGGCAACAAUCAGUGGCCUUACGGAAGAAUUUGAAGUUGGCUGCCAAAUACUUUGGACCUUUCCAGAUCCUUGCGAGAGUAGGGGAAGUCGCCUACAGACUUAAGUUGCCAGAGGGAGCUCGAGUUCAUUCCGUGUUCCAUGUGUCCUUACUUAAAAGGAAAGUGGGAGUUACACAGCAGGUAAAGCCCAGCUUGCCAGAAGUAGACGCAUCAGACCAAUGUUUGCUGAAGCCAGAGAAGAUUCUCCAGAGGCGUGUUAUCAUACGAGCUGCCAAACCAAUCAUCCAGUACCUGGUGAAGUGGAACAACUUACCAGAAUCCGAAGCAUCAUGGGAGGAUAAAAGCUUCAUUGACAGACAAUUUCCGGAAUUUCAAGCUUGAGGACAAGCUUUGCUUAAGGGGAAGAGAUUGUCAGGAACAAGGAAAUAGAAUGGGACGUCGUUUAAUGCAAAGGGUUGUGCGUUUAAGGCCUUAGAAGCAAUACUACGUCAUUCUAAUAACAUAGGCGGUGCUGGUGUGAUAGGCCAAGUUAGUUGAGGGUCAAUUACAUAAAUAGCCUUCUGUAACAGAUUUUUGGUUAUGUUUUUGAAUGAAAAGUAUCUCGCUGCUUUCUCUCUCUUGUCUGUUAUUUCCCUCCCUUUUCUUCUUUCUCUCUUCCCUCUUCUUAAUCUUGUUUCUUUCUUCUGAUUCUUCCCCCAAAUUCAAUACAAUUCCAGAAAUUAACCUGCAGAUCUGACAAGGAGCCCUAUUCUAACCAAAUAACACACUACCAGGGUUAUUUUAGGUUAGCCCGCGUAUUCCCCUGACAUGAAUCCAAUCAUGCCAGUUAUCACUAUUUUGAAACAAUUAAACAAUUACGGAUUUAACGUCCCAAUUGACAAUAGAUUAUCAAAUUAACUAAUUAUCCGGAUCCAAAACAAUCAAUUAAUUAAAUAAUCAUAAGCACUGUAAUCAGGGAAUAUUUGAAUACCAAUAAAUAAAAAGAAAGGACAAAAUUAAAUCGAUUUCACAAUUUUUAAACGAACCACAACCUCAGUUGUUCCUCGGCUAGAUUGAGAAAAUUAGCUCAUGUUCGAUGCGAAAAAUCCACAAGAAAUUGUUAAGAGAGCCGCGGCCAUUGUCCCUUGAAAUUGGGGAAAUUCAAUUCGGUUGAACUACGAAAGAAAAGUAAGCUACAGAGAGUUGCCGAUUGGGUUUUGCUUGUCCCUAACAUGCGAGGGAGCAAAGCCACGAAAGGACGACAAAGGUCAAAAAGAAAGGCUACAGAGCAUGUUCCAGGUCUUUUUGUGCUCUCCACAUCCGAGCCAACGAAAAGAAAUAAAAAACUACCAGGAGCUAAAGGAAAACCGCAAGAAAAGUCAAAGGCUAAAAAAACUUCCUAGUGCUUGUUCUCUGCUUAUCUCUUUAUCUAAUUCUAAGUCCCCGAUUUUUUGCUCCGUGCGGCGGCUCCCCCGGAGAGAAAGGAUUGCAUCCGCUGCCCUCUUCCACCAAUUACCAAAAUGGGCACACCGCUUCUUUUUCAAAAAUGCUCCUGGAUAAACUCUAUCAUCUGGACUUUUUUUCUGUCAAAUUGACAUUUAUUAUUAUAUUUUCGUUCUACUCCCUGAAAUAAAUGUAAAAUAUUAAAAAUGAGUAGAAUCCGACAAUUAAUUCACAUCAGGUCAGAUAAUAAAGAAAAUUAAUAAUAAAAUAAAUAAAUAAAUUGCAACCUAUCAACCAAAUACAACAAUUUCAUGGAGUUUGAUACACAAGCCCAAAUACACGAGAGUGUGUAACCUGAAUUGUUACUUAUACAUUAGUGUGUAAUAGAACGGCAAGCAUUAUGGUGGUCAUUGAGCAACUUGUAGGAGAAAUAGUCCUAUAAGCUGUUCAAUGACCAAUCACAACUUGCUAAUUGGAUGACUAAUAUAGCUCUAGCUGUAAUGUUUUAAUUAAAUUCCAUCACUAACGUUGGGAUGACUUUUUAAUCAAAAAAAAAAAAGCCUUAGUUCAAGCUUUUCCCCUUAUUGUGCAUUUUUUAAAACAUUUGAUAGGCACUGCAAAUCUGUCAUUUUGGACAUUUUAUUAUUAACUAACAAUGAAAGCCGUGGACAUCAACCCAUAUCCAACAAAAUAUUAAAUUAAUAUUAGAAAAAAUUAUUAAGUAAUUGGAAAAAAAAAGAAGAGGCUAAUUUUCAUUGAAACCCACCGACAAACUAUACGCUGCUUUCAAUCAGUUUUAACACGGGAAAAAGAAAAGGCAUGAAAAGCAAAAUUUGUGGGGAUAAUUUCGGAAACCUCCCAUGAAGUUUUUGACUAUUUUACUGGCCUCCCUUCAGAUUUUAAAAAUUGGACUAAUCUUCCUUAAAGUUAAUUAUCUUGUAACAUUUAGAUCCGAUCAAUAAUUUAAAAAAUAAUAUUAUGAGAGAGAAAAUAAUAUGAUUUUAUUAUUGCCCCCAUCUCACCACAUUAUUUAAUUAAUUUAAUAGCAACCCACACAUUAAAGAAAAUGACAGGUCGUCAACCUGUGCAAUAAUAAAAUUAAACCUAAUUGCCAGUUAAAAUGACCAAAACCCAAUUCCAAGUACUGGAGCAGGGACUCUAGGUGUGCAAUGGGUUACUUGAUUCACCCUGUUCCCGAAGAGUUUGCUUGAUCCGAUAUACCCGAAUGGAAUGGUUAUUCCUUUUCACAAAUGAUUAGGAAUUUGUAGACAGGGCAAGUAGGGUCGUAUCCACAGAGACUGGGUAUAUUUGUUUCUUAAGAAAUCCAAAGUAACACAGGGGGUGAUUUUGUAGGAACGACGAUAAUUAAAUAAAUUCAAAUGAGAAAGUAAAAAUAAAUAAUUAACUAGAAAUUAAACCACAAUUUACUGAACUCAGGAUAACAAUAGUUAAAGGCCUCAAUUAAUUAAAAUAAGGAAACAAUCAAAAAUAAAAUAAAGUAGGUAAUUAAAAGUCAAAUGGCAAUCCACUACAAUCAAGGAAAUAUUAACUAAAGAUCUAGCCAAGAAAUAACUUCAGCAAUGGUUCACCUAAUCGAUCAUUGAUGCAAAGCAAUCCCAAUUAUUUACUAAUAAAUAGGUUAUAACUACCAAACAAGCGAUGGCAGUCAACCCCUCCUUACUGUGUCGGUGAUCAAGGUACGCCCGUUAAUCACUGCUCUAAUUGAGAAAUAAUCCUAGGUACGCCCGUAGAAUUUAAUUCCCCAACUGCCUUACGUAUUAGAGGAGCCCUAUUCUACCCAAAUAACACACUACCAGGGUUAUUUUAGAUUAGCCCGCGUAUCCCCCUGACACGAAUCUAAUCGUGCCAGUUGUCACUAAUUUGAGGUAAUUAAACAAUUACGGAUUCAAUACCCCAAUUGACAAUAGAUUAUCAAACCAAUGAAUUAUCCGGAUCCAAGACAAUCAACUAAUUAAAUAAUCAUAAGCACUGCAACCAAGGAAUAUGCGAAUACCAAUAAAUAAAGGAAAAGAUAAAAUUAAAUCGAUCUCACAAUUUACAGGUGACCCAAAGCAUCAGUCGUUUCUUGACUAGAACGAGGGGGUUAGCUCAUAUUGGAUGAACUAAGCCCGCGGGAAAUUCCAGCAAAAGUCACGGCCGUUGUAUGCAUUUCAAGAGCCGCAAUUCGUCAAACACUUGGAAAGCGAAUGUAAGGCACGGGUAACAAUUGAAACUUUCUAAUUGUUCCUAGCAUUCGUAAAGCAAAUUCACUCCAGAAGUACAGUGAGGAAAAGUCAAAGAAAGUGGGCUUCAAUUCCUUGCUCCUGACAUGCGUGGAGACAAGCCAAUGCAAGACUACAAUAAACUAACAAGGAAAAGUCAAGAAUUGGAGCUAAGCUCCCCUGCCAUGCGCAGGAAUCCCAAAAGUAAAAAGUAAAGCUUCAAAGAAAAGUCAACAAUUCUUCCUAAGCUACAGACGGAAGAUCCAGCACAAAAGCCAGCUCCCUUUUUGAUCCCUUUUUCCCCCUUCUUAUUGCGGCGGCUCACCAGGAGAGGAGAGCCCUCCGUCCGUCCUUUCUUCCGGAAAUUACCAAAAUGGGCAUGACAUCUUCUCUUCCAAAAGUGCCCCUGGGACAAGCUUUCUCAUCUGAAUUCUUUUUUUUUCCAAUUUGGCACCUGUUAUCAUAUUUAUAUUCUACUCCCUGAAAUAAACGUCAAAUACUAAAAGUGAGUAGAAUCCAGCAAAUAAAUCCACAUCAAGUCAGGUAAUAGGAGGAAUUAAUAAUAAAAUAAAUGAAUAAAUUGCACCCUAUCAAUUCCCUCCACACCUAAACCAUGCUUGUCCUCAAGCAUAAGAAAAGUAAACGAACACCAAAAUUCGACGAUAGCCAUUGCCCAAUCUCCUAUAUUGCCAAGACAUUCAAGAGAAAAACACAUAUCGAGCAUUGGUGAUUAGAAUCCCAGAAGCAUCCCCCCGGUUAGCCUCUAACCCCCAGAUUCCUUCAAUUUCCAACUUAACUACUCUAAGAAAGAGGAAUGGCACACAACAUUUAUCAGCUAGUGGUCCGAAUAUUCACACAAGUCUUCAUAUCCAAUCCAUAAACCGGCAAGCUUCCCUAUUAUUUAGUCUCUCUUUUUUUCCGUUUUUUUUCAUUUUCAUUCUUCCCCUCUUUUUUUUUUUUUUUUAAAGCAGUAGCAAUCAACACAAAAGACUUAGUCGUUAGCCGUCAGGGCCUUUUGAUGCGAACUCCAACAUUUUUAGAAGGAGGAGCCCGGUUACUCAGCUCCUACCGCUAUACGACCACGCACUCAUAUAAAAUACCACCUUUUGACGCGAGAAUCGACACUUUUAGGUGCCGAUCCCCGGUUACUCAGUAGUAACUUAAUAGCGGAGCACAGUCAAGCUUAUUCUCAGCCAAACAAUGCACAAACGCAAAAUAACAGCACUAACAAUCAAACAUAGGAGCAGCUCGCCUCAUUAUUGUCAAACAUGGAGAACUGGAGUCAAUAUUGGACCAGUUCACAUUAAAAGGCCAUAUUCAUUCCCUACGCCUAGAAAAGUUAACAAAGAAAUCGAAAGAGUCAAACAGUUAAAUAUUCACCAAGGGGAUAUUCAGGACCCAACCACACUAACCCGAUACAUUUUGUAUUUUAAAAACUUGGCAAAAGUAGAUUUGGAGUCAAUGAGUCCACAUCUCAAUUUUAGCCUUCACAUGAAAGGCAAUCACCAAGAAGAAAGAACGGAAAAAUAAGCAACUAGAAAUGAGACUACGAAAAACUACUAAAACUAAAAACUCACUUUUUUUCUUUUUCUCUUUUUUUUUCUUUUUGAAUUUUUUUUUCAUUUUUAUUUUUUUUUAUUUUUUUUAUUUUUUAAACAUUAACUAUAAACAUUAACUACUAAAAACUAAAAACUAAAACUACUAAAAACUAAAAACACUAAAAACUGCUAAAAUGAAAAGCUGAAAACUGAAAACUACUAAAAACGGAGCACACUAGCAUAACUUUAGAUCCCCCCCACACCUAUAGGACACAUUGUCCUCAAUGUGACAAAUAAGAACCAAAAGUGAAGCACAAGUGAGAGGGGAAUCAGCCAAACUUCCCUGAAAUCGGGUCACAGCGGAGGGCGAGGUGGAAAUGGAGGUGCAAAGCCUGUAUGCAUCAGGAACUGUGCCAAAUUCUGUGCUAUGCCGGCGACAUUGGCGUCGACGUUGGUCAUCCGGGCCUGCAAAUCCUGAACCAGCUCCCUGAGAUGCUGCCAAUCAUCGGUCCCAGGUGGUGGAGGUGGCGCAGAAGUAGAGGUAGACGGCCCAGCAGUGUCCGCGGCCGACCCAGGGAAUGAAGAUGGCCCUGCCCGGGCCGAAUGGUGUGCACCCGGGGCUCGAGGUGGUCCCGGACGGGUAAACUGGUGAAAACCAUCUGGCAGACGCUCGACGACCCCCAUUUUCUCUAAGCAAACUACGUCCAAGUGCUCCAUCUCAAAUGCCAAAUGGAGGUCGUGGUCAUCCAGGUUAAGAACUCCCAACUGGGUCGCCAAGUGAGUGAUGUAGGACCCAAGGAUCAGUGGUUUGUUCUUCUUGGUCAAGACCGUCUUGAACUGUGCGGCCAACCAACAUCCCAAGUUCACCUUGAUAUUGUUCUUCAUACUCCAGAGAAAGAAGAAUUCGGGCCGAGAGAGUAUACCGGAGCUGUCCUUGCGCCCCGAGUAGCUAUAAGCUAAGAAUCGCUGAACAUAGCGGGCGCUAGGGUCCUUAAGAAAGGAGCUCCUGGACCGGGAAGGAUCGUAGCGUUGCCUAUCGACGGACAUGUCCUCCCAUACAUCAUGGUAGUGGGAGAGGAAAGGCUCUACGUAGUCACAGGCACUCUCCGCAUACUCCCUAGUCUCAGCAUACUCUCUAGUGAUAAACCCAAAUGCCAGAUUGAAUUGAGUAAUGGAGAAAUUGAAUUCUCGACCCAUGAGCCGGAAAUGAAUGACAUUCGGUGUUUCACCCGUGUAUCUCGUAGGUAAUUCGAACUCAAAGGUGGAGUAAAACUCCCGGAUCAGCUCAACAAAAGCGGGACAAGAAAUAUGGAAAUAUGGGCGCCACCCAAUGGCUGUGAACAUUUGCUCAACCUCCUCCCGUAUACCCAGGGCAGUUAGAGAGAGUCUAUGACAAGACUUACAGGAUAUUAUACGCCUCUCGCAGACCUUAGCGUACCUCUGCCGAUCGGCGGGUCUGGUAAAUGUUAAGUGCCCCCCAAAAUGAACAGGUGCAUCUACCUGAGCACCCCUAUCCCUACCCAAACGGGUUCGAACACUAGAAGAGGAGGGUAGGUUGGUAGGUGAGUUGACAGGAAUAGAGGCUUGUGGAGGGGGUUGAGACUGAGAGGUCCUAGACCUAGAGGAGGAUUUCGGUCUCACCAUUCCCCCCAAAGUAAGUUCAAGGCAACAGAAAAUCCGACAAGUAUAGAAACCAGCAAUUGACAAAGCAAAAAUCUCCCAGUAGUAACCCAGCCAAUAGCAAACAAAAGAGUUCCAGCAAGUAAUCAACAAGCAAUUCAGAAAUAUCUCAACUAAAAUCUCAAGAGAAACCCCAGCGAGUUAUCCAGCAAUUCAAGCAAUAUCCCCAAGCAAUGUGGUGGUCAAAAUGUCAUCUCCAAAUUGAACAAAUAAUCAGAGCAUUGCAACACAUUGAAAAUCUCAAUAAACGGCUCCAGUUGGCCAAGAAAAAUUGCUAACUCAUACUCAGCAAUAGUAGUGCAGCAAAGGGACAGUAACCACGCAAUAAAAACACUUAGCUUGCACUCAAAUGGUCACCCCAAAUAACAACCCAGUAUGAAACCCGCAGGCAGAGUAUUCCUCAAACCGUUAGCCUAAACCCAGUCAACAACCACGGCCAGAAAUAACCCCAUAAAUAGUGCAAUGAGUAAUCCCCAGCAACAUAAUCAGGUGUAAUCAACUGGAGCAAGCAAUUUACAUGGCAUAGAAACCUCCCAAUCAAACAAGUGCAUUAUUCUAGCGCACCCCAAAAUUCCAAGAAAUGGCUCCAGUUGGCCAAUUAAUUUCACAAUGUCACCCAACUCAGGAGAAAUAGCAAUUCCACACAAAAAUAGUCAAACCAGUACCACUGGCGAAAAAUCUUUCAAAUAUGCACAAUUUGCUACCAAAUAUCACCGGCUAACACUGAAAAAUUGAGGGCAAGUGUCAAAUACCUCCACAGGGACUACCCCAGGCGGCAGACAGAGAAGCGGCGUUGAAGCUGGUGGUCGAGCGGGGCGGCGCUCGCGUCGGCGUGCGCAGCGGCGACGGCGCGCGAGGAUGGAGUUUCGGGAGGUUGCGUGCGGGCUUGGCUGAAGACGCGGCGCGCGCUAGGGCUUCGCUGCGGCAGGCGUGCAGCAGGGGAGAAGAAAGAAAAGAGAAAGAAAGAAAGAAAAAGAAAGGAAAGAAAGAACAGAAAAGAAGGAAAAGAAAAAGGAAUUUUUCUUUUUUUUCUUUUUCUUUAGGCUACGGUUUAGAGGACAAAUUUUUCUUCUUCUUGUUUUCUACUUUUUUAUUUUUUUAUUUUUUAGUUUUUAAUUUAUUACUAUUAUUAUCAUAUUUAAUUGAGGAAAAAAAAUGUUUUUUUUUAAAUCCCUACCUUUCCCACGAACGUGACGCGGGCACGUCAAGAGGGCAAGAGAGCUCCCAGAAGUUUCAGAAUUUUCUGAUCGUAAGCGUCCUGCACAUCACCACGCGGGCACGUCAUGAGGACAGGAGAGCUCCCAGAAGUUCAGAAUUUUCUGAUCGUGAGCGCCCUGCACGUCACCACGCGGGCACGUCAUGAGGCCAGGAGAGCUCCCAGAAGUUUGAAGUUUCUGAUUCCUGCCCGUCAUCACGCGGGCGCGUCAUGACUGAAGGUCACCUACAAAUCAGCAAAAACGAAAACUAACACCCAAAAUCAGUCAAAUUCAGGGAAAGCAGAUUUAAACUAUGCUACAAAACCAACAAACAAUUAAAAGAAAUAAUUAGGUUGCCUCCCAAUGAGCGCCUUUCUUUAAUGUCUUUGGCUAGACAUGGUAAAGUGUCACUGAUUAGGACACGGUGGUGCGUCAAGCCUUAUUGUCUCCACCUCUCUACCUGAAAAUCCUUCGUAAUAAUAUUUGAGACGGUGUCCAUUCACCACAAAUUUGUUGUCUGUCUUAGCACUCUGGAUCUCAACUGCACCAUAGGGAAAAACAUGAGUAACAAUGAAAGGUCCAAUCCAACGGGAACGUAGCUUACCUGGGAAUAGCUUGAGCCUGGAUUGGUACAGGAGGACCUUCUGACCAACUUCAAAUGUUUUUCUUGAAAUUUGUUGGUCAUGAAAUGCCCGGCUUUUCUCCUUAUAUAUCAAGGCGUUUUCGUAUGCUUCGUUCCGGAUCUCCUCCAAUUCUUGCAAAUCCAACUUCCGUUGAGCACCGGCCUCCUCUAAAUUCAUAUUGCAGUGCUUUAUCGCCCAAAAAGCCUUGUGCUCGAACUCCACUGGAAGGUGACACGGCUUCCCAAAUACCAACCUGUACGGUGACAUCCCAAUAGGAGUCUUGUACGCCGUCCGAUAGGCCCAGAGUGCGUCUUCCAACCUUUGGCUCCAGUCUUUUCUAUCAGGGCGCACCAUUUUCUCUAAAAUGGACUUAAUCUCCCGAUUCGACACCUCCGCUUGACCAUUGGUCUGAGGGUGGUAUGACGUUGAGACCCUGUGGAGUACACCAUACUUGCGAAACAACGCAGCUAUGGUUUUGUUGCAAAAGUACGUUCCCCUAUCACUGACAAUAGCUCUAGGCAUUCCAAACCGCACAAAGAUAUUAGACCUGAUAAAAUCUGCAACUACUCUCGAAUCAUUAGUUCGAGUGGCCUUAGCCUCCACCCAUUUAGACACAUAAUCAACUGCCAGCAAAAUAUAUAAAAAACCAAAUGAAGUAGGAAAAGGCCCCAUGAAAUCUAUACCCCAGACAUCAAAAAUUUCAACAAAAAUCAACGGGACCUGGGGCAUUUGAUCUCUACGGGCUAUAUUACCUACCAUUUGACAGCGAUCACAUGACUUACAAAACACAUAGGCAUCUCUAAACAAUGAAGGCCAAUAAAAUCCACUUUCUAAAACCUUAUGAGCAGUUCUCUUAGGUCCAAAAUGACCUCCACAGGCAAAAGUAUGACAAAAAGCUAAAAUUGAUUGAAAUUCCAUUUCACUUACACAUCUCCUCAUCACUUGAUCGGCACACCUCUUCCAUAGGUACGGGUCAUCCCAGAUAAAAUACUUGGCAUCGCUCUUCAAUUUAUCCCUCUUCGAUUUCGGCCAACCUGCAGGAAAAUUACCAGUUACCAAAUAAUUGACCAAAUCAGCAUACCAAGGCAACUGAGAAUUUAAGAAAAAUAGGUAUUCUUCGGGGAAUGCAUCCUUCAAUGGCUCGCUAUCCUCUUCAACUAGUAUGCGACUCAAAUGGUCCGCUACUAGAUUUUCUGAGCCUUUUUUGUCCCUUAUCUCCAAGUCAAAUUCCUGUAGGAGCAGUAUCCACCGUAUGAGCCUCGGUUUUGCAUCUUUCUUGGUCAUCAGGUACCUCAAUGCUGCAUGAUCAGAAAAUACAAUCACUUUAGCACCUAACAAGUAUGACCUAAAUUUUUCCAAAGCAAAAAUAACUGCCAGAAGCUCCUUCUCAGUGGUGGAAUAAUUCAACUGGGCUCCAUUCAAGGCCCGGGAUGCGUAAUAGAUGACAUGAGCCGCCUUGCCUAUUCUUUGCCCCAGUACAGCCCCAACAGCGUGAUCACUGGCAUCGCACAUGAUCUCAAAUGGCAAAUUCCAAUCGGGGGGUUGGAUGAUUGGGGGUGAAGUCAGCAAUUCCUUCAGCUUGUUAAAGGCUCUCUCACACUUAUCAUCAAAUUCGAAGGCUACAUCUUUUUGUAGGAGUUGGAACAACGGGGCUCCAAUCUUUGAAAAAUCCUUGAUGAACCUUCGAUAAAAACCUGCAUGUCCAAGAAAAGAGCGCACCUCCCGCACACUCGCGGGGUAAGGUAAUGCAGAAAUAAUGUCUAUUUUAGCCUUGUCAACUUCUAUGCCCUUAGACGAUACAAUAUGACCCAGGACUAUUCCGUGCUCAACCAUAAAAUGACAUUUUUCCCAAUUAAGCACAAGAUUAGUCUCUAUACACCUGAUCAGGAUUAAUUUCAGGUUAUCUAGACAAGUAUCAAAACUAUCACCAUACACACUGAAAUCAUCCAUGAAAACUUCUAUUAUUUUCUCAACAUACUCGGAAAAGAUGCUUACCAUACAUCUUUGGAAAGUCGCAGGUGCAUUGCACAACCCAAAUGGCAUUCGUCUGUAGGCAAAGGUCCCGAACGGGCACGUGAAGGUUGUCUUCUCUUGAUCCUCCGGGGCAAUUGCUAUCUGAAAGUAUCCUGAAAAUCCAUCCAAAAAGCAAUAAUAAGCCCUACCAGCUAAACGUUCAACCAUUUGGUCAAUGAAAGGGAGAGGGAAAUGGUCCUUUUUGGUGACGGCGUUUAGCCUACGGUAAUCUAUACAUUGCCUCCAUCCAGUGGGUUUGCGCACUGGCACGAGCUCACCAGUUUGGUUGGCCUCUACCGUCACUCCUGCAUUCUUUGGGACUACCUGGACCGGACUCACCCAAGGGCUAUCAGAUAUUGCAAAAAUGAUGCCCACAUCUAGCAAUUUUAGAAUCUCUUUCUUUACGACUUCCAUCAUGAGGGGAUUGAGCCUUCUUUGAGCCUGCCUAACAGGUUUGGCAUCGUCUUCCAGCCUAAUCCGGUGCAUACAAAUGGCCGGGCUGAUCCCCUUAAUGUCUGCGAUUGUCCAGCCUAUUGCCUCUUUAUGCUCCCGAAGGACCCGGAUCAAUUUCUCUUCCUGGGUCUUUGACAGUGCCGAUGAGAUAAUCACUGGGAGUGUCUCAUUAUCACCUAGGUAUGCGUAUUUCAGGUGCUCUGGUAGAGGUUUCAACUCCAGUACAGGUGCCUGCACCACAGAUGGCAAUACCCUCUGGUGAGCCUUGGGAGUAAAAAUAGGUAAGACUUCAUACCUUUUCGUGGUGGUCUGCAACGAGUGUAAUGCACCUAUUGUGCAUUUUAAAUCCUCGCUCCACUCCACCUCAGGAGUUGUCUCCAACUCGAGGUGCUUGGUUAAAGCCACCUCCAGCUCAUCCCUGCCAUCAGUUUCAAACACUUCCUGCACUACAGGGUCAAUAGCACUCACAGAAAAAACUGAGCUAAAGUUGGAGUUAGAGGGGUACUUCAUAGUAUCAAAAAUAUUAAAAUGCACAAUUUACCCAUCAAACUCCAUGGACAAGGUACCCUUAUUAACAUCAAUUUUCGUCUGCGCAGUGCUCAUAAAAGGUCUACCCAAUAACAAAGGUGAGGGAUCAGGGGAGUGAUCAUCAUCCAUAUCUAGUACAUAAAAAUCAGCUGGAAACACCAAAUCAUUAACCUUUACCAACACAUCUUCAAUCAACCCAUCAGGAUAUGCAUUAGUUCGGUCAGCUAAUUGAAUAAUUAUUCCAGUUUCUUUUAAUGGACCUAGUUUCAAAGAAGCAUAGAUAGAUUUAGGCAUGACAUUAAUUGAUGCUCCCAGAUCCAGCAUGGCCCUUCUGAUCACAGUAUUACCUAUCUUACAGGGAAUAGUAAACAUACCUGGGUCCCCGCACUUUGGUGGGAGCUUUCUCUGCAGGACCGCAGACACAUUUUCUCCAACUAUGACCCGUUCAUCUCCCCUCAACCGCCUUCGGUUGACACACAAGUCCCUUAGGAACUUGGCAUAUUUUGGUACUUGUUUGAUGGCGUCUAAGAGGGGGAUAUUUAUCUCAACCUUGCGAAAAACCUCCAAGAUCUCCUUCUCCUUAUCCUGCUUCUUCGAUUUUUCCAACCUGCUAGGAAAAGGAGGCGGGUUAGUUUUAACUGUAAUUAUUGGGUCAGGAAGUACCUCUGGAUCUGCACCAUUGCUGUCCUCCCUUUCGAGCUCAUUUUCGAUCUUCUCUUCAUCCUUGUCCUUGGGAAUCACAGGUUCAGGCCCCUGAAUUUCUUUCCCACUCCUUAGGAUCAUUGCGCUCACGUUCUUCGGAUUCAACUCCGGUUGAGAUGGCAGCUUCCCUUGGUUCUGGGACUCCCAACGGUUCAUUCUGGUGGCCAAUUGACCUAUCUGAUUCCUUAUGUCCUGCAUUUCGGAGUCCGUCUUUUGCUGAUUUUGCAUAAUAGCUGCCUCCGUCCUUUGCUGAUUCUGCGCCAUGGUUGUCAUCAUUUGUUUCAGCAUCUCAUCCGUAGAUGAACCAGAUUGAGGGAGCGGAGGUGGUCGGGGUUGGUAUUGCUGCUGGUACCCUGGUGGCUUAUUUGGCACAAAGUUAGACUGCCUGUUUGGCGUGAAGUUGGAUUGCCUAUUUCCACCAUAACUGAGGUUGGGAUGAUCUCUCCACCCGGGGUUGUAGGUGCUUGAGUAAGGGUCGUACUGCUUCCUUGGCGCGGGCGCGUGGUCAGCCAUGUUCACCUGUUCCGCAGUUUCUUCCUGAAUCAUUGGGCACAUGUCUGCAGAGUGACCUAUACCAGUGCAAAUCCCGCAUACCCUGGCUUGUGAUGCAUUUCUCACAGCCUAUUGCCUAACGAACGCAGUCAACUCAUUUAGCUGCUGCUGCACAGAGGGUGUCUCUAUCUCAUUCACCCUACGUAUUGGGACAUCCUAUCUUGUACUGAAUUGCUGUGAAUUCUCUGCCAUCCCCUCUAUUAACUCCCGUGCUUCCUGAGGGGUUUUGUUCACCAGUGCCCCUCCACUUGCAGCAUCAAUGAUGCUCCUGUCUCUAAAAAUGAGCCCCUCAUAGAAAUAUUGUAUGAUCAACUGCUCACUUAUUUGGUGAUGGGGGCACCUGCGCAACAAGCUCUUAUACCGUUCCCAAUACUCGUAAAGUGACUCCUCGGGAUGCUGCUUGAUCCCACAAAUUUCUUUCCUUAGACUCGCAGCCCUGGACGCAGGAAAAUAUUUAUCCAGAAAUUUUUUCUUCAAUUGGUCCCACGUGGUGAUGCUACCUGGUGACAGGUAGUACAGCCAGUCCUUCGCAGAAUCUUUCAAGGAGAAGGGGAAUGCCCUCAUUUUUAUCUGCUCUUCUGUGAUUCCCGGGGGUUUCAUACUGUUGCAAACGACAUCAAACUCCUGCAGAUGCUUAUACGGCUCUUCACCUGGUAAACCAUGAAAAGAGAGUAAAAGCUGAAUCAGACCAGAUUUUAGUUCAAAUGGAAUGUUGUCAUUUAAAGCUGGGAAAGUAAUGCAUAACGGCUGCUGAGUUAAAUCAGGAGCAGCCAACUCCCUUAAUGUUUAUGCAUUAGCCAUGGUGCCUUCCUGCUGGUCAGAGUCACUCGAAGUGUUACCAAACGAAUCUGUUGGUUCAACUUCUGACUCGGGUCUUUGAGAUGUAGCACUAGAGUGCUCUUCUCUGAGCUGUCUGGUUUCCUUUCUCGUUCUACGCGCGGUCUUCUCUACCUCAGGAUCAAAAACCAAAUCACCUGUGCGACAAGAUCGAGGCAUACACUAGAAGAAAACCAGAAAAUUAGGACAAAAUUGAAUUUAAGAAGAAACAAAUAAUAACGCCAGUCCCCGGCAACGGCGCCAAAAAUUGACAGGUCGUCAACCUGUGCAAUAAUAAAAUUAAACCUAAUUGCCAGUUAAAAUGACCAAAACCCAAUUCCAAGUACUGGAGCAGGGACUCUAGGUGUGCAAUGGGUUACUUGAUUCACCCUGUUCCCGAAGAGUUUGCUUGAUCCGAUAUACCCGAAUGGAAUGGUUAUUCCUUUUCACAAAUGAUUAGGAAUUUGUAGACAGGGCAAGUAGGGUCGUAUCCACAGAGACUGGGUAUAUUUGUUUCUUAAGAAAUCCAAAGUAACACAGGGGGUGAUUUUGUAGGAACGACGAUAAUUAAAUAAAUUCAAAUGAGAAAGUAAAAAUAAAUAAUUAACUAGAAAUUAAACCACAAUUUACUGAACUCAGGAUAACAAUAGUUAAAGGCCUCAAUUAAUUAAAAUAAGGAAACAAUCAAAAAUAAAAUAAAGUAGGUAAUUAAAAGUCAAAUGGCAAUCCACUACAAUCAAGGAAAUAUUAACUAAAGAUCUAGCCAAGAAAUAACUUCAGCAAUGGUUCACCUAAUCGAUCAUUGAUGCAAAGCAAUCCCAAUUAUUUACUAAUAAAUAGGUUAUAACUACCAAACAAGCGAUGGCAGUCAACCCCUCCUUACUGUGUCGGUGAUCAAGGUACGCCCGUUAAUCACUGCUCUAAUUGAGAAAUAAUCCUAGGUACGCCCGUAGAAUUUAAUUCCCCAACUGCCUUACGUAUUAGAGGAGCCCUAUUCUACCCAAAUAACACACUACCAGGGUUAUUUUAGAUUAGCCCGCGUAUCCCCCUGACACGAAUCUAAUCGUGCCAGUUGUCACUAAUUUGAGGUAAUUAAACAAUUACGGAUUCAAUACCCCAAUUGACAAUAGAUUAUCAAACCAAUGAAUUAUCCGGAUCCAAGACAAUCAACUAAUUAAAUAAUCAUAAGCACUGCAACCAAGGAAUAUGCGAAUACCAAUAAAUAAAGGAAAAGAUAAAAUUAAAUCGAUCUCACAAUUUACAGGUGAUCCAAAGCAUCAGUCGUUUCUUGACUAGAACGAGGGGGUUAGCUCAUAUUGGAUGAACUAAGCCCGCGGGAAAUUCCAGCAAAAGUCACGGCCGUUGUAUGCAUUUCAAGAGCCGCAAUUCGUCAAACACUUGGAAAGCGAAUGUAAGGCACGGGUAACAAUUGAAGCUUUCUAAUUGUUCCUAGCAUUCGUAAAGCAAAUUCACUCCAGAAGUACAGUGAGGAAAAGUCAAAGAAAGUGGGCUUCAAUUCCUUGCUCCUGACAUGCGUGGAGACAAGCCAAUGCAAGACUACAAUAAACUAACAAGGAAAAGUCAAGAAUUGGAGCUAAGCUCCCCUGCCAUGCGCAGGAAUCCGAAAAGUAAAAAGUAAAGCUUCAAAGAAAAGUCAACAAUUCUUCCUAAGCUACAGACGGAAGAUCCAGCACAAAAGCCAGCUCCCUUUUUUAUCCCUUUUUCCCCCUUCUUAUUGCGGCGGCUCACCAGGAGAGGAGAGCCCUCCGUCCGUCCUUUCUUCCGAAAAUUACCAAAAUGGGCAUGACAUCUUCUCUUCCAAAAGUGCCCCUGGGACAAGCUUUCUCAUCUGAAUUCUUUUUUUUUCCAAUUUGGCACCUGUUAUCAUAUUUAUAUUCUACUCCCUGAAAUAAACGUCAAAUACUAAAAGUGAGUAGAAUCCAGCAAAUAAAUCCACAUCAAGUCAGGUAAUAGGAGGAAUUAAUAAUAAAAUAAAUGAAUAAAUUGCACCCUAUCAGAAAAAUGCAAAAAUUUGUUAUUUAUCAUUAAGGAUCAUAUCGCAUAUAACAUCAAAAAAUAGUAUAUUAUUUAUAUCUUUCACUUAAUAUAAUAUCCAAAUUACUCUUUUCAGUUACAUACCCAUUGUUAGACAAAAUCAACAACAAAUAACCAAAAAAUUUGCAACCAAAAUAUUACCAAAAAAAUAAACUUUAACAUCAUAAAUAUUUUUAUCAACAUAUUAAAGUUAGUUAUUGAAAUUUUUAUGGUGUUAAACUUCACUCUUAGCAAUAUUUUGGUUACAGAUUUUUUUGAUUAUUUAUUGUUGAUCGUGUUUGACAAUGGAUUUGUAACUGAAAAGAAUAAUUUGAAUCUUACAUUAAGUGAAAUAUAUAAAAUAUUAUACUAUUUUUUAUGGCAUAUGUGAUUCUUUUUUUUUUUUUUAUCAGAACGGCAACAUUGUAUUAAUAGUAAACCAAUUACAGUAUAGGUGGGCAACCGCCCUCACAAUCUGCCUGGACUUGUUCCAGCAGCCAAACUGGGAAGUUUUCCUUCCAUUCAGUAUUUUGUUCCAAAGUAAUAGCUACUUUAGCUAGUUUAUGGCUAACAAAGUUGUUCACCCUAUUUGCAAAGGUAAAACAACAUUCAUCAAAUUUUAUUCAUGUACAAUUGUUGCUAUCACCACGUCCUCCUCCUCCUCCUCACUGCACACUACUUGACUACCACCCUUCGCCAACCUUGCUGUUGCAUGUGCAACUAUCAUGGCCUCUCUUAGCGCCUUUGCUUCUUCGACCUUUGGACUGGCACAGCUAAAAUUUGGAACAGCCCAGGCCCACCCGCAAUCUUCCCAACCAAUCCCUGGCCACCCUUUUCCCACCCAGCUUCUAUGGCAUGUGUGAUUCAAUCCUUCUUGAUAGGAUUGGUAAUAGAGGCAGAGGGGGGAGCCGGCUGCAUCCGGUCUACUUUUCAUAGAUAGUACAAUAUUGCGAAAUCGAUCGCAUUCACACAAGAAUAUUUCGAAGUCAUUGCAUCGCUAAGUUGCAAAAAAGUACAAACACUUGUUAUUAUAUAGCUUAAGAUUCAAAACUUUAGAGCACAACCCUCCACCUAACACAAUUGAAUAAUGAAUAUUCACGAUUGUCAAAUCUGUCAAAGCACAGUUUGAGGACAACCCAUUCCAACCUGCAAAAGAUUUUUGACUUUUUUAAAGUUGUUGAGAGCUGUAAAAAGACUUACCAUGCUUACAUCUUCCGAGCCUUGGGAGUUAAAAAUGAAGGCACUGAGUGCUAUAAAAAGGGGGCUAGAGGCUGCCUAGAAGCAUAUCAGCCUAAAACAAGAAUUUGUAGUUAUGAUGGGAAGCAAAGCAAAAGCAAUGGGGUCUGGGCUGACUCCUCUUCUUACCACUGUUUUAGUGGUAUUUGUUGCUCUUGGCUUGCCCUCAGAAACUGCAGCUGAUGAUCACUACAAGUAUUCAUCUCCUCCUCCUCCUUACCACUAUCCCUCACCACCACCUCCAGUGCAUUUACCUCCACCAGUGUACAAAUACAAGUCCCCACCACCACCUCAUCAUGUUUACAAGUACAAAUCUCCACCACCCCCACCACCACACCCAGUUUACAAGUAUAAGUCGCCACCACCACCUCCUCAUCCGGUAUACAAGUACAAGUCUCCUCCGCCACCUCCUCAUCCGGUACCACACCCAGUUUACAAGUAUAAGUCACCACCACCACCUCCUCAUCCGGUACCACACCCAGUUUACAAGUAUAAGUCUCCUCCGCCACCAGUUUACAAAUAUAAGUCUCCUCCACCACCACCUCCAGUGUACAAAUACAAGUCUCCACCACCACCAGUUUACCACUACAAGUCUCCACCACCUCCUCCCCCAGUUUACAAAUACAAGUCUCCACCACCACCACCACCAGUUUACCACUACAAGUCACCACCACCUCCUCCCCCAGUUUACAAAUACAAGUCUCCACCACCUCCUCACCACUACUAAGCAAUUGCUUCUGAGGUAAUAACACUUGUUCAAUAUACCCACUUCUGCAUGAUAAAGCAUAUCUCUAUCAACACAAACUGUCAUGUCUAUCAUGCUAAGUGCCUUCACUUCAUCCACCAAAAUGACUGCUAGAAAAUUUUUUUUAUGUUACCAAAGAAAGGCAUCAUUUUUUCCCUCUGUUAUCAAGAACUUGUACAGUAUAUAGAUUAAAGAGUAUUUUUUUAACUAGCUUAUCAACUGAGAAAUGCAUAUAGCUGAUAGCCAGCUGAAUAUUUGCAGGCAAAGGAGAAGGAAACCAGUGUUUGAGACCUUCUUGAAGAUGUAGAAGCAUAAGAAUUAAAGCCCAAUGUGAAGAUGAUGAUUUCAAGUUUUUCUACGUUACCAUUUCUUUAUCUAAAUUGGUUGUAGCGCCUUAGUUCCUUUGUUUAUGGGAUUUGUAUCGUUUUACGUACCAUGCAGUACAUGUCAUGUUUGUAAGGUUUUCUAUCCUGCCGGCAAACCGCAGGUUCCAUGUAAUAAAUCAAUACUAUUUAUAUUACGACACUUUUCUCUGUUUCUCUUAUAUUUUGUCGUCUUUAAUAUUCUUAAUCAUAUUUUUAACAAAAAUAUUCAAACACUUAGGCAAUCUGGUCUAAUGCUAAUUGUAUGUUUUACUUUUCUUUUUCACCUGCUCCCCUUUUCAACUCAAAAGGAUGCAAUAGUUUGUGAUCACUGUUGAAGACGGAAGCAUGAUACUAAUGAAUAUAUCAUUGAAACUCAAGGAAACUAACAUUAUGAAAAGUGUAAAUCUUGAUUUGAUGCAACUAUUUAUUCGUGGAAUCUAUAGUUACAAAACUCAAACUCUGACUGCGCCAUUGAUAAAUUAUUAAUGACGCUAUCAUCAUUAUUUAUCCCCAACUAGUUUCGACUACAACUGAACCCAAUAUUUUCCCCAUGAUAAAAGUUUUUUACUAUUUUACUGGCCUCUCUUCAAAUUUUAAAAAUUACACUAAUCUUCAUUGAGAUUAAUUAUCUUGUAGCAUUUAAGUCCAAUUAAUAAUUAAAAAAUAAUAUUAUGAGAGAGAAAAUAAUAUAAUUUUAUCAUUGCCCCCCAUCUUGCUAUAUUAUUUAAUUAAUUUAAUAGCAACCCACACAUUAAAGAAAAAUACUAAAAUUUGCUGCUUUUCAUUAAAGAUCAAAUUGCAUAUGCCAUAAAACAUAGUAUAUCAUUCUAUAUGUUUCACUUAAUGUAAGAUCCCAAUUGUUCUUUUCAAUUACAAACCCAUUGUCAAACAUGAUCAAUAACAAAUAACCAAAAAAUUUGCAACCAAAAUAUUACAAAAAAAAACUUUAACAUCAUAAAUAUUCUUACCACCUCUAGUGCAUUCACCCUCAUAAAAUAAUUCAAGACCCUACUGUCAUAAAAUGACUGAUCAACUCCUGUAAACCUAAUUUGACAACAUUUAAAUGGAGAACUUUAGCUAAAAGAAUUAUGGUCAAGCUAAAGAAAAAACCAGUUAUUUUCCAACAUAUGCAAUCAUUGAUCAGGGAAAAAAAAAAGAAGCAAAAAGACAUCUUCAAUCAUUUAAUAGCUUACAGGGCAAAUUAACCCCUAAGCGAAAACUGGUUGCUCUAGAAUCAAAAUUUUACUUUAGUUACCCAGGCAACUUUUUUUGUUGCCUUUUCUUUUUCUUUUUUGGGUAUAUAUAUAGCUCCAGUUUUGCCCCCUCUGUCAAGCUUAUAUAAUUAUUAAGAUAAUAAAAGUGCCUUUAAUAGUAUUAAUAUAUCCAUUGACUUGAGCUGUCAUCGAUCGGUUUGGGCUACUUCGAUUCCAUGAGAACAAAUGGUAAUAAAAGUACUCAGAAAAUGGGGAGUCAUGAAACCCUUUUGUUCUAUUCAUUGCUAAGAUGCUUUUCUCUAUAAAGACACUUCCUAACGAAAAUACUUUGUAGAUUUCUUUACUCCAAGUGGUGCAUGGAAAAUUAAUAUUUUCAAUUAUCAAAUAAAAUUCCCUUUUUUCGGUGUAGAUUUCAUCCAUUCAGCUGUUAACACUCCGAAUUGACUAAUCUUUUCGUUUCCAUUUUCCAACUUGCGAAUACGGCAUCUUACAUAUUGUCUGCUGAAUAUGAAUACAUAUCCCUUUUCUGAGCAGGUGCAGAGUCAUUAUCAUUUUUAUUCCCACCUAACAAAUUAGUUAAUAAUCUUUUAAAGAACAUGUUAAAUUAAUUUAUUGGUAUGAAUAGUAGUCAAAGAAGUAUGUUAAAGUUAGUAAUCUUUAAAAUAAUAUGUUAAAAUUAUUCGUACAAAUUAGCCAGAGAAGUAGCAUAAACACCGCGAUGCAAUUAAUACUUUCAAUCUCAAGGUCUCUAUUAUGGAAAUUUGCAUCGGUCAACAUACACAAAGCAUUAUUGUAUGCACGUCUCUCUAUUAUGGAAAUUUGCAUAGGUCAAUAUACACUUGGCAUAGUUGCAUGCACGUCCAAUUUUUUUUUAUUUUUAUUUUUGGUAUUUUACUUCCUGCCUUAAGUUGCCUGCAGAUGUUUGUAUUACAAAUAUAUGGUAUACUAAAUAUAUAGUAUGCACAUUAAUUUCUUUGGGUUGCUUAAGGGUAUAUUGUUAAUAAUAGGGGGUUUAACCAUAAAUUAUAACAAUGAUGAAGUAAUAUAUAUUAGAAAAUUAACACAAUUAUGAUUUUUUUUUUUGUAAAAUUCAAAUUUUAUUAAUAAGAAAUGAAAUAGGCAGUAAGCAUUUACAAACCGAAAACAAAAUCCUACAACAACUCUAGGACUCUACACCUUAUUAAAAAAAAACAUUUUGAUAGCGUUUUUCCAAAAGCAGAAGAUGGAAAAUUGCCCAUUUGUACUGGGGAGUUCGUGAUCUUUUCCUCAUUCUAGUCUACUUACAAUUCUUGGAAAAAGGAAUACUCACAUCUCAAACAACAGCCUGUUCAUCUGCAGUGUCCUGCCGAAUUCUAGAAAGUUUGGUGGCAAUGUUAAUUACAUUUCAAAAUUGACUGCUGCGAUAACUAAUUCGAUGGCUUACUACAUGGUCAACGUUUGGAUCUCUUCCUGUCCUUUUUGGAUGCACAUUUUUUUUCUCUAGGUAAUAUAUAAUCUCCCAACUCAUUUCUUUACAAAUGCACCUUUAAUCACCACCAAAAGGUGUGGACAUGAUCUUUACCCUAGAAAACUAUUCACCGACAGGCAAAUUGACGUCAGAAAUACUAAGAGGAAUUCUAGUUUCCUUCGGGUUAAUGCCAUUUUGUACCCUUCAACUGUAACUCAAUUUCUAAGCUGUAAUUUGUGACAUUAUAGUCCUUAAACUAUGAAACCCUUUCUUAUUUAAUUACAAUGGUUAAUACAAUGCCCGUGACUAGACAAGUAUGAAGCAACCAUAACAAAAAAAAAAUCCAAAAUUAGAGAAAAGAAAGAAGUUGCGACCAAAGUAUGUAUCAAGGCAUAGUAUAGAAAUAAAAGUGUCAAAAUUAAGAGUUUAGGGAUAAAAAAGAAUCAAAAUAUAGUUUAGGAAUUGAUUUGUCUCAAUUAGAGUUUAGAUGUCAACUAAGAAGAGAGAUAUAGUUGAAGGGUAGAAUAUAGAUAUAACAGUUCAAUGAUUGAUAUCAACGAGACAAUGACAACUUUGGAUUAUUACCAACCUCUUCUUGAUGGAAAAGGAAAUAGAGAAGAAAGUCGGGCCUGGUCUAAGCCUGUUUCGGAGGCAAAACAACAUUAUGAAAUCACCGGCAUUCACACAAAUAUGUCAAAGUCACCGGCAUGCUAAGUUGCAAAAUUUAUACAAACACUGAAUAUUAUAUUCUUCUCAAAAUUUUUGUUUAAGAUUUAACAAUUAGAGCACGGUACACGAAUUAGCAAUAUUAAAUAAUGAAUGUUCACGAUUGAUAAAGUUAUCAAAGUACAGUUUGAGGACAACCCAUUCCAACGUGUACAAGAUGUUUAGCCUUUGAAAAGUUAAUUAGAGAAGGUGACGAGAUUUUACUAGGCUUACAACUUCUAGGCCUUGGGAGUAAAAAGUGAAGACACUGAGUGCUAUAAAAAGGGGGCUAGAUGUUGCCUAGAAGCAUAUCAGCCUCGGACCACAUUUUGUAGCAAUGGGGAGCAAAGCAAAAGCAAUGGGGUCUAGGCUGACUCCUCUUUUUACCACCGUUUUAGUGGUAUUUGUUGCACUUGGCUUGCCUUCAGAAACUGCAGCUGAUUACGACAAGUAUUCACCUCCUCCUCCUCCUUACCAUUAUUACUCACCACCACCUCUUGUGCAUUCACCUCCACCACCGCCAGUUUAUAAGUCACCCCCACCACCUUAUCACUACUUCUCACCACCACCUCCAGUGUAUCCAUCUCCACCACCAUCUGUUUACAAGUCACCUCCACCACCUUCGCCAGUAUACAAGUCCCCACCACCACCUUAUCAAUAUUCCUCACCACCACCUCCAGUGCAUUCACCUCCACCACCACCGAUUUAUAAGUCACCUCCACCACCUCCUCCAGUUUACAAGUCCCCGCCACCACCUUACCAUUAUUCCGCACCAUCACCUCCAGUGCAUUCACCUCCACCACCACCGAUUUACAAGUCACCUCCACCACCUCCUCCAGUUUACAAGUCUCCAUCACCACCUUACCAUUAUUCCUCACCACCACCUCCAGUGCAUUCACCCCUACCACCACCGGUUUACAAGUCUCUGCCACCACCUUACCAUUAUUCCUCACCACCACCUCCUAUGCAUGCACCUCCACCACCAAUAUACAAGUCACCUCCACCACCUCCUCCAGUUUACAAGUCUCCACCACCACCUUACCAUUAUUCCUCACCACCACCUCCAGUGCAUUCACCCCUACCACCACCAGUUUACAAGUCUCCGCCACCACCUUACCAUUAUUCCUCACCACCACCUCCUGUGCAUGCACUGCCACCACCAAUUUACAAGUCACCUCCACCACCUCCUCCAGUUUACAAGUCCCCACCACCACCUUACCAUUAUUCCUCACCACUACCUCCAGUGCAUUCACCUCCACCACCACCGAUUUACAAGUCACCUUCACCACCUCCUCCAGUUUACAAGUCUUCACCACCACCUUACCAUUAUUCCUCACCACCACCACUCUUCAAUUUGGAUGUAAUUCAAUUUUCCUUGUAAUCGGUGGCCCUCCUUCGGAAUCCAAAUAGUCAUUGAGUGCAGCCUUCUUUCUUUAUUUUUUACUCAUUUUCACCUCAUAAAUUGCUUUCAUCCCCUAAAACUUGUUCGCUGGAAUUUUGAAUUUACCCAUACAACUAAACUCAGAAAAUUCUUACACAAAGGGAUUAGUAGCAUGAAUAGCAAACACAGAAUAAGAGAUAACAGUAUGUUUUAUUGUAUUAAAAAUAUUAAAGUGGAUUAUUUCUCCAUCGAAUUCCAUUGUGAGAGUAUCGUUACUAACAUCAAUCUUAGUUUGAGCAGUACUCAAGAAUGACCUUCCUAAUAUAAUGGGUGAUGGAUUUGGGACACUUUCAUCAUCCAUAUAAAACACAUAAAAAUCAACAGAAAAAAUUAAUCCAUCUACUUGAACUAAAAACAUCCUCAACUACCCCAUUUAGAUAAGCAAAUAUACGAUCAGCCAAUUGAAUUAUUAUCCCUAUUUCUUUUAAAUGUUCUAAAUUUAGGGAAUCAUAAAUUGAUUUAGACAUCACAUUAAUAGAAAUCUUUAAAUCUAUCAUGGCAUUUUUUAUAUUAGAAUGUCCAAUCUUACAUGAGAUAGUAAACAUACCUAGAUUCUCGCAUUUAGGUGGUAGUUUCCUUUGUAAAAUUGCUGAAACGUUCUCAUCUACCACAAUAUGCUUGUCCUCCUCAAUUUCUUCUUGUUGACACACAAGUUUUUCAAGCAUUUAACGUAUUUUGGAACUUAUUUGAUUUGCGUCCAACAAAGGGAUAUUGAUUGCCACCUUGCGAAAAUCUCUAAAAUCUCCUUUUCUUUAUCUUGUUUCUUUGAUUUCUCUAACCUGCUUGGAAAAGGUGGUGAGUUAGUUCCAACUCUAAUUAUAGAAUCAACAAUUACCUUUGGAUUCACAUUUCUCAUUCCUUCCUCCUCAAGCUCUUUGUCGAUUCGAUCUUCAUUUUUAUCCUUUGGAAUCACAACUUCGGAUCCCUGAAUUUUCUUCUCGCUCCUUAAGGUCAUUACACUUACAUUCUUCAGGUUCAGUUCAGGUUGAGACGACAAUUUUUCAUAGAUUUGGGAUUCCAGGCGGUUGAUUGCUAUUACCAUCUGACUCAUCUGACUCUGCAGUGCUUGCACCUGUCCCAAUUGAUUCCUCAUACUUUGCAAGUCAAAAUCCAUCUUUUGUUGAUUAGCAAUUAAUUGCUUCAUUAUCUCUUCUAUAGAUGGACUUGAGUUUGAAAGAGGUGGUGGCGGGCGAGACUGAUACUGUUAUUGAUACCCUUGCUAUCUAUUUGGUGCAAAAUCUGGCUACCUAUUUCCUCCAUAGCUGAGGUUGGGAUGAUCUCUCCAACCAAUAUUGUACGUAUUCGUGUACGAGUCGUAUGGUUUUCUUGGCACGGCGCGUGACCAGCCAUGUUCACUUGCUCCGUACUUUUCUCUUGAAUCAUUGAGCACAUCUCUGUAGAAUGACCCAUAGCAGUGCAGAUCCCACACAUCUUGACUCGUGAUGCAUUUCCUAUAGCUAAUUGCCUAACAAAGGAUGUUAAUUCGGUCAACUGCUGUUGGAUAGAAUAUGUUUCUACCUCAUUUACUUUGCGUGUUGGGGCAUCCUCCCUCGUACCAAACUGUUGCGAAUUUUCCGCCAUUCCUUCAACUAGCUCCCACGCUUCUCGAGAAGUCUUGUUCACCAAUGCCCUUCUACUUGCAGCAUCAAUUAUACUCCUGUCUCUAAAACGCAGCCCCUCGCAAAAAUAUUGGAUGAGCAAUUGCUCACUUAUUUGGUGUUGAGGGAACUUGAUGCAUAACUUCUUGAAUCGCUCCCAAUAAUCAUAAAGCGACUCUCCUGGAUGCUACUUGAUACCGUAUAUCUCCUUCCUUAGACUUGCAGCUCGAGAUGCAAGAAAAUAUUUGUCCAAGAACUUUUUCUUCAGCUGAUCCCACGUGGUGAUGCUACCUGGUGGUAGAUAGCACAGCCAGUCUUUUGCGGAGUCCUUCAAGGAGAAGGGAAAUGCCCUCAUUUUUAUCUAUUUUUCUGUAAUUCUCGGAGGUUUUAUGCUGUUGCAAACGACAUCAAACUCUUGCAAGUGCUUAUACGGUUCCUCACCUGGUAAACCAUAGAAAGAUGGCAAGAGAUGAAUUAGACCAGAUUUUAACUCAAAUGAAGUGUUAUCAUUUAAAAAUAGAAAAGUAACUGAGAUGCAGCACUGGAAUGUUCUUCUCGAAAUUGUCUGGUCUCUUUCUUUGUUCUACGCGUAGUCUUCUCUACCUUAGGAUCAAAAAUUAAUUUACCUGUACGAGAAGAACGAGGCAUACACUAGAAAAACACUAGAAAAUUAGAACAAAAAUGAACAUAAAAAGAAACAAAUAAACCAACGUCAGUCCCCAGCAACGGCGCUAAAAAUUGACAAGUUGUCGAUGCCUGUGCAAUAAUAAAAAUAAACCUAGUUACCAAUUAAAAUAAUCAGAGCCUAAUUCUGAGUACUAGAGCAGGGACUAUAGGUGUGCAAUGGGUUACUUGAUUCACCCUAUUCCUGAAGUUUGCUUAACCCGAUAUACCAGAAUGAGAUUGCUUAUUCAAAAGGAAUUAUUGAUUUGUAAACAGGGCAAGUAGGGUCGUAUCAUCAGGGAUUGAAAAAAUUUGUUUCUUUUCAAAUCCACAGUAACAAGGGGAUGUUUUUGUAUAAAUGAUAACAAUCUAAGGAGUGCAAAUAGAAAUAAAUAGAUAACUAGAAAUUAAAUGACAAUUCACUAAAAUUAGAGUAAUAAUAAUUAAAGGUCUAGCUAAGAAAUAACUUCAGCAAUGGUUCACCUAAUUGAUCAUCGACGCAAAGGCAAUUCCAAUUAUUUACUAAUAAAUAGGUUAUAACUGCAAAACAAGCAAUGACAGUCAACCCCUCCUUACUGUCGGUCGGUGAUUAAGGUACGCCCAAUCACUGCUCUAGUUGAGAAAUAAUUUUAGGGACGCUCGUAAGAUUUAAUUUUCCAAUUGCCUUACGUAUUAGAGGAGCCAUAAUCUAACCAAAUAACGCUACCAGGAUUAUUUUAAAUUAACCCGUGUAUUCCCUUGAUACAAAUUCAAUCAUGUCAGUUGUCACUAUUUCAAGGUAAUGAAACAAUUACGGAUUUAAUAUCCUAAUUGACAAUAGGUUACUAAAUCAAUUCACUAUUUCGAUCCAAGAUAAUCAAUCAAUUUAACAACUAAUAGCACUGCAAUCGGAGAAUAUGUAAAUACCAAUAAAUAAGAGGAAAAGAUAAAAUUAAAUCGAUCUCACAAUUUUUAAACAAAUCAAAGUAUCCGUUGUUUCUUGACUAGAAAAGAAAAUUUAGUUCAUUCCUAAUGUGAAAGACCCACGUGAGAAUUCAAAAAUAAUAUUCACGGAUAUUGUCUUGAUUCAAUAGAUUCAAUUGCGUUGGAAUAAGGAUAAAAAGCCAAACUAUAGAGAGUGAUUCAAUGUUUUGUUUCGUUUGCAUUUUUUCUACACAUAUGGAAGAAGAAAAACAACUAAAGGACGAAAAAAAAAAGUCAAAGAAAGGCACCCAAAGUAGUGCUUGGUCUCUACCAUCCUAUUUCCUAUCUAAUUACUACUUCCCUUCUGCGGCUGCCUAGAGGAAGAAAGAGAAAGCAGACUUCAGGUCUUGUUCCAUCUCCUCCCUUUUCGGCAAUUCCCCAAAAGUAGAAAAGUUCCUCCGUUUACCAAAAUGCCCCUGGAAUGAGGACUGCUACUUGAACUCAUUUUCUUGAUAACUGUCAAAUUAGCACUUGUUAUGGUAUUUGCGUCUACUUCCUGUAAUAAAUGUAAAUUGCCAAAAGUGAGUAAACUGAUAAUUAAUUUACAUCAGGUCAGGUAAUAGGAAAAAUUAAUUAUAAAAUAAAUGAUAAAAUUGCAACCUAUCACUUAGAAUAACCAGAAAUAAAACAAAACAAGAAAUGAAAGAAAUAAGAGGGUAGCAUAGACAUUUUGGAUUUUUCUGUUAAUUUGGAUGAUUUCCACCUACGGUCUAAUUUAAUCCAAAACACAAAUGGAUUAUGUGGAGAUUUUUAAACAAUGAGGGAGUAUCGUGACCGAAUCCCAAACCACAAAGGGGAUUUACUAUAUUUUACUCUUAAAUUUUGGUUUCAUCUCAUAGCAUACAAGAGUACUAUUUCACUGUCUGUCGACCAGGGAGGAGGGUUGGGUUGGGUGGUACGGGGGAGGGAGUCUAAGUAAGAGGUCUCAGGUUCGAAUCCUCCUGUUUAUACUAAAAAAAAAAAUUUACUAUCUGUCGACAAAGAUUUUCUAUGGUUGAUGUACCAUAGGAAAAAUCUGCCUAUACAAUUAUUUGGAAAAAUUAUCCAUCCAAACAUAGUCACGAUAGCAUUUUUUCAAAAACACUAGAUGCAAAAUUGUCCCCUUAAACGUGGAAAUUCAUGAUCUUUCCUCGACUAGUCUACUUGUCAAUUUUUGAAAAAAGAAUACUCACGCCAAAAACACGGCCUCUUCAUCUGCAGAAUUCUAAAAAGUUACGUAAACUCUAUAAACAAGUUGAUAGGUACAAUCGUACCCAAGAUCAAGUACAGAUAGUUGUACAUUCACUGCUGCAAUAACUAAUCUGAUGACUUACAAACACAUCAUGGUCAAUCGUUGAAUGGUAAUGAGUCUUUUGUUAUGCAUUAGUAUUAGUGUGUACACUCUAAUAGAUUGAUACUUAUACUCUUUAAAUUAUCAUAAUAAUACCCUUAAUUAACUUUAACCCUUAAAAAGAAUACGUGUUAAUACACGAGAGUGUGUAACCUGAAUUGUUACUUAUACAUUAGUGUGUAAUAGAACGGCAAGCAUUAUGGUGGUCAUUGAGCAACUUAUAGGAGAAAUAGUCCUAUAAGCUGUUCAAUGACCAAUCACAACUUGCUAAUUGGAUGACUAAUAUAGCUCUAGCUGUAAUGUUUUAAUUAAAUUCCACACUAACGUUGGGAUGACUUUUUAAUCAAAAAAAAAAAAGCCUUAGUUCAAGCUUUUCCCCUUAUUGUGCAUUUUUUAAAACAUUUGAUAGGCACUGCAAAUCUGUCAUUUUGGACAUUUUAUUAUUAACUAACAAUGAAAGCCGUGGACAUCAACCCAUAUCCAACAAAAUAUUAAAUUAAUAUUAGAAAAAUUAUUAAGUAAUUGGAAAAAAAAAAGAAGAGGCUAAUUUUCAUUGAAACCCACCGACAAACUAUCCGUGUCCAUAGCUUUUGAAUAGUGCAUUCAACGUUUAAUUGUAUGGUCCAGUUCAUUGCCGAUUACAUGGAGUAAAGAUUGUGCUCUUUCCUUUUUCACCCCUUUUGGAAUCGAUACUGUGGAGAAUUGGGUUUUUCCCUCCUUUUUUUCUUUUCUUUCCUUCUGUGCUUUGCAAAACAUACGUAAAAAUAUGAAAUCCGAAGCAUUCUUUAAUUGGGAUUAAGUAUUGUUGUUGAAAUUAAAAAGAAGAAAGAAAGAACAACAAAAAUCCCAAUCUGGGUUGAUUGUUGAGCUCUAGAUUGGCUGCAUCGUGCUUCCAUAGAAGUUCUCUUAGUGUGAUACGCUGCUUUCAAUCAGUUUUAAUAUUUAAGUAGAGUGCAAAAUAACUUUACUAUUUAAUGGGUUAUAAUGCACCAUUUGGUACCUCUCACCCACCUAUGAUUUGAUUUACUACUGGCAUGGUAAUGGACAGAGUUGGGGGAGCAGGAGGAGGGAGAUGGCGGUACCAGUCCGUCAACCACAGCACACCCUCCCUCGGACUUUGCGUGGUAGCGAAGUGGAGGCAGAUCGAGCACACAUGCACUAACGCCUUAAGUAUGUACAAUAUAUGUAUGCCAAAAGCAUAGCCAAGCCUACCAGCGCAUUUCAAUAAUAUAACCCGGAAAUUAAGGGCAUUGAAUUAAGUACGAUGAAUCAUAUUGGUGCACAAUUACAGUUUGAAGCUACCGAUUCGAGUAAAUUUAAGCGUAAGCACAAUCAAUCGCCAGUCAAAUGCUGAAAUAUGCAUAUGCAUGGAUGAAUGUAUGGGUUUCUUAGUUCCAGACCAAAGGCCAACAAUAAGGGAAGGAAGGACAGUUCUCAUUUUUAGCACGGACAAGGAGAUGAAGAAAAGUGUAUGUAGCUUGAGACAGAACAAUGGCAUGUGACCGCUCCUGAGACCACAUAACGUGGGGUGGGGAUGGGACGGCCAAGAAUGAAGAUGCCUGUCGGUCUCUCCGUGCUGCUACCAUAUGAAUCCCCCGUUAACCAAUUCAAGAUAAGCCUGAAGUUCUUUUCAUCCCCAAACCCUGUCCCAUCUGUGUAAAUCCAACAUCAUCAUUUACGACCUGCAACUCAGGUUAAGCAUGUUCUAUUGAGAUUCAGACACCACCCUUCAAAAGAUAUACUACUGUGAAACCAGCAGCUUAAUAUCAUUGUAUAAAAAAAAAAAAAAAAGAAAGAAGAAAAGACAUGAAAAGCAAAUUUUGUGGGGAUAAUUUCAAAAUCUCUCCUAAAGUUUUUUACUAUUUUACUGGCCUCCUUUCAAAUUUUAAAAAUUACACCAGUCUUCCUUGAGAUUAUUUAUCUUGUAACAUUGAGGUCCAAUCAAUAAUUAAAAAAUGAUAUUAUGAGAGAGAAAAAAAAUAAACUUUAACAUCAUAAAUAUUCUUAUCAACAUAUUAAAGUUAGUUACUGAAAUUUUUAUGGUGUUAAACUUCACUCUUUGUAAUAUUUUAGUUACAGAUUUUUUGAUUACUUGUUGUUGAUUUUUUUUUUUUUAGUGUAAACAGGAGGACUCGAACCUAAGACCUCUCACUUACACUCCCUCCCCCCGUACCACCCCAACCCAACCCAACCCUCCCCUCGUUGUUGAUCAUGUUUGACAAUGGAUUUGUAAUUGAAAAGAACAAUUUGGAUCUUACAUUGAGUGAAAUAUAUAGAAUGAUAUACUAUUUUUUAUGGCAUAUGUGAUUCAAUCCUUGAUGAUAAAAGCAAAUUCAAGUGUUUUCUUUAAUGUUUGUGCUGAUAUUAGAUUAAUUAAAUAAUUUAGUAGAUGAAGGAAAAUGGUGAAAUCAUAUUAUCUUCUCUUUCCUAAUAUCACUAUUUAAUUAUUGAUUGAACUUAGAUAUUACAAAUAAUAAAUCUCAAGGGAGAUUAGUAUAAUUUUCAAAUUUUGGAGAGAAGCUAAUGAAAUAGUCAAAAACCUUAAGGGAGGUUUACAAAAUUAUCCCAAAUUUGUGGGAAUUAGAAUAAUUGUACUGGACGGCACUGCCGCAACAGAGGGAAAGAGGAGGAGGUGCAGUUAACUUUUUGUUGUUUGAAAUCCUUGGUGAAAUAUUACAGAAAGACAGAUAAAACAGUUAGUACAUAGAUGUAUAUGACAGGGAAAAUGGUACGUCUGUUAAUCACAUUUGAAACACUUUCAUUGGUGAAUGACGAAAACUAUCAGGCUUGCCCAAUAGUUGAUCAUUGACCAAGACAAAUCUUGCCAUGCUAGAGGUACCAUCUUUUCGUACCUCUUUAGUGCACAGGACAUUCCUUUGUUUCAUCUAGCUAAUAAUCUACCAACUCAUUUCUUUGCAAAUGCACCUUUUAUGGUCACGUCUACGAAAGCUUUACAGGAUCUUUACCCAAAAAAUCAAUUCACCGACUCGCAUUUGAUGUCAAAAUUUCUUUACUUUACUCCAAGAUUGACUGUUAAUAAUAAUGCCACUUUGAAUUAUCACACCAUCCUUCUUGAUAGGAUUUGUGCUAGAGGUAGGGAGGGAGUCGCUGCAGCCGGUCUUCUCUUCAUAGACAGUACAAUAUUGCGAAAUCGAUCGCAUUCACGCAAUAUUAUAUUUCCAAGUCGUUGCAUGGGUAAGCUGCCAAAAAGUACGAACACAUGUUAUUAUAUAGCUUAAGAUUCAAAACUUUCGAGCAUAACCCUCCACCUAACACAAUUGAAUAAUGGAUAUUCACGAUUGUCAAAUCUGUCAAAGUACAGUUUGAGGACAACCCAUUCCAACCUGCAAAAGGUUUUUUUACUUUUCUAAAGUUGUUGAGAGCUGUUAAAAGAUUUACCAUGCUUACAUCUUCCGAGCCUUGGGAGUUAAAAAUGAAGGCACUGAGUGCUAUAAAAAGGGAAUAGAGGCUGCCUAGAAGCAUACCAGCCUAAAACAAGGAUUUGUAGUUAUGAUGGGAAGCAAAGCAAAAGCAAUGGGGUCUGGGCUGACUCCUCUUCUUGCCACUGUUUUAGUGGUGUUUGUUGCUCUUGGCUUGCCCUCAGAAACUGCAGCUGAUGAUCACUACAAGUAUUCAUCUCCUCCUCCUCCUUACACUAUCCCUCACCACCACCUCCAGUGCAUAUACCUCCACCUCAUCCUGUUUACAAGUACAAAUCUCCACCACCCCCACCACCACACCCAGUUUACAAGUAUAAGUCACCACCACCACCUCCUCAUCCGGUACCACACCCAGUUCCUCAUCCGGUGCCACACCCAGUUCCUCAUCCGGUGCCACACCCAGUUUACAAGUAUAAGUCACCACCACCACCUCCUCAUCCGGUACCACACCCAGUUCCUCAUCCGGUACCCACACCCAGUUUACAAGUAUAAGUCACACCACCACCUCCUCAUCCGGUACCACACCCAGUUUACAAGUAUAAGUCACCACCACCACCUCCUCAUCCGGUAUACAAGUAUAAGUCUCUCCGCCACCAACACCCAGUUUACAAGUAUAAGUCACCACCACCACCUCCUCAUCCGGUGCCACACCCAGUUUACCACUACAAGUCACCACCACCACCUCCUCAUCCGGUACCACACCAGUUUACCAUACAAGUCACCACCAAUCCUCACCCAGUUUACAAAUACGAGUCUCCACCACCUCCAGUUUAUAAGUACAAGUCACCACCACCUCCUCCACCAGUUUACAAGUAUAAAUCUCCUCCACCACCACCACCAGUUUACCACUACAAGUCUCCACCACCUCCUCCCCCAGUUUACAAAUACAAGUCUCCACCACCUCCUCACCACUACUAAGCAAUUGCUUCUGAGGUAAUAACACUUGUUCAAUAUACCCACUUCUGCAUGAUAAAGCAUAUCUCUAUCAACACAAACUGUCAUGUCUAUCAUGCUAAGUGCCUUCACUUCAUCCACCAAAAUGACUGCUAGAAAAUUUUUUUUAUGUUACCAAAGAAAGGCAUCAUUUUUUCCCUCUGUUAUCAAGAACUUGUACAGUAUAUAGAUUAAAGAGUUUUUAUUUUAACUAGCUUAUCAACUUAGAAAUGCAUAUAGCUGAUAACCAGCUGAAUAUUUGCAGGCAAAGGAGAAGGAAACCAUGUUUGAGACCUUCUUGAAGAUGUAGAAGCAUAAGAAUAAAAGCCCAAUGUGAAGAUGAUGAUUUCAAGUUUUUCUACGUUACCAUUUCUUUAUCUAAAUUGGUUGUAGCGCCCAAGUUCCUUUGUUUAUGGGAUUUGUAUCGUUUUACGUACCAUGCAGUACAUGUCAUGUUUGUAAGGUUUUCUAUCCUGCCGGCAAACCGCAGGUUCCAUGUGAUAAAUGAAUACUAUUUAUGUUACGACACUUUUCUCUGUUUCUCUUAUAUUUUGUCUUUAAUAUUCUUAAUCAUAUUUUUAACAAAAAUAUUCAAACACUUAGGCAAUCUGGUCUAAUGCUAAUUGUAUGUUUUACUUUUCUUUUUCACCUGCUCCCCUUUUCAACUCAAAAGGAUGCAAUAGUUUGUGAUCACUGUUUAAGACCGAAACAUGAUACUAAUGAAUAUCUCAUUGAAACACAAGGAAACAAACAUUAUGAAAAUUGUAAAUCUUGAUUUGAUGCAACUAUUUAUUCGUGGAAUCUAUAGUUACAAAACUCAAAUUGUGACUGCGCUAUUGAUAAAUUAUUAAUGACGCUAUCAUCAUUAUUUUUUUUUUUCAACAAACGAUAUCAUUUAUAGAUAUUAACACUUGAUCUUACAAGAAUUAGUAUAAAAAGGAGAUACUACCCUCGUAUCUGCUAAGUCAGUCAGCCAUAUUGGGAAAUUAUUCUCCCAUUCAAUAUCAUGUACAAGCUUCACAGCAUAUUGUGCUAAUUCAUGGCUGAUUUGAUUUUCAGUUCUACGUAUAAACACAAAGGAACAUCUUUCAAAAGCUAGACUAAGUUCUUGCACAUCUUCUAAGAUAGUUGCAGUCGUGUAGUCAUAUUCCUUGCAUUUAGUAAUCUGCUCAACAACUGAUUUGCAGUCUGUAUGGACUAUAAUUUUUGUCCAACCUGCUUGGGUAGCCAUCAGUAGAGCAUUUCUCUCUUCUUCUUUUUUAGCUACGAUACAUUUGUAUAACCUACUCUAUCAUAAUUUAGGGGAGGGAGAGCCCAAGGAGACUGUGGUAGGGACUAGUAGGUAUACAGACCCAACUAGAUCAAAGGAGUGGUAUGGCACAACUCUUAGAUUUUUUUCGCUGAUUGGUGAGGUUAGCCCAAGGAGGGACUUAAGUCCCUCCCUGGUGGCCACUGAGCCAUUAGCCCAGUAGUUCAGUAGAGCAUUUCUCACAGCCCGAGCUUCCACUUCACUUGCCGACCCUUUUCCCUAUGUGACAAUUCCUUUUGCUUUCAAAAGCUGUCCUUUGCAAUUCCUUACUAUAAUCCCUUGUCCAGUCCUGACUCGUUUAGCUGAUAUCGCUGCAUCAGUAUACAACCUUAUCUCUUCCUUCCUUGUCCGCACCCUCCUGUUAGGUAAGGCAUCGUUCAGCUUCCCUGUACUCUCCAUCUGGUCCGUCUUCCUUACCUGUUCAAACUCAAGCCAUUCAUUAUUUAUCCCUAGCUAGUUUCGACUACAACAGAACCAAUAUUUUUCCCCAUGAUAAACUAACUCUUGUGCUUUUUGUUUAGAAGAUGAAAGGAAAUAAUUGAUCGCAUAAUCUCUAAUGAUUACAAAAGCAGCAAAAAAAUAGUAGGACACUCUUCCCAUAGUUUUAACAAUCCCCAUGACCCUUAAGAUUUUACAUAUCGAAUGAAUUAAGGAACAUAGGAUCUUCGUGCUGCACAGCAAAUUCAUGCUUGUGAUGCAAGUACUAAAAAUGAAUCCACAUAUGCUUCACGCAUUUGGAUAUCAUCAUAGUUUUUUAAGCAUUUUUUUUUAAUUUUGUGAUUACAUUUCUUGUCUGACAGCUGGACUCAAUCGAAAACACAAGUAAACAAUAUCUCGAAGUAUGAUCAGUUGAACUUUCAAGCUUACGAAAUUGUCAAAAGAGAAAACAAAAAAUAAGGACUGUCAAAACUUUCUUAGUGAAUCUGACUUCGUAUUACGUGAUAACGAUAUGGAAUUGAUGUCAAAACUCUCUUCUCUGCAGACAUCUAACUCGUAAAUGAGAAUUUUAUAUGGGGUUUUCAUGGCAAACCGAAUUCUGAAAUGUGAAAGGAUAUCAUAUUAUCAUGCUAACCUUCUUCAAUCUUUUUUUUUUUUAUCUUGUUUCUAACCAAAAUUAGACGGAUCAAAAUUUGCAGUGUAUCUCUUAUGGAACAUGCUUUCAUAUCAUCUUCUCUUAAUCCAUAAAAGUGUGCUUUUUGCAAAUCUCAGUCACUCAUUCUUUUGCUGCCCAACUGCGGAUUAGCUAAAGAACCAUAAGCUUUCUAAUCAAGUUUUCACCAUCAACAAAACUCAACAAACUAAACUCAAAAAUAUACUCUAUUUUUCUUCUUAACCUUCAUCAGUUCUCGGCUCUCCAGUUUUCUUGAAGUACAAAUGGCUAGUUGAAGGACAGCAAAUUAUCAUCUCAUAAUAAUGUCAUCAUGACGAAUGAUCAAUAGAACAAAUAAAGGUCGCAUUAAAAUGGGAAAAAAAAUUAGGGUAUCAUUAAGCAUGCAUUGGAGCAGGAGGAUUAGGCCUCAGAAUCUAAUUAAAUGUGAAGUGAUUGGUAGGGAUCUUCGGAAGAUUACAUAUAAGACUUUGAAAGAUUUUGAAAAGUACACAUGUUAGCCAGAGAAAAUAACAGGCCGUCAAAGUGUCCCAUGAUUGGGGUUGAAUAGUCUGCUUUUACAAAAUAGGGGAGUUUCGCCAACUCAUUGAUGGUGACAUCAAGAUCAUUAUCUGACAACUAAUUGAAAAGACUUCUACUGUUUUGUACAUGUCGAGGGUCUAAGUUAUUUGUCCUAUUAUUCUUUUUUCUUGUCGAAAUUGAUUUGUUGCGAUGUUAUUAUCAUGAAUUUCAUGGCUGAGAAAUAGUUAUCUGGUACUGUUGAUUAUUCUCUCUUCUUAUUGAAAUUGUUUGUUGAGAUGUUAUUAUCAUGAAUUUCAUGUCUGAGAAAUAGUAAAUUGGUACUGUUGAUUAUUCUCUCUUCUUAUUGAAAUUGUUUUGUUGAGAUGUUAUUAUCCUGAAUUUCACGUCUGAGAAAUAGUUUGUUGGUGUGUUAUUGGAGUUAUGCAAUAUUGAUGUUAAAAAAUAUAUUUUAUAUUUUUAAUUCGGUAAGCACACAAAAUAUAAGGCUGACCCACUAUUAAAAAAAAUUAUUUUUGGACCCACUAUAAAAUUCGAAUAUUAUCAACCACCCCUGACAUCUGACUUGCUAAUCUUUUGCUUGCUAAAUUAAACUUUUGCCCACAGUUAAACACUUGACCACCCACUUUUUUUUAUAUAUAUAUAUUCUGUUCCCUGUAGGCUAUACAGAAGAACCCCAAAAAAAUGUAUUAGUUGAUAUUCAAUUUUGUGGAGGUAGACACAAUCCUGUGAAUGUAGCCUGGAAGUUGGAUGUGCGAAACUUAGAGAAGGGAAUUUUUUUUUUUUUUAUGUGUUUUGGAUAUUUUGAAGUGUGUAGGUAAAAAAUUUUAGGAAGUUUUUUGGGAUUCCUGUAGCAAAAAUUGUUAAAAAACUAGUAGGUCAAAAACUUGCUUAAAAACCUGGCUUCCAAACAUGAUGUGCCCAUUCUUGUCUAAGCCAUCAAGAAAUUCUAUAUUUCUAUUUGAUUUCAUGAUUAAAAAAAAAGAAGAAGACAAUAUCGUCUUAAAAAUUUGUCAAUACAAAUAGUAAAUACUUGUACUUCUUCUUGCAAAAAUGUAUACAUUCUUAAUAAAAUAUUCAUCAGAAGGUGUAGAGAAAAAUUCUGACCAAGAAGGGGAAAGUUUUUCCUAAUUGACAAUUAUAAUAGAUGCAAAUUUACCCCCAAGUUAGUUUAAGAGACCAUUUCUAUGGUUUAGUAGUAGCCAUCAUUCUUGAAAAAAUGAAAACUCCAAGAAAUCAAAAGAAGGGACAAAAACACUUGCCGGAUUCUUGACGGCGAGGGUUAUUCAGUAAAUAAAAAUAAUAAACAUGUGAUUUCAAUUUUCAAGGCCACCAACUUAUAUAUCUUUUUGCAGUUUUUAUUGAAAAUCAUGCCUUGUAUUUAGGAAUUGGACUUGGAGGUAUCAUUCUGCCAAACUUCUCGAUGGAUAGUUUUCAAGUAGGUACCAUUGGAUAAUAGCAAUUAGGCUCCUAUAUCUGAAAAUUAACUUUGUGAUUAGCACAAAUGGAAGGCUUUCACAAGUUAAGAUGCCACUAUUAGCCAUUAAUGUUCCCCAAAUUUAUGAUUAUCUCUUUAUCUCCACAUUGUUACUCCACCCCUAAAACCAUACGAGCAAUAAUUGAAGGAAUUUUAUAUAAAAAUUUCAAAUUCAUGAUGUCUUGUCACAUUACUAGUAUCCUAUUUGACUAGUAAAGCUAAACUAGGACUCAUUUUUAAUGCUUAUCAAAAUAUCAUAUCAAAAUUAUUGAUCGAAUAAUUGAGAAAAGAUGAUUCUCCCCUCACCGGCCAAGUCUUCUUUUGUUUUUUGUUCUUUAUCAUGUGAUUGAUUAGAUGAGCAACUGAUUAGCAAAAGCAAGACCAAACAGAUAAUUACCUACUAAUCUUACAAUGAAUCUAGAAAAGCUUACUCAAAAAAAGGUGUAGGGAAAAACAAAAGGCAUUAUAUAUCCCUCCUCCUUGUACAAGAUCAAUAAUAAUGUCUGAUAGUGGGCGCUCAAAAAGACUUGGUACAAUGACUCUCGUUACUCUACAGUCCUAUACCAGUGGCUCUGUAAAAAUUGUCCAAUUUCCCUGAAGACGUUAAUACACUCUGUAUCAGGAACUGGGUAAAAACAAAAGGAUCCCUCAUUAGUUACUGCAAAAUUCGGCCGUUAGCAUGUAGUGUAAGCAACGUUCAGCUGCCAUUCGGUUCUUCGGGAAGUUCCUGCAAUCCUUACAUGUCAAUGUUAAAACUUAUCAAAAAGAAGCAGCAGAUUGGCUACCAACAUUUACCUGAACUUCCUGUUGAAGAAGUUCUUCGAGCUGUACCCUUAUAUUGGAGAAGGAGGGUCUGUUCUCGGGUAUCGCUUCCCAACAUCUUUGCAUCAUAUUUAAGAGCUUUGGAUGCGCAUCCUUGGGAAGCUCAGGCCGAAGACCCUAGAGGGAACAUACAUCGAGUCAAUUCGACAUUAACAAAAAAAAAAAAAAAAAAAAAAAA
rnacentral:lncRNA from 1 species